rnacentral:lncRNA from 1 species
CACACUAAAGCACCAGACACCAUAGCUUUAUCCAUUAUUGUCGCUUCCACUAUUACUUCAAAAGACAGCUUUUGUCCCACCGACGUGAACGACAGAACAUCGGGGUUAACCAUGAUUUUCAACGUACCUGUCGGAAAACUCAGGUUAGCUCUGUAAACCGCCGUCGGAGAUCCCACGUUUGUGACGGUCCUUUUGAAGGUACGGCUGAAUGAUUUCAAUGGCGAAGUGGAAAGGCCAAAGGAAGGGUAGUUUAGUUCCGAAACUGUCCCAUUAGUGUCUUCAGGACAAGUGGAGUUGUCUUUGGAUAAUAAUUGUAUUAACCGAGUGGAGUAUCCUUGUCCGCAUAAGAAGUUUAUGUAAUCGGUUUCAUUGGCAUCGUAUACUAGACCUGGAUUUGCAGCUUUUAAAGGAUUCAAAUGGCCUGAACCGUAUGCAAAUUCAGCUUCCAUGUUGAUGCCAGAGCUCAUGGGGGCGGCUGCAAUUAACAUUGCAAUUGGAAAUUUAAGUAAAAGUUGUACCUAAUCGAACUAUAAAACAUAUUUGUUAUGAGGUUUAUAAUUAAUUACCUGUGGUCAUAAGGGCAGAUUGAAUAGCAGCAGGAGACCAUGUGGGAUGAAAUGAUUUAACGUAGGCAGCUGCACCAGAAACAUGAGGACAAGACAUUGAUGUUCCUGAGAUUAUGUUGAAUGUCACGAACCUGUUGUCGCCUGGAAUUUCAGAAACAGGAGAAAUUGAAGACCACGCUGCUAGAAUGUGAACCCCUGGUGCUGAUAUAUCUGGCUGCAAACAACAAUUUAAUGAAAAAAAAAAAAACCAUCAAUCCUACACAAGUUUCUGCAAAAUCAUAUACUAUCAUAUAUUUGGAAAGAUUUGGAUAAAAAUAUCACCUAACCAUUUUUUCUAGAUCUAUAAUAUAAUAUUUUAUUUUCUUAUAUUAAAUUGUAAUUUAUAUCGCAUCAAAAAAAUAUUUUAAGUUAUCUAUUUUUAAAAUUUUAAUAAAAGAAAAAUAUUAGAAUACUAUAAUUUUAAAAAUUAUAUUGUUUAGAAUUGAGUAAGAAAAUAAAAAAAAAUCAAAGAUUGAUCCAAAUCAAGGUGUUUAGAUGAUGAAAUACAAGUUAAAAUAUUAUGGUUAUCCGGACCGAGUCGAAUGCUACUUUUUUUGUUUAAUUUAUAAUCAAUUUUAAUUUUUAUGAUUUAAAAAAUAAAUAUUUUAUAUUUAAAAUAGUAAAAAAAACUUAAAAGUUCUAUAUAGAAAUAUUUUUUAAAUUUACCAUAUAAAAGUUAUUGGUUAUUUUUUAUGUACUUGAAAAAAUAAUUUUUUUAGAAAUAUUUAUAAAAAAAAGUUGAAAUUUUAUCAAAUGAUAUUCAAAAGAUAUAAAAUAAAAUUUAUUUUUUCAAAAUAAACUUUAAAUUCUAAAUAAGGAUAAAUCUAGAAUCGAAUUGAAUUAUGACAAACGAGUUAAAAAAAAAACCAAACUAAACUAAACUCAUCCCUAAUAUUGACAAGCUUAAACAAAUUUGGAUUAAAUAUUUACUAAUACGAAUAUGCUUGAAUUAAAUCCUUCGACCACGAAUACUUCUAUAUUUACGUUAAAAAAAUGUUUAUGUUUUAUAUAUUGGACACAAUAAUUAUUGAAAGAAAAAAAAAGUCAAACCAUUAAAUUUUCCAUCAAUUUACCUUAAUAAUCUCGGGUGUAAUCGGGUUCGGACCUCUCGACGAGAAAGAGAUGAUAUAAGGAGCCAACGAGUCAUUAACCUCACUACUCCUGAAUAUAGUUGCUGUUGGAGCACUACAAAAACAUAUAGGCAAAAUCUUACAUGAUAUUCAUUUGUGUAUUCAUAUUAUAUUCGCAUCGAGUAAUCGUACCUGGUGGAGUUUACGUACUCAAAAAUGUUGCGACCGUCAACCAAGUUAAAACAAGAUGCAGGCAAAGGAAAAAGGCUAGAAUAGUCAAUAUAGCUGUCCUGGUCUCGAGCCACGGUCCCAGCUGCACCAGCCAAAAGGGCUCCUAUCCCGUUAGCAAGUAUCGUAUCACAAAGAACAAUCUUACCCUUCACCAAAUUUUUAUCCAAUGAAUUCGGAAAACAGAAUCUGCACUUCAACGAUUGGAUCAUUAAAAUAUUAAUAGUAUAAAGAGAUACGAAAAGAUAAAAUACUUUAGUUUUAUACAUGUGUAACUGGAUCAAUUAAAAAAGAAAAAAAGAGGCUAAGUUUAUGUUACCUCGAUGAUAUAGUAGAUGUUGAAGUAGUGUUUGCUGCGUCUCCGCCAUAAAUCAUAGGGUACGUUUUAUUCUUGAGAUCAAAUGUAUUUAUUGAUACUCCCUACAUACAAUCAUACGUGUAUAUAUGUAUAUGAUAGCUAUCAUUAUAAAUCAUAAAAUUGAUAUAUGAUUAUAAAUCAUGUAUGUAUUUAUAUUACCUCAUAAAUCUUGUUGUUGCCAAGUUGAACCUUGGUGGAAAACUUACGAUCAAUGGUGCUAGCUGCCACGGAAAGCGACCACGGUGAGAAAUUAGAGAUCGUUGAACGUCCAGGGCCAUCGUUACCCGCCGAAAUUACGGUCAGUAUACCGUUUUUCAUGGCGUGAAAAGAUGCGACAUCGAUCGCAUGUUCUAAAUAGUCUCUGGUCCGUCCUCCUUCGACUGAAAUUGAUAUAAUAUCGACUCCAUCAGAGAUCGCAUCAUCGAAUCCUGCGAGAAUGUCGGCAUCCUGACAACCAUCGGACCAACAUAUUUUGUACACCGCGAUGCGUGCUGAUGGAACCCCUCCUCGAGCUGUUCCUGAACCAAAGCCGUAGAGACUUGCACCAUCAACUAAAUUCCCGGCUGCCGUGGAAGCAGUAUGAGUCCCAUGACCGUCGCUGUCUCUCGGAGAUUCAAAUUCAUCCGGUAAAAACAGUCCAUCGCUGCGGUAAUAUUUUGCACCUAUGAUCUUGCUGCAUUUGAACAUAUAGCAAUAUUAGUUAGACAUUUGAAGCACUAAGAUUUCUCCCAUAACGAACAUAUACUUGUAUCCGAAGCGCACCCCUAAACCCAGUAACAUAACCCAAAAAAAGAAACAAAAGUUACUUGUUGCAAGUGAAAUUGUCUUGUGGUUGAAAUUGGCAACUGCCUUUCCAUUUGGAAGGAGGUGGACCAAGUCCUUUGUCAUCAAAGCUUAGAGAUUCAGGCCAAAUUCCAGUGUCUAAAACACCAAUGAUAACAUCACUUUCCAUGGUUGCUCUUUCAACUUGUUGAGGGAAUCCCAUAAAAUCCCAUGACCUUGUUGUAUGUAGUUUUCUCUUUUCAUUUGGAAACACUGAUACUACACCCUUCAUUCCUGAACAUAUCCAAACAACCAAAAUUCAAAUUAAGCUCGAAGAUCUGCGUCUUAAUCCACAGAGUAUUUCCGCUUUGACUUUUAAAGUAGACCUAUUAUUAUAACUCGAACUUGAAAUUUUGAUUUGUUUAACUCGAAUAUGAACUUGAUCUAACUUGAUUUGAUAUAAAAAGUAACAAUAUGAAACCAGAGGGGCAUGGUAAGGUCUUGACCCUCACCUUGGUUGAAUGAGAACUCUUUAAUCCUUCCCAAAAAAUUGUAUAUUUUUAGCAUUUUCAAAAGAUUAAUAAUAUAAUUUAAGCUUUUGAAUAUAAAAAUUUUAACCUUGAUCCCUUCAAAGUUUUAUAAUUUUAUUUUGGAUCUCUAAAAACUUCAUUGCUUCACCCUUGAAACUGGUUCAACUUGAACUAAAAAAUGAACCAAACUUAAGUGCCAAAUCCGAAUGAAAAAAACUCAAAAAGCUCAAUUGAAAAAUCUGAAUGAUUCAAUUUUGAAAUUGACCUGAACUCAAAAAUAAUUCAAACUCGAAGUAAUAUAAAAAUUUUAAAACUUGAAUUGACUCAAUCUAGAAUAAUCAAAUUUGGAAUCAAUUGAACAUGUCUGGUUACAAGUCUAGUUGAAAAUAUAGCGCUCUCUUUUUUACUUGAAAUUCUUAUAAUUUUGUCUAAAGUUUACCAAUCUAACCCUUGAUUAAAUCAUUCAAAUCAUCUGUUAAGUCAAAUUGGUUCGCUCAAUAUAAAUGUUGACCUAAUAAUAAUUAAAUAAUUAAUUCAAAAUUCAUAAAUAUUAUAAAAUAUUGUAAAAUCGAUUCAAGCGCUAAUUUUUUAUUUUGAUUUCUAGUUUUUUUAAUUGAACCCAAGUGAUUCACUCAAAAAUUAAUUCAACUCUUGUUUUCAUAUCGAUAUAUUGAUCGGUCUUGUUCAACCAAUCCGACCUAUCAAUCUGAUUUGAUACAAAUAACACUGCUUUUAUCAAAAAAAAUGGAUAAAUACAAACUUAAACGUUAAUUUGUAUAUAUAUUAUAAUGGAUUUGAAGAAAUUUUAAAUGUGAGGUUGGAGUGUUACACUUACCGGCCAUUUUUUGUGCUUCUUCCUCAGUCAAAUCCACCACGAACCCAUUAAAACUCUUUUUGUAGCUGUACAGCACUGUCUUCGACUCACUGCAUUCAUUCCAAUUGCAUGCUCAAUCUCAAUAACCAGUAGUAGGUCUUAUUUUGUUUUGGGAUAAAUAUAAUUAAAUAUUACAAUUAAUAAUUAAUUAAACACUUGUAAAAUAGAAUUUAAAAUUCCAUAUUUACUAUCUAAAAAAAUGUACUCGUCCGGCUCUUUAUUCACUUAAAAAAAACUGCUCCAUUCGGAACAAUUUAAUUUAAAAUCCGUUGUAUGAUUUGAAUUUUGUCAUCUCUACUUUGCUUUCAAGAUUCUUUUUUAAAGAAAUUAAAACGUUAGAAUAUAAGAACAUAUAUUUUCUUAUCUAUAUUUGAAUAUAAGGAUAAAGUCAGAAAAUUAUUUUAGAGAAGUUAGAGAUAAAUCAUAAAUUAUUGAUUAACGGUAUAAUUUUAUCAUUAUAUUAAUAUAUAAUUUUAUAAAAAUUUAAGAAAUUAAAUAAUAAAUCUAUUAUUAGGAGGGGCUAAGGCUAUUGACUGCCCUUUUACCUUGGUCCCUGUUUAUAUAUAUAUAUAUAAAAUAUAAAUAUCAGAUACGGAUAUUUAAAGAAAAAAUCAGAGGCAACAUAUGUUUACACACCUGCCAAAAACAUCUUGUACCAUGCUGCUAUGAAGCAAAGCUGUGGAAGCUCCAUCUUUAAGUCGGUCACCCAUAUACACAAUAUAGCUCUGAAUAUUCACCGAUUACAAUUUUUAUUUUUCUUAAAAUGAAGUUCAUCACCAAUGGAAAUUUUAGAAAAAAAAAAAAGACAAGAAAUUAAAUCCAGUAUUAACCUUUCGAUUGGCAUUGGCGUUGGAUUGAAAAAGAUGAGAGGCUGCUUUGGUAGUAAGAAGAGCUAAAAGAAAGCAAUGAAGUAGAUAUUUUCCUCCCUCCAUUGAAACAAUGCUCACACAAAAAUAAAUAACAAACUUUUCCAAGUAGUAUAUUUAUGGAGAAAAAUAGAUGCUAAAGUCUUAGUCUUUGUGGAAAUAAAUUAUAUUAGAAAUUUAAACUUUUCAUACUUUUCUUUUGUUUUAAUUUAUAUUUGGGAUAAUAUUUAAAAUUGUAUAUGAAUUUGUUGGAUAAUUACUACAAAAUUUUCUUUACCGUAAUUUUAGUAAAAUGUCAAAAUUUUAGAGAAAAGAGAUAUGAGAAAAUCAAGAAGAAUGAAUGAAGCUCUCUUGUUGCUUAUAAAAAAUAAUGACCUCCAAUUUAUAGGAUUCGGGUAAAGUAGUUCAGGAAAUUCAAAGGCCAUAUUGCAAUGAUUAGAUUCUAACGGUCAUAUUAUUGCAUUACCUUCGUUAUAAAUUAUAUUUGGGAUAAUAUUUAAAAUUGGACAUGAAUUUUGGUCAAAUAUGUAAUGUUAUAAUUAUUUCUUUAAAUAUAAUUAUAUUUAAAAAGAAAUUGGAUAAACCAUUUAUUUUAUUUAUGUUUGGAUUAAAUUUUUAAUUUUUAAAAAUAAUCGUGUAUUAUGUCUAUUUCCUACCAUGGUAGCUUAUUAAAUAAGUGUUCCUAAAUUUUUAUAUUUUUGUGGAUAUGAAAAUAUGACCUACACAUUUUGAUUUUUCUUUAGUAUCAAUAAAUUUGGGGUCACCAAUUGCUACAACUAGUGAACUACUUUUCAAUAUUAUUAUUAUUUCAUUAAAGAUGGAGAAAAGUAUUUUGAGAUUGAGAAAUUAUUAGGUAAAUUGUUCCUAUUAAAUAAAUUAUUAUUUUAUUUGAUAAUUUAUUGUAUAAUAAUGUUUUAAAUUUUUUUUUCUUAAGUAUUACUUAAGGGUGAAUUCAGUUUGAUUCGAUAAUAUUUUUUAAAAAUUAUUUAUGAUAAUUUUGAGUUUUAAGUUUUCGGAUUUUAUUUUAACAAAAAGAAUAUAUACAUAUAUUGAGAAAUAAGUUUGAUAUAGAAUUUUAGGUAUUUCUAAAGGGAUUUGAAUAAGUAACAAACUUAACCACGAAGUUAGAAUAGGAGAAAAUAGGUCAAAUUCUGUUAUUAGACACUAUAUUUUGAAUAAGUUGUGGAUUUAGUACCAUAUAUUAAUUUAGUCAUUUUCAAUCUCUAUACUUUUAAAGUUUUAAUCUUGACCAAAUGAAAACUAUCACAUUAAUUCAGUUCUGUUAUUUUUAAAAUUUGACACGUCAAACAUAUUAUCGCAUAUGUAAUGUCAUGUCAACUUGCCAUCUCCAUAUAUUACUCGCAGAAAACCAAUUAAUAGAUUUAACAGUUGUCGUUUACAUUAAGAUUAAAAUUUCGGAAUUCAGAAAAUAUAAGACUAAGAACGAUCCAAUUCGAGAACAUGAUCUACAUCUCUAACUUUACACAUAAUGCAAGACUAAUAAUAGAAUUUAACCAAAUAGAUUUAAUUGCUAUUAUUUGGUCAGGAUUAAUUUUUUUAAAAUUUGAAAAAUAAAUAGACUAAAAUUGAUCAAAUACAAAUACAUGUAUUAAAUAUACAAUUGAUGUAAAAUACAUGUUCCAAUGGCAGAAUUUGACCGGAGAAAAUAUGAUAAAUCAGUUUGAUUUUAGCUUGUAUGUGGUAGAAUGACAUUAUUUGGUUUUAUUUGGUGGCGUGUAUGGGAAGCAACCAAAAAAAGGGUAAACCUCAUUCAUUGACCGCUGAUUCAAUUAUUAAUAUAUUUUUACUUAGUCGCUGAAAUUACGUAUUUUGAGAAUUAAAUCGAUAGAAUUUAUAUAUGUAGAGAUUGAAUUGAUUGAUUUAAUUUAAAAUUAGAAUUAAAUUAAUAAAAUAUAUAAAUUUAAAAGCUAAAUAUAUUAUUAUACCAAUUAGAUAAAAGUCAUAUUUUCUAUUAACAAUUUAAUAAUAAUGUUAGUGAUAAAUUUGUAAAUUUUUAUAUUUUGGGUGUCUACUUGCUAUAUAAAAAUUUUUAGUUUUCAUAAUCAUUUUUCCAAAAAUUAUUUUUCAAAUAAAAAAAUGAUUUUUAUAUAACAUUUUAGCUAAAAUUCUAAAGUGUGGAAAUAAAUAAGAAGCUUGACUACGAACUAAUUUGUCUCCUAACAUGUCCUGAGAGAGACAUAGUGUUAGAAUAGGAGAAAAUAUUACAAAUCAGUUUGAUUUUAGUUUAAAGAGGUGAAAUGACCUCUUGGCAUUAUUUGUCGGUUUGUAUGGGGACGCAAGAAAAAUAUUACAAAAAGGCAUAAUGUCAAUUUUAGAUUUUCUCUUUUUAACUUUUAUUAAUUUAGUCCUUUUUUAAUUAAAUUUGAACAUUUAUUUUUCCAAAAAGAAUUAAAUUGUUUUUCUUAAAUAAAAAUACUGAUUAUAAUAUUAUUUCUAACAAUUUUAGCGUGUGAACUCGCUUAAUAGUCUAUUUGUGCUUUAGUCGACAUGAUAUCAUGCCAACAAAUAAUUUAAAAUUUAUAAAAAUAUUUAAAACUAAAAAUAUAAAAAGACGGUUAUUCUUUCAUUUUCGCACUUUUUAUUUUUUAUGAAGAAAUUAAACCCUUAAUUUUCUUUUCUUUUUUUCCCAAUUAAAAUGUUAAAUCACCGUUAAAAAUAAUUUAUAAAUAAUUAAAAAUAAAAAAUAUAUAUUUUAAAAGAACUAUAAAAUUUUCAAAUAUAUAUUAAAAGAAACCCAUCGUGGGUUCUUGGCAGUUGGCAUCGUAGGUGUGGAAUCUUUCCUCACAAGGUCUUGGAUUUGGAAAGAAGCCGAUAAGCAGUUCAAAUAAGGGCUAAGGCCACUCCAAAGUCCAAACGAAUAGACAUCCCGUUUUUGGGUGGGUGGGUCCGCCCUCGGUGACUCCUCCCUUUCAAACCCCCCCCCCCCCCCCCGCCCGGGCCAAAAAAAAAACAACUUUUUGGCUUUCUCAAGUAACCCACAUUUCUUCACCACUUCCCUAACAUGUUUUUAAUGAUUAUUUAACAUUUUUCAUCCAAAUCAAGCAAUUUUACAAACAAAAAAAACUUUAAAAUUAAAAGAUGAACUUUUUUUUAAACAAGAGUCAAAAUGAAAAACAGAAAAACAUUAAGGGUUAAAGUUGACAUUAAAACGCCUUUUGAGUACUAAUUCUUAAUUAAUAAGCAAUAAAUAAAAUUAAAAUCUACAUUUUCAAAGGUUAAUAUGUUAUUGGUAGACUAUAUCAUUAGUCACUAAAUUAUAGAUAAGUUUUCGUUUUGGUUACUGAACUAUUCAAAAGUUUUCAUUUAAGUCGUUGGACUCUUAAAAUCGGUGCUAUAUGGUUUUCUCUAUUUGCACUGCCUACACCAAUCAAAAGUUCUCUUUCAAUUCUCUUUUGCAGUUUGUUUUUUUCAUAAAACAAUUUUAGACAUCAUGAAUCUGCGAACCAAUUUUCAAAUAGCUUUUUUUCUGAUCUUUGAUACUGACCGUCAGAUCAACUUGGACUUGAAGUAUAUUAUUCUACUCAUAGAUGGGUACUAAUCCAUCAUAUUGAUCAUCAUUUGGAGCUUGUUGGUGGAACUUAAAAAAAAAAAAACCCUAAUAGCUUAGUAACUUGAAUAAAAAAUUUUGAACAGUUCAAUUGUUGACACCAUUUUUUAAAUAAAGCGGAGUCGACUUGGAUUUUAAAAACGAAAAUAGAAACAGGAGUCGCCACCAAUCCUUUUUGAUAAGAUGUGAUCGGAUCACCUUGAAAAGUGGUUGUUUUUAAUAAACGAUUUAAUUUUAUUAAAACAACAAUUUUGGUCCACGAAAUUCAAAAAACGGGUUCGGGAGUCGGUUACGUACGAGGAAGGAUUAGCACCCUCGUAACGCCCAAAAAUUGGUACCUAGUUGAUUAGUUAAUGUCUUAAUGUCAAAAAUUGAAAACUUCGAAGAAUUUUAAAAAUUCGAUCCUAAAAGCUUUUGAACAAUAUGGGUUGGAAUUUAAGAUUCUCUUGUUCCGAAAGUAUAUCACAUCUAGCACAUUAGGAUAUGAUAUUUUAAACUCUCGAAACCAAGAUCACCUUAUGGUUUCCAAAACCCAUACUUUGAAACUUUAAGAGGGUAUUUGGCUAUUUGGCUAAACGACAAAUCGAAACUCAGCACAUUAGGGCACGUUUUCUCGAAUUUCCAAACGCAAAAUAUUGCCUUACUUGGAAAUUUUAAAAGGAUAUUUGGCUAUUUGGUCGAACAAAGAAAUCGAAACCCAGCACAUUAGGGCACGUUUUCUCGAAUUUCCAAACGCAAAAUAUUGCCUUUAUUAUUUUUUAGAAAAUUCCUCAUUGUACAGCCCAAUAUUUGCCCAGCCCAAAACCCAAUAAACCCAGACCUGGAUCCCAAAUUGACCCAACAAAUAUAAGCCCAAAAACUAGCCCAAAGAGCCUAAAUCUAACCCUAACAACAAAACAAAAUUUUCAAACCCUAGGUGCGGCCGCACGUCCCAUCGCCGUGCCUACUCUCUGCUCCACCGCCCGCCCACUUGCCUUGCCUCGUCAAGGUACCUGCAAACAAUAAAAGAAUAGCAGUACCAACAGCAGAAGAGGGAGAGAAACAAACAAAAAAAGAGAGUGGAAAAAUGGCUAUAAAAGGCCAUUCAAAACAAAUUGUAAGGGGUUCGGCCUCUAUUUGAUAAAGAACAGAAAUAAAAAAAGGUUCAACAUUUUGUUCAGUUUUCUUUUUUCUUUUGCUUACUUUUUUUAUUUUUUUUAAAGUUUAUUUUUUUUCUUUUUUAACCCGAAAACAUAAAGAGGAAAACACCUUACCUGUGCCGCGUCGGAGGAGGAGGAGACGAGCGGUUUCUCCUCGUUUUCGGGCCUUGGGCUCAUCUUUCUCGAAGUUCCGCCUUGGAUCCGUGUCCUAAAGGCAUUUAGCUUCAAAAAGGAACCGAAAAGGUCCAGUUUUGCACUUCUGGCCGCCGCCCACGACGUUGCUAUGGCGGAGGUGCGCCGGAGCCUUCGUCGAACCAUGGCCGGAGGAGGGACCGAGAGAGUGAGAGAGAGAGAAAGAGAGCUUUUCUCUCUGUUUUUUAGAAAAAAAUGAGGAAACUGAUUUUUUUUAGUUUUUUUUAUAUAUUUAUACUAAUUAAAAAACGGCAUCGUUUAGCUAUAAGGGUCAGGCGCCAAAACGACGCCGUUUUGGCCCUGACCCGCGCGGUGACCCUACCCUGGGGGGAGGAUCCGUGUGUUUUCGCUAGAGGGGAUAUUUGCGCCAUAGGCCCCUCCUUUGUGGCGUGUUCGAUGCGAUCCUUUUUUUUAUUUUUGAUUUUGGCCACAUAGUUUUUCUUUUGUUUUAAUUUGGUCCCGACCAUGCACACGCGCCUCACUGGAACGACGCCGUUUGAUCGGUGAGGGAAUAUUUCCCUUUUCGGUCCCUUCCCUUUCACGCGUGUUGUGAUUAGGUCCUUUUAGUGUUUUUCUCUUUUAAUUUGACCCUAAACUUUAUUUAUUUUUAAUUUAAUCCCUAAUCUGUUUUUGUAGUUAUUUUUCUACUAAAUUAAUUGUUUAAAUAUUAUUAAUGCUAUCAUUAUUAAUUUUGUAUUAGCAUUUAUUAUUAUUAUUAUUGCUAACAUUGUUAUAUUCCUAUUUAUACUCAUUUAUGUAAAUUUCAAAUAUAUUUAUCUUAGUAUAUUAUUAUAAUUAUUAUUAUUAUUAUUAUUAUUAUUAUUUUAAUUACUUAUAUAUAUACGCAUAUAUAUAUUUAAACUCUAGAUUAUUUCGUUAUUCUAUUAGUAAUAUUAUUAUUAUCCUUAUUUCAUUUAUGUUUUCUUUCAUUUUUAUUUUUAUUAUUUAUUUAUUUAUUUUUUCUUUCUUUUCUAAAAGAUUGUUAUAUAUAUUACAUACACGCACAUAUUUUUGUAACAUAUAUAUGUAUACCUUUAAAGGUUAUUAAAUUUAUCUUUAUAUUUUGUUUUUUUAUAUAUUACAUACGCAAUUAUAUAUAUCUAUAUGUAUAUUUUUUAAUCUUCAUAAGUACGUGUAUAAAUAUGUAUAUGCUUAUACGUUUAUAGUAUGUAAUUUGUAUACAUACCCAUGUACAUACCUUUUAAUUUUCAUAAAUAUAUGCAUGCAUGCUUAUUUACAUUACUUAUUAUGUCUUAUAAUAUAUAUACAUACACAUGUACAUCCAUACAUUUCUUGCAUUUUUAUAAAUUUAUUUGCUUGAUUCAUUUAUUCAUUCAUUUAUUUACUUAUUUAUUUAUCCAAUAUGUUCAUUUUUACUCAGAUUCUUGAAAAGGAAAAUUUUAAAAAUAAAAGUAAUACUCGAUAUUUUGGAUCUUUGAGAGAAUCGAGCCCUAAUGUGUUGGGUUCCGAUUUUCUUCGUUGAAUCUAAAUAAUCGAGAUUACUCUUUUAAAAAUAAUAAAAAGUUCAUUAUCGGGAAUUCGAUACGUUGUGUCCUAACGCAUUGGAUAUGACAUGUAGUUUUCUCGAGACGAGAAUUUUUCUAAAAAAUAAUAAAGGCAAUAUUUAGCUUUUUGGAAAUUCGAGAAAAUGUGCCCUAAUGUGCUGGGUUUCGAUUAUUUUCUCGUUCAACCAAAUAGCUAAAUAUCCUUUUAAAAAUUUCAAAAUAAGACAAUGUUUUGCGUUUGGAAAUUCGAGAAAACGUGUCCUAAUGUGCUGGGUUUCGAUUUUUCUCGUUCAACCAAAUAGCCAAAUAUCCUUCCAAAAAUUUCAAAUAAGGCAAUGUUUUGCGUUUGGAAAUUCAAGGAACGUGCCCUAAUGUGCUGGGUUUCGAUUUCUCAUUUAACCAAAUAGCCAAAUAUCUUCUUGAAUUGCAAUCCAUGUCAUCCGAGUUUUUUUUAAGGAUCGUAUUUUAAAUCUCUCUAAAGUUUUCAGUUUUUCGACACUAAGACAUUAAGUAAUCAACUAGGUACCAAUUUUGGGCGUAUCGAGGGUGCUAAUCCUUCCUCAUGCGUAACCGACUCCCGAACCCGUUUUUUUGAAUUUCGUGGACCAAAAUCGUUGUUUUAAUAAAAUUAAAUCGUUUAUUAAAAACAACCACUUUUCAAGGUGAUCCGAUCACACCUUAUCAAAAAAAGGAUUGGUGGCGACUCUCGUUUUUGUUUUCAUUUUUCAAAACCCAAGUUGACCUCAUUUUCAUCAAAAAAAUGGUGUCAACACUCAUCUCGAGAAAACGUGUCAUAUCCAAUGCAUUAGGACACAACGUAUUGUAUUCCCGAUAAUGAGCUUUUUAUUUAUAUUUUUUGAUUAAAGAGCAUUCUCGAUUAUUUAGAUUCAACGAAGAAAAUUAGAACCCAAUACGUUAGGGCUCAAUCCUCUCGAAGAUCCCAAAUACCGAGUAUUGCCUUUAUUUUCAAAAUUUUCUCUUUUUUCACGAAUUUGGGUAAAAAAAUCAUAUAUGACAGAAUAACAAUUACGAUGAUGUAAGUAAAAAUAAUACGAUUGAUAGCAAUAAAGAUGAAUGAAUAAAAUGACAAAUUAAUAACAUGCAGAAUAAUAAAUAUGUGAACAAAUUAGACUGAAAUAUUCUCUUUUUUUUUUAAAUAAUAAAGACGUGAAUAGAUAAUUAAAAUGAAAAUGAACAAAAUUAUAGGAGUAUAAAAGUAUAAAUAUGCAUAUAGAUAUGUACGUGGAAAUUAUAAAAUCUAAAAACAAAACAACAAAGAUAUACGUAAAUAUACCAAUAAACAUCAAGUAAAAAAAUAUAAAAAUAUGUGUGUAUAUAUAUACAUUGUAAAAUUAUAAAAUAUGACAAAAACAUAUGUAUAUAUAUAAAUUAUAAAAUAUAAGUACAUAUAUAUAUUAUCAAAAUGUAUGUAUGUAUGUAUACAUAGAUAUAUAUAAAAAGAAUAUAUGUAUAUAUAUAGGGGUUAUAAAAUAUACGUAUGUAUGCAUGUAUAUAUAUAUUAUAGAAAUGUAUAUAUACACAUUGUUGAAAUCAUUUUUAAAUUUGAAAAAACGGGGAUCGAAUUUGAAAAUAAAAAGGGAGUCGCCACCGAUCUUUUAUUGUGGUGUGAUCGGAUCACCUUGAAAAUAAUUUUAGGUCUGCGAAUUUUGAGAAAACAGGUUCGGGAGUCGAUUAAGCACGAGGAAGGGUUAGUAUCCUUUUUGUAAUCACUGAAUUUUGUUCGGCUCGAUUUUGAGUUUUUAAAAAAAAUCAAAAAAAUAAAAAUAAAAAGUUCAUUUUGACCCCUAAAAUUUUUGAAAUUAUCUUUUAACCCCUAAAAUUUUUCAAAAUUACAUUUUUACCCCUAAACUUUUUGAAAUUACAUUUUGACCCCUAAACUUUCUUAAAAUUAUGUUUUAACCCCUAAACUUUCUACACAUUAUGUUUUGGCCCCAAAACUUUUCCUACAUUUGCAGUUUAGUCCUUCUAGCAGCAACUUGCACACCUACUCCCGUGAUUUCCGGCCACCGGCCUAGGGCAUGGCCUCCCUCUCCCCUAGCCACCUACCACCUGCAAAAUGAAGCAAAAAUCAUCUAUAAAAGGGGCUUUUAACCCCAAAAUCAACACCCACGAAUCUCCAAAAAAAAGUUUCAAAGAGAAAAAAGCUUCAAAAAUAAGAAAAAAGGGGAGAGAAAGGAAAGGAAAGAGAAAGGUCCGGUGGAGUCGACGGUGGCAGCUCGAACGGCGGCGUGAAAGAAGCGACGGUGUGGGGGCUCGGUUUUGAAGAAGAAGAAGAAGAAAGAAAAAGAAAAAAGAAAAAGAAAAAAAAUAAAAAAUAAUAUAACAGUCGGGUCAACCCAACCCGACCCGACCCACCGACGAUCCGACCCGAACAGCAACCCCAGCACCCCAAGCCCAACAAAAAAAAAGAAAGGAGAAAAGAAAAACAGGCCAGUCCAACAGGCCCAACAGCCUGGCAGCCCAGCAGGCCAGCAGCCCAGCCCCUAGCAGGCCAGCAGGCCUCCAAGCCCAACGCAAGCACCAGCAGGCCAGAAAAAGAAAAGAAAAAAGAAGAGGAAAAAAGAGAAAAAAAAAAAAGAAAAAAGAAAAAGGGGCCCAAGUUGUGCGACCCGUUCGAUUAAGCUCGUAUUUUCGAGCUUUUCGGUAAUUUUCUUUUUUUUUUUUUUUUUAAUUUAAUUUGUACACUUUUAUAAUAUCUCGUAUUUUAUAUUAUGCGUUUAAUAUUUUCUUUAUUUUUAUUUUAAUUUUACAAAACAUUAGUAUAUUUAUUUUAUUUAUUUUAAUUUUAAAUAAUUUAAAUAAAUGAGGCAACGAAUCGAUCUAACAUUAAAUCGUCUGUCGAAACCGUUUUUUUGAAAACAAAAUUUAGUUGUCGACUUUAAAAAUUAAACUGGAGUCGCCACCGAUCCUUUAUUAAGGUGUGAUCGGCUCACCCUAUUUUGGUCUACGAAUUUUGAGAAAAUGAGUCCGGGAGUCAGUUACGCACGAGGAAGGGUUAGCACCCUCGUAAUGCCCAAAAUCGGUACCAAAUUGAUCAUUUAAUGUCUUAGUGUCGAAGUUUAAAAAUAUUUUAAAAUAAACUCGAAUGAUGAAAUUUGAAAAAGGAUAAUCAAUUGUUCAAGUCAUAUAAAGAAAUCGAGUCCCAAUACAUUAGGGUACAAUUCCUCAUAAUCCCCGAACUUUGAAUAUCACUUUUAUUUUAUACGAAAAUCUUCAUUUCGAGAAAGUAACAUGCCACACCCAAUACGUUAGGGCACGGCAAGUUAAGUUCUCAAAAAUUAUUUUUAUACUCAUGCAUUUUGAAUAAAGAAUAUCCUCGGUUAUUUAAGAUUAACAAAAAAAAUCAGAACCCAAUACGUUAGGGCUCAAUUUUCCUUGAAAAUCCCAAACUUCGAAUAUUACUUUUAUUCAAAAAAAAAAACCUUUGAAUCAAGAGAAAAUGAUUUUGAUGUAUGGUUAAAACCAAAAUAUAUUUUCAAAAGGGUAUGUUGAAAAGUUAAUGUACAAUAUGAUACAAAUACUUUAAUUUAAAAUAUAUGUAUAUAUGUAUUUUCAAAAUAUAAGUAUGAGACAUAAAUAAAUUUUGAAAACGUAUAUAAGCAUAUAUUAAAACAGGUAUAUAUAAGUAUACAUAUAUAAAAUAAAGAAAAUAAAUGAAAUAUAUAAAACAAAACAAAAACCUAUUAUAAUUCCUAAGAAAAUAUGCAUGUAUAUAUAUGUAUGCGAGAUUUAUGAAAAUAGGAUAAAAAUAUAAAAAUAUGUACAUGUGAAAAUCAACAAAAUAAAAAUACAAAUUUAUGUAUAUAUAUAAAAUAAAAAUUGGGUAAGUAUGUAUAAAAUAUAAGGCAUGUGAAAGUUAAAAUAAAAAAAAAACUAUAUAAAAAAAUGUGCGAGAGAAAUAUAUGUAUGUAUGUAAAAAAAAACUCAAAUUAUAUAUAUAUAUUAAAUAUGCAUAUGUGUAAAAUACGUGAAUGUGAAUGUAUAGAAAAUAUAUAAUGAUAACUAUAAUGCAUAAUAUAACAAUAAUGUUUUUUUUAAGAAAAAAAAUUAAAUAAAAUAAUAGUUUUUCCUUAAAAAAUUGGAUUAAAUUGAGCUUAAAGACAAAAAAGUGGGGCAGAUUUGAAAUAAAUUGGAAGGUAGGACCAACUUAAAUGCGAGCAGAAUAAUGGGGGAUCAAAAGGGAAAUUAUUCCCGUCUUCCCAAAAGCUGCGCAGCGAUGGGCACAUAUGGAACAAAAAUAAAACAUGCGGGAAAACUUAAAAGAAAUUAGAAAUUUAAUUUAAACGCACUGCUAGAAUAGGGGGACCGAAUGCGCAAAUAGACCAUUUAAGGUCUGACGCGCGGACCCCCCUUUCCCCCAAACGGCACCAUUUCAUCUUUGCUUUUAAAAUUUAAAAGAAACAAAAUUAAAACUAAAAGAAAGUUUCCAAUUAUUUCUUUUUCUGUAAGAACUUUUUAGGGUUUUUUGAACCCAUUUUUUUUUUUGCACUGCCACCACUAGGUCGUCCCUUAGCCUCCGACGGCGCCUCGGCCUCCGAUUGCGACGGAGAGGGGACACCACGACGGCACCAGGUAAGAUCCUUUCUCCUUCUUUCCCUUUUUAUUAUAAAUAAACAAAUAAAAUAGAAAGAAUAGAAAAAAAUAAAAAAAAAAUCCCGAUUCACCUUCGAAAAAAAGAAAAUCUUUGUAAUCUCAGUUCUUCCCUCUAUUUUCGUAUCUCUUUUACACUGAAUCAUCCCCCUUUUUACAGAAGAAAUAUGGCGUUAUAUAGCCUAAAAUGGAAAAGAAAAAUAAUAAAAAAAAUCAAAAUAAAAUCUAUUCUGUUAUUGCUGCGCUUGUAUGCCUCUUUUUCGCAGGUUUGGUGGCGAAAAGGGCGUAUGUACGUGAAGGCACAAAUCGCGCGGAGGCUGGCUCUGAAUCUUGCGGCGGCUGGAGAGGGGAUUGCGGCGCUAGGAGUUGUGUACUGAUACUAGGGUUUCUUUGGGCUAGGGUUAAUUUGGGUUUUGAGAUGUUAAGUGGGUCUGUUUAUUGGUUUGGGCCCGGGCAUUAUUGGGCUUGAGCCCGGGCAUUAUUGGGCUUGUACAUCGUCGAUUUCAUCGCUAUGUUGGGUGAAUGUUACCGGUUUAUGUUAAAUACGAUACGCCCUUUUAAAAAUUGUAAAUAUUCAAAAAAAUUGUAUUUUCAAAAAAAAAUCCUCGGGUUUUGAAAUUUCGUGUCUUCAAAAAAAUUUCUCGUGUUUUCAAAAAUAAGGUAAUGAGUCGAUUGUCACUAAUUCGUUGAUUUCAUUGCUAUGUUGAGUGAAUAUCACCGAUUAGUGUUAAAUACGAUACAUGCUUAAUAUAAAAUCAGAAAAUUUUUCGUGUUUUCAAAAUUCCCGUGUUUCAAAAAGUUUCAUGUUUUCAAAAAUUAUCGUGUUUUAAUCGGAUCACGAUUAAAUAUUAAAUUGAACUCGUAUUUUUGAAAAUUAAGACAACAUGCGUUUAAAGAGAUACCAAUUUUGGGCGUCGCGAGGGUGCUAAUACCUUCCUCGCGUGUAACCGACUCCCGAACCCUAAUUUUCUCUGGAUUUUUACGUGGACCUAAAAUUACCUCUUUUUUAGAAAAGUUUAAAAAUAAAUUUUUCUUCUAAAAAAAGAAUUUUGUAGGUGUCCGAUCACACCUAGAAAAAAGAUCGGUGGCGACUCCUUUUUCAAAUAAAAUCGAGAUUCGGUUUUCAAAUUUACAAAAUUACAUCGACUAGCGCCCGUGCUAAAAAUUUUAGGUCGCUACACUUUUAUCUUGAAUAAAAUGAAUUGGAUGAUAAGGUUCACUUAUUUCAAAGAAAUAAAUUGUUACACUCAGUAAGUUAGAGUACAACAUUUCAAAUCCUCAAAAUUAAGUUUCUCCUUUGAUUUUUAUGCAUUUUGAGAAGGAUAUCUGAUUAUUUGGGUCAAAUGAGAAAAUCAAAACCCAGUAAGUUUGGGUUCGAUUUUACAAAUUCCUAAAUAUCGAAUAUUGCUUUUAUUUCCAUUUAUUAGAAAGAUCCUUGUCUCGAGAAAACAACAUGUCUUAUCCAAUGCGUUAGGAUACAACGUGUCGAAUUCCCGAGAAUGAGUUUUUUAUUUAUAUUUUUGAUUAAAGCAUAUCCUCGAGUAUUUAGAUUCAACGAGGAAAAAUUGGAACUCAAUACGUUAGGGCUCAAUCUUUUCGAAGAUCCCAAAUGCCGAGUAUUUUGAAGAUUUUUGAAUAAAUUGGUUUUGAUACUUAAAUGAUAUGAAACAUAACCUUUUAAGCGAAUAAAAUGCAAUAGAAUAAUAAUGUACAAUGCGAAUUGAUUAUUCGUAAAUUUAAAUAUACACCCAUGAAUACAAACAAUCAAUAGGUAAAUACAAACAAACAUAGUAACAAUAACCUCAAUUAUGCCAAUAUCAACAUCAGCAUUCAAAAUGAAUACUAUAAAAAAGAUAAAUCAAAAUGCAUUAAAUCAUAUACAUAUAUUAAUUUAAAAAAAAUAGUACAUGUGGAAGGAAAAUUUUAAUAAUAAUAUAAAUAAUAAUAUAUACAUAAUAAUAUACAAAAGUUGAAAUAAGCAAAAUAUAUUAAAGUAGGUUUUUUGUUUUUUUGUUUUCAAAAAUGUAUGUAUAAAUAAAUAAAAAGAUAUAAUAUAAAAUCAAUAAUAUGUUAUAUAUACACCUAAAAUAAUAUUAUAUAAUAAUGUAUAUACAUAAAAAAAUAUGUAGAUAAAUAUAUAAACUAAUAUAAAUAAUAAUACUAAUAAUAAUGAUGAUAACCAGGAUAAUAAAAAUAAUUUAAUAAUAAUAAGGCAAAAAGGGGACUAAAUUGAAACUAAAACCAAAUUUAAAGGAUGAAAAAUGCAAUUCGAAAUGUCCAAAGGUUGCGUUGAAACGCGCGCGUAAUAUUAGGGAUCAAAAAGGGAAAUAAUCCCUUGCCCAAAACGCAGCGCUUUAAUGCGGAUUAAAAUGAAACAAAAAUAAACUGAGAGAUUAAAUCUAAAAAGAAAUAAAGGGAUUGGAUUGAAGUGCGCUUGAAAAGUGGAGGGGCUGUGCGAGCAAAUAGACCGUCAAACAAAAUACGCGAAUCCUUCCCUCGGAUCGGGUCACCGCGCGGAUGCUAGCAUCAUACGACGCCGUUUUGAGACCAUCAAAUUGGCAUAAAACGACGUCGUUUAUUACUACACUUAUAGACCAAAAAUAACCCUAAAAUUAGCAGCCAUUUCAUUUUAACAAAACAAAAUAGAAAAACCUAAACUAAAACACUCUUCUCUGUGCCGCUCCGCCGUUUGCAGCCCAGAGACGACCCCCUUUCGAACUCCGAUUUCAACAGAGCAGAACGGGGGUUAACGGCACCAUCAAGGUAACCUUCUCCUUCUUAUUUGCUUUAUAUAUACGCUUAUAUGUGAUUAAUAACGAAACAGAAAAAAAAGAAAAGCAAUCGAAAAAAAAGAAUGGAAAAAAGAAAACCUUUUUCUUUGUAUUGAUUUUGUUUUUUGAUACAAUCUCUGUGUAUUCUCUCUGUGUAUGAGGAUAACCCCCUUUUACAAUGCAUAUUUGGCUUUUUAUAUAGCCAGAAAAAUGAAAAGAAAAGAAAAACCAGAAAAUUCCAAAAGAAAAAAAUGUUUUUCCCUCUUUGUUGUUGCUACUGUUUUCUGUUUGUCUUCUCUUGCAGGUACGGCGUACGGAGACCGACGUGGCGGUACGGAGGUAGCCGUACGAAGGCGCGCUUGGCUGGGGGAAAACGGCGCUGGAGGUUGCUGUUGCGGCGCUUGUGUUAGGGCUGAAUGCCUAGGGUUUCCUUUAGUUGUUAGGCCACAUAGCAAUUGGGCUGGGUGUAUAAGCUUGGGCUAGGUUAAUUGAUUUGGGCCACAUUGGGCCCAUGUAUUUGGAUUGUGGACUGUUAUUAAUUUUUGUUUGGUUUAUAUUUUUUUAUUUUGAUUUGAUUUUUAUAUUACGGGCCGGCCAAAUUGGGCCUACUACACACAUAUAUAACAAAGUUUGGAAUUAAAAAAAUAAAAUAAAAUAAAAAGGACAUAAAUAAACAAACAACAAUAUUAAUAUAAUAAGACAAAUAUCUUUAUGCACACCAUCAUCCCACACUAUUGGACUCCUCGCUUUAUGCACACCAUCAUCCCACACUAAAGAACCAGAAACCAUAGAUGCAUCCAUUGUUCCUUCAAUUAUUACUUGAAAAGACAGCUUUUGUCCCACAGAUGUAAACGACAAAACAUUAGGGUUAACUCAGACUCUAGCUGUUCUUGUCGGAAAACUCACUCUUGCUCUAUACGUCGCCAUCGGAGAUCCCACAUUCGUAACAGUUCUAUUGAAAACACGACGAACAGUUGUUGAAGAAGAAGUGAAAACAGCAAAUGAAGGAUAGUUUAGAUCCGAAAGUACUGUUCCAUUUGUUGCUGCAGAACAUGUUGCAUUAUCCCUAGUAACUUGUCGAAGAAACCGAGUGUCAUAUCCUUGUCCGCAUAAAAAAUUUAUGUAAUCAACUUCAUUGGAAUUGUAGAUUAAGCCUGGAUUUAUAGCUUUGAUUGGGUUCAAAUGGCCUGAUCCGUAUGCAAACUCAGCGUCCGAGUUCAUGCCUGAACUCAUAGGGGAAGCUGUAGUGAUAAGGGAAGAUUUGAUAGCAGAAGGAGACCAAGUGGGAUGAAAAGAUUUAAUGUACGCAGCUGCGGCAGAAACAUGGGGACAAGCCAUUGAUGUGCCUGUGAUUAUGUUAAAUGGAACCCAUCUAUUAUCGCCUCUAUUUUGGGAAACUGGUGAAGCUAAAGACCAUGCAGCUACAAUAUCAACCCCUGGUGCUGACAAAUCUGGCUGUAAUUAUUACCCACAAAAAUUUAGAAAACUUGGGAUUAGGUUACGCCUAAGUUUACUAUUACCAUAUUUUAUAAGCUCUCCCCGAGCUUAAAAUUUUGUUUAAAUUAACUCAUAUUUAUAAAUAAUUAAUUUAAAUCUAUUUUAGAUUUGCCUAUAUUAUUUAAAAAAAAUAAAAUAUAUAUUUAUAUUAUUUUUAAUUUAAUAUUUAAUAAUUUUAUAUAUUUUUUAUUUAUUAAAAUUUUAUAUAUAAUUACCUAACAUUUUUUAAUUUUUAGAUUAUAAUAGUAUUAUAUAGUACUAUAGAUUUAAUUUUUAUAAAUGGUAUAAUAUAUAAAAAUAACAUAAUAUAAAAUAUUAGAAACAUAAAAAUUAAGUUGGACUUGGGUUUUAAAUGUUCAAUCAUAGAGAUUGUACAACCCAAAUUUUUACCCGGCCCAAUACUCAAAUUAAAACCAAGCCCAUUACAAAACAACCCAAACCCGGAGCCCAACUAGCCUAACUCGAGGCCCAAACCUGACCGGCCCAAUAGCUAAGGCCCAACUCCCCCCCAAAAAAAUCUGCCUAGGGUUUCAGAGACUGAAACCCUAGGCGCCGCCUCUAGGGUCUUUGACCCCUGGCCUUCUGACACCGCCACUGUCCCAUCGACGCCGCCCGCAGCCAAGUCGACCCUCCACUUGCGCCGUCACCUGCAAAGAAGAAACAAAACAAAGAAACAGAGAGCAGAGAACGCAAGCAAUAGUGGAAAUCGGCUAUAAAAAGCCAACAAAAUGUAAUUUUUUGUUUUUCGGGCAAUCUUUGUAACAAAAAAAAUAGAUAGUAGCAAAAUAAAUAAAAAAAACAUUCAAGGUGAUUUAGACUUCUGGAUUCCUCUGUUUUCUUUCACUUUAAGUUUUUAUUUUAUAUUUUUUUUCUUUUUCAUUUGGAUUUGUUUCUCUAAAAAAGGUCAAGAAAAGGGUGAAAGGCGAUACCUUUCACUUGCGGCACGCCACCGUCGGUGAUCCCUUCUGCGCCGGAGCCGUAGAAAUCCUCUGGGGUUUUGUUUAGGCCGCGCCAGAGGAGAGACGGGCAAAAAGGAGCAACCCCUCCCCUUUUCUUUUCAUUUUCCGGCAACGCGAAGCCGCGAUGAGGCCACGGCGAGGCCUUUGCGCGAGCUCACCGAUGGUGUGGCCGGAUUCAAAGGGGAGAGGAAGCGUUUUUAACAGAGAGGGGAAGAGAGUGAUUUGAGUUUUUUUUUAUUUUAGCUGUAAAAAAUGUAUUUUUUGUAAAAAUUUUCUGUUUAAAUAACCCCCCACGAAAUGGCGCCGUUUUAGGCUUCCCUGACCCGCGCGGUGACCCAACCCAGGGGAGGAUCUGCGCGUUUUCUAUAAAUAGGGUAUUUGCGCAAUAAGUCCCUCCGAGUUUGUGACACUUUCGAGGCAGUUCUCUGUAUUUUUGCAAUUCAGCCCCGCAGUUUGUUUCUGUUUCAUUUUAGUCCCCAGAAACGCCACGUUUUGAGAUUUUGGUUUAUUUUCAGUUUUGGUCCCCCCUCUUUCAGCGUGCGUCGCGAUUUAGUCCCUUUUACCUUUUCUUAUUUCGAUUUCGCCCAAUACUCUCGUUUUUAUUUCGAUUUAGUCCAUAUUUUAGUAAUUCUAUUAUUUAGUUAUUAUUAUUAUUAUUAUAUUUAUUAAUAUUAUUGUUAUUUUUAUGUUUUUAUAUUUACUUAUGUAAAUUUUAGAUAUGUGUUCUAUUAUACUAUUAUUAUAUAAAUUUUUUUAUACAUAUAUGUAUAUAUAUAUUUCUAACUUAUUUAAUAUAUAUAAAUACUCAAUUUUAUAUACGUAUCUAUAUAUAUAUUUUUAUAUAUUAAAAUAUGUAUAUCAUAUAUUAUUUUAUGUUAUUUUUAUAAUCCACAUAUGUAUCUCUUUACAUUUAAUUGUAUUUACUACUUAUUUAUUUCAUUUUCUUUAUUUUUUUUGAAUAAAUGUUUUAAUUUAUUUGUUUAUAUAUUGUUACUUUAUAUGAUUGUAAGUAUGACUUUUAUUUAUUUUAUAUUGUUACUAUUGCUCGUAUCAUUUUUAUACUUUUGCGUACAUUAUGAUUUUAUCAUGCAUAACAACAAUGUAAUUGGCUUUCGUAUUUUUUUUACUACGAUUUUCGUAUUUCAUUUUAUUUGAUAUAACAAAGUUGUUUUGAAUAAAUAAUAUUUUGUGUUUAGAUUCGAGAAAAUCGUACCCUAACUUACUGGGUUUCAAUUUUCACGAUAAACCAAAAUGCACGAAUCUUUUUAAACUCGAAUUCUAAAUAAUCUCGGGUUUUAAAAACAAAAUCGCGUCCUAACUUACUGGUCGUGAUCUCAUUUUUAAAUUUGAGAUAGGUAAAAUAUCUUUUAAACAAGCAUUUUUAUGUAUUGGGAAUUCGAGAUAUUGUGUCCUAACUUACUGGAUAUGAUUCUCUUUCUCGAAUAACGUGAAAUAUGCCCAUUCUUUGAAAAUUUUCAACGUUUUAAUACAAGGAUCAUAUUUUUAAAUUUCUUUAAAGUUUUCGGUUUUUCGACACUAAGACAUUAAGUAAUCAACUAGGUGUCAAUUUUGGGCGUAUCGAGGGUACUAAUCCUUCCUCGUGCGUAACCGACUCCCGAACCCGUUUUUCUGAAUUUCGUGGACUAAACUCGUUGUUUUAAUAAAAUUAAACUUUUUAUUAAAAACAACCACUUUUACAAGGUGACCCAAUCACACCUCAUCAAAAAGGAUUGGUGGCGACUCCCGUUUUUUUCGUUUUAGUCGAAACCCAAGUCGACCCCGUUUUUUCAUCCAAAAAAUGGUGUCAACAGCUUGGCGACUCCGCUGGGAACUUUAAAUAAAAGAGUCAAGCCACGAGUUGUUUAUUUCUUAUCUUUUUGUCGAAAGUUGAAAAUCUGAUUUAAAUUUAUGAUCUUCUCAUUGCAUUUCAUUUGUUUUGAGUUAUGGUUUUCAUCAUGUUUUGUAUUCUAAAUUUUUAUAUCUCUGCACAUUGCAUUGCAUGACCUUUGGUUACACCUUUUAAGUGGGAGUGAGAAACUACGCUUUCGUGAGGUUUUCACCUCCACAUGGGAUAGUGAAUCGCUUCCGGGAUACAUCUGUACCUAUGUCUUCGUGAGAUUUUCAUCUCCGCAUGGCCAUAGGAAAAUGUAUUCCCCUGAACCGAACUCAGUUUGUAUGAGCCUAUAAUGGGUGAAGAUCGAGGAAUCUGCUGGUUCGGGUACCUUAUCUCUAGAGCCAAACCGCAUAUAGAAGACCUUAGGAACCCAUCCUAGGUAGGAGUCACUCCAAGCCCCUAGUAGUCACCCGACUAGGUACUUUUGUUUUCCUUGCUUACUUAUGUUUUGAACUAACCCCUCUUGUUGUGUUUUGAUUGCAUUGCAUUUGCAUAUUAGGAAAGAGAUAUUGAUUCAAGUCCGAUUACUAAAUUAGAAGGCUUGUCAUGGAAUACGAAUUCUUUGAUAAAGUGGAAAAUAAUACGGCUGCCUGAAUAUAUUCUGAGAAAUACAAGAAUGGCGAUGGAAGAGUUCGUGACCCUGCUUCAUGGCCUGAGGAUUCAAGGCGAUUGUCUAAGAGCCUUCGACGUCCCAACUCCUUUAAAGAAGCUGAUGACCUUAUGGACAGAUGAUGGAUCGCGACCAAGAUCAAGAAAAUGAGCUAGUAAUGGCAUACAUUGGAAAUUGGCGAGAUUAUCUUAAACAUGAGCAUGAAGAAGAAGAUAGAUGUCAUUUCUUGGAAUAUGAGGGUGAGGCCGUACAUGUAUCCCUUUUAUGUAAAGGAAUUUACUUUCUAGAAAAGUUUCCUAAAUGUAAUUGAAUCAGAAUCAACGUCUCUUUAGACAUGCAUUUUAUACAUUGCAUUACAUGCAUUAAAAUCUAUUGAAAGAGUCUAAACGAGUAAAAUUAUUUCAGCUAACCUGAAAAACCGACCAACCAAACAUCCUUACGAUAUCCAAGCAAAGAUUAGAGAAAUGGAACGAAGGUUGGAAAAUUUAGAGCGAAUGCAGAUUCAGAUGCAGGAGCAAUUGACUGAAUUUCAACAGGAGAUGAGAGAUCAGAUGCUAGAAUUACGGAGAACCAUGAUAAACCAGUUCGACCGACUACUAGCUGGAGAGUUAGAAAAGAGGAGAGACCCGGUGGUCCACUUUGGGGUUGAUAAUGAGGACCUUGCCUAUUCCCUAGAUUGUACUCCGACAAGUGUUCAGGUCCAGCCAGAUGGGCGCCCACAAGGGACAUUCUUUACUAUUAGAUUACAACAGUAUCAAACUGGUACAACAACACCAGUGAGUUGUUUGACAGACCCAAUGUCUAAUUUGAGGAACAAUUUUCCUGACAACCCAGCAAAAAUAAAACAAGCAAGGAUAAAAUACCCAGAUACUACAAAGGCCCUAGGGAAGAGGGGAAUAAAGGGGAUAAUGCAAACAGAUAUAACAAGGGACACUCAAAACCAAUCACUGUGGGCUGGCCAAAGACAGAAACCCCCAGACAUCAGAGUUCUUUAAAGAAAGAAUCGGGAGUGAAACCAGGCACUGAGAAGCUCCAGUUCACAACAAUUCCGAUGUCAUAUAAGGAGCUGUAUCAAAGCUUGUUUGAUGCACAUGUUGUUGCUCCUCAUUACUUAAAACCCAAGCAACCCCCGUAUCCCAAAUGGUAUGACAUGAACGCACAAUGUGACUACCAUGCGGGAAUUACAGGGCAUUCAAUAGAGAAUUGUAUUGCCUUCAAGAAGCUAGUUGAAAAAUUCAUCAACAUGGGUAUUGUCAAGUUGGGUGAUUCAUCUAGUGCAAAAAACCAUCUACCCAAUCAUGUUGACAACGGGAUGAAUGAGAUGUAUGAAGCAAUGUUGGCAAGUGUUCACACUAAUGGCAUAUAUGAGGACACAAUUGGGAAGGGACCUUGUUAAAUGUUCGCCCUUAUGAAUUUUGGAGUGUUCUAAACAAUUAGACUGUGAAAGAAAUUCCUAUAAUUUUUAGAGCUUUUCUAGAGUAAUGUUCAGAACAUUUUUGUUGUUUUAAGCCUAGAGGCAAUAAGAACUCUUUUGUGAAAUAGGCUAAUGUCUGAACAUCAUUAUUUUAAUGGAAUGUAUCUUUGCGAUCUUUUUGAACCAAUAUUCUUUCAUUUCUUAUCAAUGAUUGUUUUUAUUCUUUUAUUCUUUCUUCCAAAUCAUUAUUGCAUUCAUAGUCAUAUUGUACAUAACUUCAUAUAUUAUUUGUAUAUUCUUUUGUACUUACAGUAGGUCCCUGAAUAUCAACGACAUGAAUGACACUACUACAGACUCGGAUUCUCCUUUUGAGCGAGACAUGUGUUUAGAGGGAUCUCAUGACUUUGAAGAUGACAUAGAUUGUAGCCUGUCUCGAGACUUAUUGAGGAUGAUAGAACAAGAUGAAAAAUAGAUCCUACCUUACAAAAGUCAGUGGACAGUAAGCUUAGGAGAGGAGAAAGAGGUAAAGAUUCGAGUUUGCAUCAUCGCAGAGAUAAAGCGAGACAUUAUUGAGUUACUCUAAGAAUUCAAAAAUGACUUCGCAUGAUCAAGAUUCGCCUCAGCUACUUAGACGUGUGAACGCUAUUGAAGCAAAGUCUAUAAGGGUGUUUGAGGAAUACAUGCUAAUAGUUUUGCAAUGGCCAAGCAAAUCAUAAGAUUCGGGUACUACUGGUCCACCAUAGAAGAGGGCUGCAUUAGUUAUACCUAGUGCCAUUUAUAGGGUCAAGAUUUAUGUGCUUCUCUCAUCUCUUCAUGUUAUGACCUUCUCAUAGAUUUUCUCUAUGUGGGGUAUGGAGGUGAUGGGCCCAUCUCGUCAAAGCUUUUAGCCAAUAUCAAUUCAUCUUUGUGGUCUUCGAUUACUUCACUAAGAGGGUGGAAAUAGCUUCAUAUACGAAUGUCACAAGGUCGAAGUCAUUAAAUUCCUUUCAAAAAAAAUUAGGAGUCGAUAAAAAAAAGGACAAUGUUAGAAGUUUUUAGUCUGUUCAAAUAUUAGAUGCUGUAGGUAACCAAAAAAAAAAGAUCGUGAGAAAGACGACCGAGACUUGUAAAGAUUGGUAUAAGGAAGUUACCAUUCACCCUCUAUGCUCAUCAAACGACGACUAGGACCUUUACCGGGGUAACACCUGGCCCAUUGGUUUAUGGAAUGUUAAAAGCUUCUUGUCAUGGUCAAAUGAUAUGAGCUUAAGACAAAGAGAUUAAUCCUAGAAAAUGUGGAUGCCAAAUUAGGAAAGACCUUAUGUUGUAAAAAAAAAGCCUGUUCUGGAAGAGCACUGAUAUUAACCGAGAUGGAUGCCAAAGACUUGCCCAAUCUAGUGAAUUCAAAUUCAGUCAAGAAGUAUUUUACCUGCAAAUGAAGAAACCAAGGUGAAAAUCCACAAAGGGUAUCUUGGGUAAAAACAAACUCUACCGGGGCAAUGUCAUUCUCUUGUGCCUAUCACGGUUUUGCCUAUUGAAGACGAGAUUCUUUCUGAGUUUUUGGAUCCAAUCUCAAUCAAUGAGGAAUGUUCAAAGUUAUCUAUCAUGGUCAAAUGCGCCAAAAGUAAACGAUGCGAGCUCAAAAAAAAAUUUGCCCUAGAGAAUUUCAUGAGAAGGACAUGGUACUGAAGAAGAUCCUUCCCAUACAAAAAGAACCUCAUGACAAGCUGGGAAAAACCUAGUGGGGAAGGCCUUAUCUGGAAAAGUGUCAAUCUUGAUCGGAAGGGAUAACAAGGACGAUCCUAAUCCUAUGGGUUUAGAUUCAAUAAAAAAUACAAAAAAAAGAGAAAGAAAGAAAAAAAGAAGAAAGAGAAGAAGAAGAAGAAGAAGAAUAGAAAAGAAAAGGAAAAAAGGAGAGGCCAAGGUGAAAACCCACAAAGGGCGCCUUGAGACCAAAGGGGAUUUGAGUUGAAAACCCAAAAAGGGCGGCUAAAAUUUUGAAACAAAAUGGGGUACGAAGUGAUCAGAGCGGCUUAAAUUUUAGAUCAAAUUGGGGCAUGGUGGUGAUCAGAGUAGCUCAAAUUUUGAUCAGAUCGGGGCAUAUGAUGAUCUUGCCAUACUAAAACAACAAGAAAAGGUAGGCGACAUCUUGGAGCAUCGACAAAGUCCUGAAGAUCUCCUAAACACAUGUCAAACGCAGAAUGGUCUUUCAAAAAGUUUGUACAGAGAAGUUCAGGUUGCGAUAUCUAGGGCAUCUAGCCCUCAUACUAUUUAUAUUGAAUUUGUUAUUCUUGAAAUACUUCUUUCUUUUCCAAGAUACAUGUUCAAAUCAAUUUCUCUUUUUAUUCUUGCUAUCCUUGAUAAUUUAUUCAUUUCGAGCUAUGCUCUCAAAUCAAUUCUAUUUUAUCUAUCGUUAUGAUCUUUUGCAAGCAUGUUGCAUUAGAAUAAUGAUUAAUGGACUAAUAAUACUUUCACAAUGGAAGUUUUGCAUAUUACUCUAAAAGUUUCUAAAUAAUAUAGGAACCUGAAACCGGACUAUUGUUUAGAAAACACCAAGUUUAAAGGGUGAAAUAUCUAAGAAGGAAGGAUCUAAGUUAAAGACUAUCCUUUCAGAUUUUGUUGUCCAAACAUUAAUUGAACAAAAUGACAAGAUGCCGUGUUGGUGACAAAGCUUCAAUGAACAAACAAGUAAUGAUCACCGAGUGAUAAGAAAAGGUUUUCUCAAAGAAGAAAAUUUUGCAAUUGUGCAUGAGCAUUUGGUAUGACACCUUGGGAAUGGGGUAAAAGAACCAAAAAGCUUCACAUUCUAUAUCAUUAAAUUAUGAUAACAGAUGAUCGAGAAAAAGGCCAGGUCUUUCUAUCCUAGGGUUACAAAGGGAGAAAGAUGAUUCAAAUUUUGUAUCCAGUGGAUUGAACCUUGAAGAUUACAGUAGGGGAAAUCCGACCAAGUGAGAGAUGAGCAUUACCAAUAAGACAAAAUAGCAUUCGGACAUGUUGGCAAUAAAGCCUUAUUGAGCAAGGGGCAUUAACAACUCAAACAUUGAAAGAUCAUUUUCAAUUUGCAUUCAUGCAUACACAUUUAGUUAGGAUAUUUUGAUUCAUUUUGAUCAUAAUCACUAGGCAUAAAUAGGUUCAUAUAGGUCAUGUUCCCAAGAGAACAGACCAAUGAAGUUACAGAUCUUGCUUUCCUGCACUGAUAGCGAAGCAAAUCGAAGAAACCAUAGUUUGCAAUUCAAAGAUUGAAUCCACAACGGUGAAUCUUACUUCCCAGGCGAUGCAGCGGAGUAUUUUGAAGCUACAACGGUGAAUCUCACUUCCCUGACAUUGCAAUUCAAAGAUUGAAGCCACAACGAUAAAUCUUACUCCCAGGCGAUGCAGGGGAGCAGAUUGAAGCUAUAAUAGUGAAUCUCACUUCCCCGACAUUGCAAUUUAAAAGAUUGAAGCUACAACAGCGGAUCUUACUUUCCUAGCAUUGCAGUGGAACAGAUUGAAGCUACAGCAGCGGAUCUUGCUUCCCGGGCAAUUAAAAAGAUUGAAGCUACAACAGCGGAUCUUACUUUCCUAGUGUUGCAGUGGAACAGAUUGAAGCUACAACAGCGGAUCUUGCUUCCCUGGCAGUUAAAAAGAUUGAAACUACAACAGCGGAUCUUACUUUCCUAGCAUUGCAGUGGAACAGAUUGAAGUUACAGCAGCGGAUCUUACUUCCCUAGCAAUUAAAAAAUAUUGAAGCUACAACAACGGAUCUUAUUUUCCUAGUGUUACAGUGAAACGGAUUGAAGUUACAACAGCGGAUCUUGCUUCCCUUGCAAUUAAAAAUAUUGAAGCUACAACAGCGGAUCUUACUUUCCUUGCGUUGUAGUGAAACAGAUUGAAGCUACAGCAGUAGAUCUUGCUUCCCCGGUAAUUAAAAAUAUUGAAGCUACAACAGCGGAUCUUACUUUCCUAGUGUUGCAGUGGAACAGAUUGAAGCUACAACAGCGGAUCUUGCUUCCCCGGCAGUUAAAAAGAUUGAAGCUACAACAGCGGAUCUUAUUUUCCUAGCGUUGCAGUGAAACGGAUUGAAGCUACAGCAACAGAUCUUGCUUCCCUUGCAAUUAAAAAGAUUGAAGCUACAACAGCGGAUCUUACUUUCCUAGCGUUACAGUGAAAUAGAUUGAAGCUACAGCAGCGGAUCUUACUUUCCUAGCAUUGCAGUGGAACAGAUUGAAGCUACAGCAGCAGAUCUUGCUUCCCCGACAGUUAAAAAGAUUGAAGCUACAACAACGGAUCUUACUUUCCUAGUGUUGCAGUGGAACAAAUUGAAGCUACAACAGCGGAUCUUGCUUCCCUGGCAGUUAAAAAGAUUGAAGCUACAACAGCGAAUCUUACUUUCCUAGCAUUGCAGUAGAACAGAUUGAAGCUACAGCAGCGGAUCUUGCUUCCCUAGUAGUUAAAAAGAUUGAAGCUACAACAGCGGAUCUUACUUUCCUAGUGUUGCAGUGGAACAGAUUGAAGCUACAACAGCGAUUGAAGCUACAACAGCGAUUGAAGCUACAACAGCGGAUUUUGCUUCCCCGGCAGUUAAAAAGAUUGAAGCUACAGCAGCGGAUCUUACUUUCCUAGCGUUGCAGUGAAACAGAUUGAAGCUACAGCAACGGAUCUUUCUUCCCUUGCAAUUAAAAAGAUUGAAGCUACAACAGCGGAUCUUACUUUCCUAGCGUUGCAGUGAAACAGAUUGAAGCUACAGCAGCGGAUCUUACUUUCCUAGCAUUACAGUGGAACAGAUUGAAGGUACACAGCAGAUCUUGCUUCCCCGACAGUUAAAAAGAUUGAAGCUACAACAACGGAUCUUACUUUCCUAGCAUUGCAGUGGAACAGAUUGAAGCUACACAGCAGAUCUUGCUUCCCCGACAGUUAAAAAGAUUGAAGCUACAACAACGGAUCUUACUUUUCUAGUGUUGCAGUGAAACAGAUUGAAGCUACAACAGCGGAUCUUGCUUCCCUGGCAGUUAAAAAGAUUGAAGCUACAACAGCGAAUCUUACUUUCCUAGCAUUGCAGUAGAACAGAUUGAAGCUACAGCAGCGGAUCUUGCUUCCCCGGUAGUUAAAAAUAUUGAAGCUACAACAACGGAUCUUACUUUCCUAGUGUUGCAGUAGAACAGAUUGAAGCUACAACAGCGAUUGAAGCUACAACAGCGGAUCUUGCUUCCCCGGCAGUUAAAAAGAUUGAAGCUACAAUAGCGGAUCUUACUUUCCUAGCGUUGCAGUGAAACAGAUUGAAGCUACAGCAACGGAUCUUGCUUCCCUGGCAGUUAAAAAGAUUGAAGCUGCUACAGCGGAUCUUACUUUCCUAGCAUUGCAGUGGAAUAGAAUAAAACCAUGAAUCCCCUCUUGAAGUUGCUGCGAAGAAGAUUAAAGCUACUAAUUAGAGCUUUUUAAAGUGUAGUGGAGUGGAUCGACGUGACAAGACACAGUGGAUUGAAAUAAAGCUACUUGAAGAGAAGCACCAAAACAAAUCAAGAAUUGGCAAGACCGGGUAAAAAUUGGUCUUUCUUAGUCUUUGCUCUGUUAUCGUUACACGACAACAAGCAAAGAGGGGCAACUGUACAGCCCAAAUUUUUACCCUGCCCAAUACUCAAAUUAAAACCAAGCCCAUUACAAAUCAACCCAAACCCGGAGUCCAACUAGCCUAACCCGAGGCCCAAACCUGACCGGCCCAAUAGCUAAGGCCCAACUCCCCCCCAAAAAAAUCUGCCUAGGGUUUCAGAGACUGAAACCCUAGGCGCCGCCUCUAGGGUCUUUGACCCUUGGCCUUCUGACACCGCCACCGUCCCAUUGGCGCCGCCCGCAGUCAAGUUGACCCUCCACUUGUGCUGUCACCUGCAAAGAAGAAACAAAACAAAGAAAUAGAGAGCAAAGAACGCAAGCAAUAGUGGAAAUCGGCUAUAAAAAGCCAACAAAAUGUAAUUUUUUGUUUUUCGGGCAAUCUUUGUAACAAAAAAAACAGAUAGUAGCAAAAUAAAAAAAAACAUUCAAGGUGAUUUAGACUUCUGGAUUCCUCUAUUUUCUUUCACCUUAAGUUUUUAUUUUAUAUUUUUUUUCUUUUUCAUUUGGAUUUAUUUCUCUAAAAAAGGUCAAGAAAAGGGUGAAAGGCGAUACCUUUCACUUGCGGCACGCCAUCGUCGGAGAUCCCUUCUGCGCCGGAGCCGUAGAAAUCCUCCGGGGUUUCGUUUAGGCCGCGCCAGAGGAGAGACGGGCAAAAAGGAGCAGCCCCUCCCCUUUUCUUUUCAUUUUCCGGCAAGGCGAAGCCGCGAUGAGGCCACGGCGAGGCCUUCGCACAAGCUCACCGAUGGUGUGGCCGGAUUCAAAGGGGAGAGGAAGCGUUUUUAACAGAGAGGGGAAGAGAGUGAUUUGAGUUUUUUUUUAUUUUAACUGUAAAAAAUGUAUUUUUUGUAAAAAAUUUCUUUUCAAAUAACCCCCCACGAAGCGACGCCGUUUUAGGCUUUCCUGACCCGCGUGGUGACCCGACCCAGGGGAGGAUCCGCGCGUUUUCUGUAAAUGGGGUAUUUACGCAAUAAGUCCCUCUGAGUUUGUGGCACUUUCGAGGCAGUUCUCUGUAUUUUUGCAAUUUAGCCCCGCAUUUUUGUUUCUGUUUCAUUUUAGUCCCCUGAAACGCCACGUUUUGAGAUUUUGGCUUAUUUUCAGUUUUGGUCCCCCCUCUUUCAGUGUGCGUCGCGAUUUAGUCUCUUUUGCCUUUUCUUAUUUCGAUUUCGCCCAAUACUCUCGUUUUUAUUUCGAUUUAAUCCAUAUUUUAGUAAUUCUAUUAUUUAGUUAUUAUUAUUAUCUUUAUUAUUAUUAUUAUAUUUAUUAAUAUUAUUGUUAUUAUUAUGUUUUUAUAUUUACUUAUGCAAAUUUUAGAUAUGUGUUCUAUUAUACUAUUAUUAUAUAACUUUUUUUAUACAUAUAUGUAUAUAUAUAUUUUUCUAACUUAUUUAAUAUAUAUAAAUACUCAAUUUUAUAUACGUAUCUAUAUAUAUAUUUUAUAUAUUAAAAUAUGUAUAUCAUAUGUUAUUUUAUGUUAUUUUUAUAAUCCACAUAUGUAUCUCUUUACAUUUAAUUGUAUUUACUACUUAUUUAUUUCAUUUUCUUUAUUUUUUUGAAUAAAUGUUUUAAUUUAUUUGUUUAUAUAUUGUUAUUUUAUAUGAUUGUAAGUAUGACUUUUAUUUAUUUUAUAUUGUUGCUAUUGCUCGUAUCAUUUUUAUACUUUUGCGUACAUUAUGAUUUUAUCAUGCAUAACAACAAUGUAAUUGGCUUUCGUAUUUUUUUUACUACGAUUUUCGUAUUUCAUUUUAUUUGAUAUAACAAAGUUGUUUUGAAUAAAUAAUAUUUUGUGUUUAGAUUCGAGAAAAUCGUACCCUAACUUACUGGGUUUCGAUUUUCACGGUAAACCCAAAUGCACGAAUCUUUUUAAACUCGAAUUCUAAAUAAUCUCGGGUUUUAAAAACAAAAUCGCGUCCUAACUUAUUGGUCGUGAUCUCAUUUUUAAAUUCGAGAUAGCUAAAAUAUCUUUUAAACAAGCAUUUUUAUGUAUUGGGAAUUCGAGAUAUUAUGUCCUAACUUACUGGAUAUGAUUCUCUUUCUCGAAUAACGUGAAAUAUGCCCUUUCUUUGAAAAUUUUCAACGUUUUAAUACAAGGAUCGUAUUUUUAAAUUUCUUUAAAGUUUUCGGUUUUUCGACACUAAGACAUUAAGUAAUCAACUAAGUACCAAUUUUGGGCGUAUCGAGGAUGCUAAUCUUUCCUCGUGCGUAACCGACUCCCGAACCCGUUUUUCUGAAUUUCGUGGACUAAACUCAUUGUUUUAAUAAAAUUAAACCGUUUAUUAAAAACAACCACUUUUACGAGGUGACCCAAUCACACAUCAUCAAAAAGGAUUGGUGGCGACUCCCGUUUUUUUUGUUUUCGUCAAAACCCAAGUCGACCCCGUUUUUUCAUCCAAAAAAUGGUGUCAACAGAGAUAACUAGAUUAUCUCUGAAAAAUUAAAAUUCCAAUGUAGCAUAUAAUUUUAAGAGUUUUAUUACCAAAGAAAGCAAACAGAGACAUGAAGCAGCCAAUUACAUCGUACAAACAUGGAGUUAACAAAAUAGAAGGAUGUUCAUAUAAACACAACGAUGGGACUCCUCACUUUGUGCUCACCAUCGUCCCACACUAAAGCACCAGACACCAUAGCUUUAUCCAUUGUCGCUUCCACUAUUACUUCAAAAGACAGCUUUUGUCCCACCGAUGUGAACGACAGAACAUCGGGGUUAACCCUGAUUUUCAACGUACCUGUCGAAAAACUCAGGUUAGCUCUGUAAACCGCCGUCGGAGAUCCCACGUUUGUGACGGUCCUUUUGAAGGUACGGCUGAAUGGUUUCAAUGGCGAAGUGGAAAGACCAAAGGAAGGGUAGUUUAGUUCCGAAACUGUCCCAUUAGUGUCUUCAGGACAAGUGGAGUUGUCUUUGGAUAAUAAUUGUAUUAACCGAGUGGCGUAUCCUUGUCCGCAUAAGAAGUUUAUGUAAUCGGUUUCAUUGGCAUCGUAUACUAGACCUGGAUUUGCAGCUUUUAAAGGAUUCAAAUGGCCUGAACCGUAUGCAAAUUCAGCUUCCAUGUUGAUGCCAGAGCUCAUGGGGGCGGCUGCAAUUAACAUUGCAAUUGGAAAUUUAAGUGAAAGUUGUACCUAAUCGAACUAUAAAACAUAUUUGUUAUGAGGUUUAUAAUUAAUUACCUGUGGUCAUAAGGGCAGAUUGAAUAGCAGCAGGAGACCAUGUGGGAUGAAAUGAUUUAACGUAGGCAGCUGCACCAGAAACAUGAGGACAAGACAUUGAUGUUCCUGAGAUUAUGUUGAAUGUCACGAACCUGUUGUCGCCUGGAACUAAAGAAACAGGAGAAAUUGAAGACCACGCUGCUAGAAUGUGAACCCCUGGUGCUGAUAUAUCUGGCUGCAAACAACAAUUUAAUGAAAAAAAAAACCAUCAAUCCGUCACAAGUUUCUGCAAAAUCAUAUACUAUAAUAUAUUUGGAAAGAUUUGGAUAAAAAUAUUAAACCAAAGCUUUUUUAUCAUUCAAGAGCAAAAUCACGCUCGGCCUCACCCAACCAUUUUUUUUCUAAAUCUAUAAUAUAUUGUUUUUUUUCUUAUAUUAAAUUGUAAUUUAUAUCCCAUCAAAAAAAUAUUUUAAGUUAUCUAUUUUUAAAAUUUUAAUAAAAGAAAAAUAUUAAAAUACUAUAAUUUUAAAAAUUAUAUUGUUUGGAAUUGAGCAAAAAAAAAAUCAAAGAUUGACCCAAAUCGAGGUGUUUAGAUGAUGAAAUACAAGUUAAAAUAUUAUGGUUAUCCAAACUGAGCCGAAUGCUACUUUUUUGUUUAAUUUAUAAUUAAUUUUAAUUUUUAUAAUUUAAAAAAUAAAUAUUUUAUAUUUAAAAUAGUGAAAAUAACUUAAAAGUUCUAUAUAGAAAUAUUUUUUAAAAUUACCAUAUAAAAGUUAUUGGUUAUUUUUUAUUUACUUGAAAAAAUAAAUUUUCUAGAAAUAUUUAUAAAAAAAAAAGUUGAAAUUUUAUCAAAUGAUAUUCAAAAGAUAUAAAAUAAAACUCAUUUUAUCAAAAUAAAUCUAAAAAUCUAAAUAAGGAUAAAUCGAGAAUCGAAUUGAAUUAUGAUAAACGAUUUAAAAAAAACGACCAAACUAAACUAAACUCACCCCUAAUAUCGACAAACUUAAACAAAUUUGGAUUAAAUAUUUACUAAUACAAGUAGGCUUGAAUUAAAUCCGUCGACCCACGAAUACUUCUAUAUUUACCUUAAAAGAUGUUUAUGUUUUAUAUAUUGGACACAAUUAUUGAAAGAAAAAAAAGUCAAACCAUUAAAUUUUCCAUCAAUUUACCUUAAUAAUCUCGGGUGUAAUCGGAUUCGGACCUCUCGACGAGAAAGAGAUGAUAUAAGGAGCCAAUGAGUCAUUAACCUCACUACUCCUGAAUAUAGUUGCUGUUGGAGCACUACAAAAACAUAUAGGCAAAGUCUUACAUGAUAUUCAUUUGUGUAUUCAUAUUGUAUUCGUAUCGAGUAAUCGUACCUGCUGGAGUUUACGUACUGAAAAAUGUUGCGACCGUCAACAAAGUUAAAACAAGAUGCAGGCAAAGGAAAAAGGCUAGAAUAGUCAAUGCUGUCCUGGCCUCGAGCCACGGUCCCAGCUGCACCAGCCAAAAGGGCUCCUAUCCCAUUAGUGCGUAUCGUAUCACAAAGAACAAUCUUACCCUUCACCAAAUUUUUAUCCAAUGAAUUCGAAAAACAUAACCUGCACUUAAAUGAUUAGAUCACUAAAAUAUUAAUAGUAUAAAAAGAUAUUAAAAAAUGAAAUACUUUAAUUUUACACAUGUGUAACUGGAUCAAUUAAAAAAAGAGAAGCUAAGUUUAUUUACCUGGAUGAUCUACUAGAUGUUGUAGUAGUGUUUGGUGCAUCUCCACCAUAAAUCAUAGGGUAUGUUUUAUUCUUGAGAUCAAAUGUAUUUAUUGAUACUCCCUACAUACAACCAUACAUACAUAUAUAUGAUAACUAUCAUUAUAAAUCUAUGACUAUAAAUCAUGUAUGUAUUUAUAUUACCUCAUAAAUCUUGUUGUUGCCAAGUUGAACCUUGGUGGAAAACUUGCGAUCGAUGGUGCUAGCUGCCACGGAAAGCGACCACGGUGAGAAAUUAGAGAUCGUUGAACGUCCAGGGCCUUCGUUACCCGCAGAACUUACAGUCAGUAUACCGUUUUUCAUGGCAUGAAAAGAUGCGAUAUCGAUCGCAUCUUCGAAAUAGUCUCUGGUCCGUCCUCCACCGAGUGAAAUUGAUAUAAUAUCGACUCCAUCAGAGAUCGCAUCAUCGAAUCCCGCGAGAAUGUCGGCAUCCUGACAACCAUCGGACCAACAUACUUUGUACACCGCAAUGCGUGCCGAUGGAACCCCUCCUCGAGCUGUUCCUGAACCAAAGCCGUAGAGACUUGCACCGUCGACUAAAUUCCCGGCUGCCGUGGAAGCAGUAUGAGUCCCAUGACCGUCGAAGUCUCUCGGAGAUUCAAAGUCUUCCGGUAAAAACAGUCCAUCGCUGCGGUAAUAUUUUGCACCUAUGAUCUUGCUGCAUUUGAACAUAUAGCAAUAUUAGUUAGACAUUUGAAGCACUAAGAUUUCUCCCAUAUCGAACAUAUACUUGUAUCCGAAGCGCACCCCUAAACCCAGUAACAUAACCCAAAAAAAGAAACAAAAGUUACUUGUUGCAAGUGAAAUUGUCUUGUGGUUGAAAUUGGCAACUGCCUUUCCAUUUGGAAGGAGGUGGACCAAGUCCUUUGUCAUCAAAGCUUAGAGAUUCAGGCCAAAUUCCAGUGUCUAAAACACCAAUGAUAACAUCACUUUCCAUGGUUGCUCUUUCAACUUGUUGAGGGAAUCCCAUAAAAUCCCAUGACCUUGUUGUAUGUAGUUUUCUCUUUUCAUUUGGAAACACUGAUACUACACCCUUCAUUCCUGAACAUAUCCAAACAACCAAAUUCAAAUUAAGCUCGAAGAUCUGCGUCUUAAUCCACAGAGUAUUUCCGCUUUGACUUUUAAAGUAGACCUAUUAUUAUAACUCGAACUUGAAAUUUUGAUUUGUUUAACUCGAAUAUGAACUUGAUCUAACUUGAUUUGAUAUAAAAAGUAACAAUAUGAAACCAGAGGGGCAUGGUAAGGUCUUGACCCUCACCUUGGUUGAAUGAGAACUCUUUAAUCCUUCCCAAAAAAUUGUAUUUUUUUAGCAUUUUCAAAAGAUUAAUAAUAUAAUUUAAGCUUUUGAAUAUAAAAAUUUUAACCUUGAUCCCUUCAAAGUUUUAUAAUUUUAUUUUGGAUCUCUAAAAACUUCAUUGCUUCACCCUUGAAACUGGUUCAACUUGAACUAAAAAAUGAACCAAACUUAAGUGCCAAAUCCGAAUGAAAAAAACUCAAAAAGCUCAAUUGAAAAAUCUGAAUGAUUCAAUUUUGAAAUUGACCUGAACUCAAAAAUAAUUCAAACUCGAAGUAAUAUAAAAAUUUUAAAACUUGAAUUGACUCAAUCUAGAAUAAUCAAAUUUGGAAUCAAUUGAACAUGUCUGGUUACAAGUCUAGUUGAAAAUAUAGCGCUCUCUUUUUUACUUGAAAUUCUUAUAAUUUUGUCUAAAGUUUACCAAUCUAACCCUUGAUUGAAUCAUUCAAAUCAUCUGUUAAUUCAAAUUGGUUCGCUCAAUUUAAAUGUUGACCUAAUAAUAAUUAAAUAAUUAAUUCAAAAAUCAUAAAUAUUAUAAAAUCGAUUGAAGCGGCAAUUUUUUAUUUUGAUUUCUAGUUUUUUUAAUUGAACCCAAAUGAUUCACUCAAAAAUCAAUUCAACUCUUGUUUUCAUAUCGAUAUAUUGAUCGGUCUUGUUCCACCAAUCCGACCUAUCAAUCUAAUUCGAUACAAAUAACACUGCUUUUAUCUCAUAAAAAAUAAUUGAUAAAUACAAACUUAAAUGUUUGUGUAUAUAUCAUAAUGGAUUUGAAGAAAUUUUAAAUGUGAGGUUGGAGUGUUACACUUACCGGCCAUUUUUUGUGCUUCUUCCUCAGUCAAAUCCACCACGAACCCAUUAAAACUCUUUUUGUAGCUGUACAGCACUGUCUUCGACUCACUGCAUUCAUUCCAAUUGCAUGCUCAAUCUCAAUAACCAGUAGUAGGUCUUAUUUUGUUUUGGGAUAAAUAUAAUUAAAUAUUACAAUUAAUAAUUAAUUAAACACUUGUAAAAUAGAAUUUAAAAUUCCAUAUUUACUAUCUAAAAAAAUGUACUCGUCCCGCUCUUUAUUCACUUAAAAAAAACUGCUCCAUUCGGAACAAUUUAAUUUAAAAUCCGUUGUAUGAUUUGAAUUUUGUCAUCUCUACUUUGCUUUCAAGAUUCUUUUUUAAAGAAAUUAAAACGUUAGAAUAUAAGAACAUAUAUUUUCUUAUCUAUAUUUGAAUAUAAGGAUAAAGUCAGAAAAUUAUUUUAGAGAAGUUAGAGAUAAAUCAUAAAUUAUUGAUUAACGGUAUAAUUUUAUCAUUAUAUUAAUAUAUAAUUUUAUAAAAAUUUAAGAAAUUAAAUAAUAAAUCUAUUAUUAGGAGGGGCUAAGGCUAUUGACUGCCCUUUUACCUUGGUCCCUGUUUAUAUAUAUAUAUAUAUAUAAAAUAUAAAUAUCAGAUACGGAUAUUUAAAGAAAAAAUCAGAGGCAACAUAUGUUUACACACCUGCCAAAAACAUCUUGUACCAUGCUGCUAUGAAGCAAAGCUGUGGAAGCUCCAUCUUUAAGUCGGUCACCCAUAUACACAAUAUAGCUCUGAAUAUUCACCGAUUACAAUUUUUAUUUUUCUUAAAAUGAAGUUCAUCACCAAUGGAAAUUUUAGAAAAAAAAAAAAAGACAAGAAAUUAAAUCCAGUAUUAACCUUUCGAUUGGCAUUGGCGUUGGAUUGAAAAAGAUGAGAGGCUGCUUUGGUAGUAAGAAGAGCUAAAAGAAAGCAAUGAAGUAGAUAUUUUCCUCCCUCCAUUGAAACAAUGCUCACACAAAAAUAAAUAACAAACUUUUCCAAGUAGUAUAUUUAUGGAGAAAAAUAGAUGCUAAAGUCUUAGUCUUUGUGGAAAUAAAUUAUAUUAGAAAUUUAAACUUUUCAUACUUUUCUUUUGUUUUAAUUUAUAUUUGGGAUAAUAUUUAAAAUUGUAUAUAAAUUUGUUGGAUAAUUACUACAAAAUUUCCUUUACAGUAAUUUUAGUAAAAUGUCAAAGUUUUAGAGAAAAGAAAUAUGAGAAAAUCAAGAAGAAUGACUCAAGCUCUCAUUUUGUUGCUUAUAAAAAAUAAUGACCUCCUAUUUAUAGGAUUCGGGUAAAGUAGUUCAGGGAAUUCAAAGGCCAUAUUGCAAUGAUCAGAUUCUGACGAUCAUAUUAUUGCAUUACCUUCGUUAUAAAUUAUAUUUGGGAUAAUAUUUAAAACUGGACAUGAAUUUUAUGUUAUAAUUAUUUCUUUAAAUAUAAUUAUAUUUAAAAAGAAAUUGGAUAAACCAUUUGUUUUAUUUAUGUUUGGAUUAAAUUUUUAAUUUUUAAAAAUAAUCGUGUAUUAUGUCUAUUUCCUACCAUGGUAGCUCAUUAAAUAAGUGUUCCUAAAUUUUUAUAUUUUUGUGGGUAUGAACAUAUGACCUACAUUUUGAUUUUUCUUUAGUAUCAAUAAAUUUGGGGUCACCAAUUGCUACAACUAGUGAACUACUUUUCAAUAUUAUUAUUAUUUCAUUAAAGAUGGAGAAAAGUAUUUUUGAGAUUGAGAAAAUAUUAGGUAAAUUGUUCCUAUUAAAUAAAUUAUUAUUUUAUUUGAUAAUUUAUUGUAUAAUAAUGUUUUUUUUUCUUUAAGUAUUACUUAAGGGUGAAUUCAGUUUGAUUUGAUAAUAUUUUUUUAAAAAAAUUUAAAUUUAUUUAUGAUAAUUUUGAGUUUUAAGUUGUCGAAUUUUAUUUUAACAAAAAGAAAAGAUAUAUACAUAUAUUGAAAAAUAAGUUUCAUAUAGAAUUUUACGUAUUUCUAAAGGGAUUUGAAUAAGUAACAAACUUAACCACGAAGUUAGAAUAGGAGAAAAUAGGUCAAAUUCUGUUAUUAGACACUAUAUUUUGAAUAAGUUGUGAAUUUAGUACCUAUAUAUUAAUUUAGUCAUUUUCAAUCUCUAUACUUUAAAAGUUUUAAUCUUGACCAAAUGAAAGCUAUCACAUUAAUUAAGUUCUGUUAUUUUUAAAAUUUGACACGUCAAACAUAUUAUCGCAUAUGUAAUGUCAUGUCAACUUGCCAUCUCCAUAUAUUACUCACAGAAAACCAAUUAAUAGAUUUAACAGUUGUCGUUUACAUUAAGAUUAAGAUUUCGAAAAUUAGAAAAUAUAAGACUAAGAACGAUCCAAUUCGAGAACAUGAACUAAAUCCCUAACUUUACACAUAAUGCAGGACUAAUAAUAAAAUUUAACCAAAUAGAUUUAAUUGCUAUUGUUUGGUCAGGAUUAAUUUUUUUAAAAUUAAAAAAAUAAAUAGACUAAUAUUAAUCAAAUUAAAAUACGUGUAUUAAAUCUACAAUUUAUGUAAAAUACAUGUUCUAAUGGCAGAAUUUGACCGGAGAAAAUAUGAUAAAUCAGUUUGACUUUAGCUUGUAUGUGGUAGAAUGACAUUAUAUGGUUUUAUUGGGCAUUCUUUGGUGGCGUGUAUGGGAAGCAACCAAAAAAAGGGUAAACCUCAUUAAUCGCUAAUUUACGUAUUUGACAAUCGAAUCGAUAAAAUUUGUAUAUGUAGAGAUUGAAUCGAUUGAUUUAAUUUAGAAUUAAAAUUAAAAUAAUAAAAUAUAUAAAUUUAAAAGCUACAUAUAUUAUUAUACCAAUUAGAUAAAAGUCAUCUUUUCUAUUAACAAUUUAAUAAUAAUGUUAGUGAUAAAUUUGUAAAUUUUUAUACCUUGGGUGUCUACUUGCUAUAUAAAAUUUUUUAGUUUUCAUAAUCAUUUUUCGAAAAAUUAUUUUUCAAAUAAAAAAAUGAUUUUUAUAUAACAUUUUAGCUAAAAUUCUAGAGGGUGUGGAAAUAAAUAACGAACUAAUUUGUCUCCUAACAUGUCCAGAGAGAGACAUAGUGUUAGAAUAGGAGAAAAUAUUGCAAAUCAGUUUGAUUUUAGUUUAAAGAGGUGAAAAUGACCUCUUGGCAUUAUUCGUCGGUCUGUAUGGGGACGCAAGAAAAAUAUUACAAAAAGGCAUAAUGUCAAUUUUAGAUUUUCAUCUUCUUAACUUUUAUCAAUUUGGUUAAAGUUGACAUUAAAACGCCUUUUGAGUACUAAUUCUUAAUUAAUAAGCAACAAAUAAAAUUAGAAUCUACAUUUUCAAAGGUUAAUAUGUUAAGGGUAGACUACAUUAGUCACUAAAUUAUAGAUAAGUUUUCGUUUUGGUCACUUAACUAAAAAAGUUACAAUUUAGUCAUUGAACUAUUCGAAAGUUUUCAUUAAAGUCACUGGACUCUUAAAAUCGGUGCUAUAUGGUUUUCUCUAUCCGUACUGCCUGCACCAAUCAAAAGUUCUUUUUCCCAUUCUCUUUUGCAGUUUGUUUUUUUUUUCAUAAAACAAUUUUGGACAUCAUGAAUCUACGGACCAAAAUUCAAAUAGCUUUUUUUUUUUCUGAUCUUCGAUACUGACCGUCAGAUCGACUUGGACUUCAGGUAUAUUCUUCUACUCAUAGAUGGGUACUAAUCCAUCAUAUCGAUCAUCAUUUAGAGCUUGUUGGUGGAACUUUAAAAAAAAAAAAAGACCUAAUAGCUUAGUAACUUAAAUAAAAAAUUUUAAACAGUUCAGUGACUUAAAUGAAAACUUUUGAAUAAUUUAAUAAUCAAAUUGUAUCUUUUUUAAGUUAGUGGCCAAAACUAAGAUUACCCUUUAUUUAGUGACUAAUAGUAUAGUUUACCCAUAUAUUAAAUAAGACCUUGAAUUUUGUCAUCACUUUAUUUAGAUAAAGCGCUUAUACUUUUACUAUACUUAAAUAAACCAUUAAAAUUUUAUGGGUAAACUAAAUUAGUAGUCAUCCAACUAUUAGUAAAUUUUUUAGUCACAAAAUUAUGAAAAAUUACAAAUUGGUCACCCAACUAUUCAAUUUUGUCUUUUUUGGUCACUAACUAGCUAACGGUGAUAGCUUUUAAAAUUGACAUAAUAGCAACUUUAACACUAAAUAUUUAUAAAUUAUGUCAAUUUAGAAUUGAUUCUAAAAAAUUAACUCUCAACAUUUACACAAUGUGUAAUUUGGUUUUUUUUUUUUUUGCAAUUUUACUUUUCUUUGUUGCAUGAAGGUUAAUUUUAAAAGAAUGAGAAAAGAUUAAAAUUAUUAUCUUAGAAUUUUUUGGUAUUUCCAUUUUUUGUAUAUCAAUCAAAUUCAACUAAUAAAAUUGUUUUUUUUAGCUUUUUAGGUGAAAGUGUCACAAAAUAAAACUUCAAAAAAGACCAAAUUUCUCAAUAUGUAAACGUUGAGGGUUAGAUUUUUUUGAAUCAAGACUAAAUUUAUACAAUGUAUAAAUGUCAAGGGUUAAAGUUACUAUUAUGCCAAUUUUAAAAGCUGUCACCAUUAGCCUAGACCAAAAAAAGACAAAAUUGAAUAGUUUGGUGAACAUUUUGUAACUUUCCAUAGUUGAGUGACCAAAAUAAAAAAUCAAAUAAUUAAGUGACCAUGUUGUAACUUUUGAUUGUUAGGUGAUCAAAAAAGAAAUUUACUAAUAGUUGAGUGACCACAAUUGUAGUUUAUGCAACUUUUAUUGAUACCAUAUAAGACUUAAUCUCUAACCUGUAUACAAAUAAACCCUUAAAAUUUAAGUUAUAUCUAAAUAAAACUCUUAAUAUAAAUCAUUAUUUCAUUUACAAUAAGAGCUAAUUCAAAUACAAAUAAAAGUAUAAUAACUUAUUUGGGUACAACAAAAAAUAUAGGGACUUAUUUAAUGAAUGUAAUCUAGUUCAAGGGCACUUUUGGUAGUUUAGCCUUUUCAAAUUUCAGGUUUUCACAGCUAUGAUAUUGAAGCAAAUACAACUAUUGGACUCCUCGCUUUACGCACACCAUCAUCCCACACUAAAGAACCAGAAACCAUAGAUAUGCAUCCAUUGUUCCUUCAAUUAUUACUUGAAAAGACAGCUUUUGUCCCACAGAUGUAAACGACAAAACAUUAGGGUUAACUCAGACUCUAGCUGUUCUUGUCGGAAAACUCACUCUUGCUCUAUACGUUGCCAUCGGAGAUCCCACAUUCGUAACAGUUCUAUUGAAAACACGACGAACAGUUGUUGAAGAAGAAGUGAAAACAGCAAAUGAAGGAUAGUUUAGAUCCGAAAGUACUGUUCCAUUUGUUGCUGCAGAACAUGUUGCAUUAUCCCUAUUAACUUGUCGAAGAAACCAAGUGUCAUAUCCUUGUCCGCAUAAAAAAAUUUAUGUAAUCAACUUCAUUGGAAUCGUAGAUUAAGCCUGGAUUUAUAGCUUUGAUUGGGUUCAAAUGGCCUGAUCCGUAUGCAAACUCAGCGUCCGAGUUCAUGCAUGAACUCAUAGGGGAAGCUGUAGUGAUAAGGGAAGAUUUGAUAGCAGAAGGAGACCAAGUGGGAUGAAACGACUGCGGCAGAAACAUGGGGACAAGCCAUUGAUGUGCCUGAGAUUAUGUUAAAUGGAACCCAUCUAUUAUCGCGCCUCUAUUUUGGGAAACUGGUGAAGCUAAAGACCAUGCAGCUACAAUAUCAACCCCUGGUGCUGACAAAUCUGGCUGUAAUUAUUACCCACAAAAAUUUAGAAAACUUAGGAUUAAGUUACGCCUAAGCUUGCUAUUAACAUAUUUUAUAAGUUCGGCUUAAAAUUUUGUUUAAAUUAACACAUAUUUAUAAAUAACUAAUUUAAAUCUAUUUUAGAUCUGCCUAUAUUAUUUUUAAAAAAUAAAAUAUAUAUUUAUAUUAUUUUUAAUUUAAUAUUUAAUAACUUUAUAUAUUUUUUAUUUAUUAAAAUUUUAUAUAUAGUUACCUAACAUUUUUUAAUUUUUAGAUUAUAGUAGUAUUAUAUAGUACUAUAGAUUUAAUUUUUAUAAAUGAUAUAAUAUAUAAAAAUAACGUAAUAUAAAAUAUUAGAAACAUACAAAUUGAGUCGGACUUGGGUUUUAAAUUUUCAAUCAUAGAGAUAACUAGAUUAUAUCUGAAAAAUCAAAAUUUUAAUAUAGCAUAUAAUUUUAAGAGUUUUAUUACCACAGAAAGCAAACAGAGACAUGAAGCAGCCAAUUACAUCGUACAAACAUGGAGUUAACAAAAUAGAAGGAUGUUCAUAUAAACGCAACGAUGGGACUCCUCACUUUGUGCUCACCAUCGUCCCACACUAAAGCACCAGACACCAUAGCUUUAUCCAUUGUCGCUUCCACUAUUACUUCAAAAGACAGCUUUUGUCCCACCGACGUGAACGACAGAACAUCGGGGUUAACCCUGAUUUUCAACGUACCUGUCGGAAAACUCAGGUUAGCUCUGUAAACCGCCGUCGGAGAUCCCACGUUUGUGACGGUCCUUUUGAAGAUACGGCUGAAUGGUUUCAAUGGCGAAGUGGAAAGACCAAAGGAAGGGUAGUUUAGUUCCGAAACUGUCCCAUUAGUGUCUUUAGGACAAGUGGAGUUGUCUUUGGAUAAUAAUUGUAUUAGCCGAGUGGCGUAUCCUUGUCCGCAUAAGAAGUUUAUGUAAUCGGUUUCAUUAGCAUCGUAUACUAGACCUGGAUUUGCAGCUUUUAAAGGAUUCAAAUGGCCUGAACCGUAUGCAAAUUCAGCUUCCAUGUUGAUGCCAGAGCUCAUGGGGGCGGCUGCAAUUAACAUUGCAAUUGGAAAUUUAAGUGAAAGUUGUACCUAAUCGAACUAUAAAACAUAUUUGUUAUGAGGUUUACAAUUAAUUACCUGUGGUCAUAAGGGCAGAUUGAAUAGCAGCAGGAGACCAUGUGGGAUGAAAUGAUUUAACGUAGGCAGCUGCACCAGAAACAUGAGGACAAGACAUUGAUGUUCCUGAGAUUAUGUUGAAUGUCACGAACCUGUUGUCGCCUGGAACUGAAGAAACAGGAGAAAUUGAAGACCACGCUGCUAGAAUGUGAACCCCUGGUGCUGAUAUAUCUGGCUGCAAACAACAAUUUAAUGAAAAAAAAAACCCAUCAAUCCAUCACAAGUUUCUGCAAAAUCAUAUGCAAUAAUAUAUUUGGAAAGAUUUAGAUAAAAAUAUUAAACCAAAGCUUUAGCAAAAUCACGCUCAGCCUCACCUAACCCUUUUUUUUCUAAAUCUAUAAUAUAUUGUUUUAUUUUCUUAUAUUAAAUUGUAAUUUAUAUCGCAUCAAAAAAAUAUUUUAAGUUAUCUAUUUUUAAAAUUUUAAUAAAAUAAAAAUAUUAGAAUACUAUAAUUUUAAAAAUUAUAUUGUUUAGAAUUGAGUAAGAAAAUAAAAAAAAUCAAAGAUUGAUCCAAAUCGAGGUGUUUAGAUGAUGGAAUACAAGUUAAAAUAUUAUGGUUAUCCGAACUGAGCCAAAUGCUACUUUUUUGUUUAAUUUAUAAUUAAUUUUAAUUUUUAUGAUUUAAAAAAUAAACAUUUUAUAUUUAAAAUAGUGAAAAUAACUUAAAAGUUCUAUAUAGAAAUAUUUUUUAAAAUUACCAUAUAAAAGAUAUAGUUUAUUUUUUAUUUACUUGAAAAAAUAAUUUUUCUAGAAAUAUUUAUAAACAAAAAAAAGUUGAAAUUUUAUCAAAUGAUAUUCAAAAGAUAUAAAAUAAAACUCAUUUUUUCAAAAUAAAUCUAAAAAUCUAAAAAAGGAUAAAUCGAGAAUCGAAUUGAAUUAUGAUAAACGAUUUUAAAAAAAACGACCAAACUAAACUAAACUCACCCCUAAUAUCGACAAACUUAAACAAAUUUCGAUUAAAUAUUUACUAAUACAAGUAGGCUUGAAUUAAAUCCGUCGACCCACGAAUACUUCUAUAUUUACCUUAAAAGAUGUUUAUGUUUUAUAUAUUGGACACAAUUAUUGAAAGGAAAAAAGUCAAACCAUUUAAUUUUCCAUCAAUUUACCUUAAUAAUCUCGGGUGUAAUCGGAUUCGGACCUCUCGACGAGAAAGAGAUGAUAUAAGGAGCCAAUGAGUCAUUAACCUCACUACUCCUGAAUAUAGUUGCUGUUGGAGCACUACAAAAACAUAUAGGCAAAGUCUUACAUGAUAUUCAUUUGUGUAUUCAUAUUAUAUUCGUAUUGAGUAAUCGUACCUGGUGGAGUUUACGUACUGAAAAAUGUUGCGACCGUCAACCAAGUUAAAACAAGAUGCAGGCAAAGGAAAAAGGUUAGAAUGGUCAAUCCCGUCCUGGUCUCGAGCCACGGUCCCAGCUGCACCAGCCAAAAGGGCUCCUAUCCCCUUACUGCGUUUCGUAUCACAGAGAACAAUCUUACCCUUCACCAAAUUUUUAUCCAAUGAAUUCGGAAAACAGAAUCUGCACUUCAACGAUUGGAUCAUUAAAAUAUUAAUAGUAUAAAGAGAUACGAAAAGAUAAAAUACUUUAGUUUUACACAUGUGGAACUAGAUCAAUUAAAAAAGAAAAAAAAAGGCUAAGUUUAUGUUACCUCGAUGAUGUAGUAGAUGUUGAAGUAGUGUUUGCUGCGUCUCCGCCAUAAAUCAUAGGGUACGUUUUAUUCUUGAGAUCAAAUGUAUUUAUUGAUACUCCCUACAUUACAACCAUACAUAUAUAUAUAAUAACUAUCAUUAUAAAUCAUAAAAUUGAUAUAUGAUUAUAAAUCAUGCAUGUAUUUAUAUUACCUCAUAAAUCUUGUUGUUGCCAAGUUGAACCUUGGUGGAAAACUUGCGAUCGAUGGUGCUAGCUGCCACAGAAAGCGACCACGGUGAGAAAUUAGAGAUCGUUGAACGUCCAGGGCCUUCGUUACCUGCCGAACUUACAGUCAGUAUACCGUUUUUCAUGGCGUGAAAAGAUGCGAUACUGAUCGCAUCUUCGAAAUAGUCUCUGGUCUGUCCUCCGCCGACUGAAAUUGAUAUAAUAUCGACUCCAUCAGAGAUCGCAUCAUCGAAUCCCGCGAGAAUGUCGGCAUCCUCACAACCAUCGGACCAACAUAUUUUGUACACCGCGAUGCGUGCUGAUGGAACCCCUCCUCGAGCUGUUCCUGAACCAAAGCCGUAGAGACUUGCACCGUCGACUAAACUCCCUGCUGCCGUGGAAGCAGUAUGAGUCCCAUGACCGUCGGCGUCUCUUGGAGAUUCAAAGUCAUCCGGUAAAAACAGUCCAUCGCUGCGGUAAUAUUUUGCACCUAUGAUCUUGCUGCAUUUGAACAUAUAGCAAUAUUAGUUAGACAUUUGAAGCACUAAGAUUUCUCCCAUAUCGAACAUAUACUUGUAUCCGAAACGCACCCCUAAACCCAGUAACAUAACCCAAAAAAAGAAACAAAAUUUACUUGUUGCAAGUGAAAUUGUCUUGUGGUUGAAAUUGGCAACUGCCUUUCCAUUUGGAAGGAGGUGGACCAAGUCCUUUGUCAUCAAAGCUUAGAGAUUCAGGCCAAAUUCCAGUGUCUAAAACUCCAAUGAUAACAUCACUUUCCAUGGUUGCUCUUUCAACUUGUUGAGGGAAUCCCAUAAAAUCCCAUGACCUUGUUGUAUGUAGUUUUCUCUUUUCAUUUGGAAACACUGAUACUACGCCCUUCAUUCCUGAACAUAUCCAAACAACCAAAAUUCAAAUUAAGCUCGAAGAUCUACGUCUUAAUCCACAGAGUAUUUCCGCUUUGACUUUUAAAGUAGACCUAUUAUUAUAACUCGAACUUGAAAUUUUAAUUUGUUUAACUCGAAUAUGAACUUGAUCUAACUUGAUUUGAUAUAAAAAGUAACAAUAUGAAACCAGAGGGGCAUGGUAAGGUCUUGACCCUCACCUUGGUUCAAUGAGAACUCUUUAAUCCUUCCCAAAAAAUUGUAUUUUUUUAGCAUCUUCAAAAGAUUAAUAAUAUAACUUAAGCUUUUUAAUAUAAAAAUUUUAACCUUGAUCCCUUCAAAAUUUUGUAAUUUUAUUUUGGAUCACUAAAAAAUUCAUGAUUUCACCCUUGGAACUGGCUCAAAUUUGAACUAAAAAAUGAACCAAACUUAAGUGUCAAAUCCGAAUGAAAAAAACCCAAAAAGCUCAAUUGAAAAACCUAAAUGAUUCAAUUUUGAAAUUGACCUGAACUCAAAAAUGAUUCAAACUCCCAAGUAAUAUAAAAAUUUUAAAGCCUGAAUUGACUCAAUCUAAAAUAAUCAAAUUUGGAAUCAAUUGAAUAUGUCCGGUUACAAGUCUACUUGAAAAUAUAACGCUCUCUUUUUUAGUUGAAAUUCUUAUAAUUUUGUCAAAAAUUUAACAAUCUAACCCUUGAUCGAAUCAUUCAAAUCAUCUGUUAAGUCAAAUUGGUUUGCUCAAUUUAAAUGUUGACCUAAUAAUAAUUAAAUAAUUAAUUCAAAAUUCAUAAAUAUUAUAAAAUCGAUAAUUCAAACGUCAAUUUUUUAUUUUGAUUUCUAAUUUUUUUUAAUUGAACCCAAGUGAUUCACUCAAAAAUCAAUUCUAACUCUUGUUUUCAGAUCAAUAUAUUGAUCGCUUUUAUUCAACCAAUCUGACCUAUCAAUCUGAUUCAAUACAAAUAACACUGCUUUUAUCUCAUAAAAAAUAAUUGAUAAAUACAAACUUAAAUGUUUGUGUAUAUAUCAUAAUGGAUUUGAAGAAAUUUUAAAUGUGAGGUUGGAGUGUUACACUUACCGGCCAUUUUUUGUGCUUCUUCCUCAGUCAAAUCCACCACGAACCCAUUAAAACUCUUUUUGUAGCUGUACAGCACUGUCUUCGACUCACUGCAUUCAUUCCAAUUGCAUGCUCAAUCUCAAUCACCAGUAGUAGGUUUUAUUUUGUUUUGGGAAUAAUUAUAAUUAAUUAUUACAAUUAUUAGGAGGAGCUAAGGUUAUUGACUGCCCUUUUACCUUGGUCCCUGUUUAUAUAUAUAUACGAUAUAAAUAUCAGAUACGGAUAUUUAAGAAAAAAAAUCAGAGGCAGCAUAUGUUUACACACCUGCCAAAAACAUCUUGUACCAUGCUGCCAUGAAGCAAAGCUGUGGAAGCUCCAUCUUUAAGUCGGUCACCCAUAUACACAAUAUAGCUCUGAAUAUUCACCGAUUACAAUUUUUAUUUUUCUUAAAAUGAAGCUCAUCACCAAUGGAAAUUUUAGAAAAAGAAAAUGACAAGAAAUUAAAUCCAAUAUUAACCUUUCGAUUUGCAUUGGCAUUGGAUUGAAAAAGAUGAGAUGCUGCUUUGGUAGUAAGAAGAGCUAAAAGAAAGCAAUGAAGUAGAUAUCUUCCUCCCUCCAUUGAAACAAUGCUCACACAACUUUUCCAAGUAGUAUAUUUAUGGAGAAAAAUAUAUGCUAAAAGUCUUACAGUCUUUGUGGAAAUAAAUUAUAUUAGAAAUUCAAACUUUUCAUACUUUUUUUUUGUUUUAAUUUAUAUUUGGGAUAAUAUUUAAAAUAAUUACUACAAAUUUUCUUUACUGUAAUUUUAAUAAAAUGUGAAAAUUUUAGAAAAAAGAAAUAUGAGAAAAUCAAGAAGAAUGAAUGAAGCUCUCAUUUUGUUGCUCAUAAAAAAUAAUGACCUCCUAUUUAUAGGAUUAGGGUAAAAUGAUUAGAUUCUAGCGGUCAUAUUUUUACAUUACUUUCGUUAUAAAUUAUAUUUGGGAUAUUAAUAUUUAAAACUGGACAUGAAUUUUGGUCAAAUAUAUAAUGUUAUAAUUAUUUCUUUAAAUGUAAUUAUAUUUAAAAAGAAAUUGGAUAAACCAUUUAUUUUAUUUAUGUUUGGAUUAAAUUUUUAAUUUUUAAAAAUAAUCGUGUAUUAUGUCUAUUUCCUACCAUGGUAGCUUAUUAAGUAAGUGUUCCUAGAUUUUUAUAUUUGUGUGGGUAUCAACAUAUGAAAUCUCACAAAAAGAUAGGGAAAUGGAGUAAGGAAUGGGAAAAACCAGCUGUCAAUGAAUGUAUUGACCCACACAUUUUGAUUUUUCUUUAGUACCAAUAAAUUGGGUGUCACCAAUUGCUACAACUAGUACUGAACUAUUUUUCAAUAUUAUUAUUAUUUUCAUUAAAGAUGGAGAAAAGUAUUUUGAGACUGAGAAAUUAUUAGGUAAAUUGUUACUAUUAAAUAAAUUAUUAUUAUUUUAUUCGAUAAUUUAUUUUAUAAUAAUGUUCUAAUUUUUUUUCUUAGGUAUUAUUUAAGGGUGACCUCAGUUUGAUUUGAUAGUAUUUUUUAAAAUUUUUAGAAUUAUUUAUGAUAAUUUUAAGUUUUAAAUUUUCAGAUUUUAUUUUAACAAAAAGAAUAUAUACAUAUAUUGAGAAAUAAGUUUGAUAUAGAAUUUUAGGUAUUUCUAAAGGGAUUUGAAUAAGUAACAAACUUAAGCACGAAGUUAGAAUAGGAGAAAAUAGGUUAAAUUCUGUUAUUAGAUACUAUAUUUUGAAUAAGUUGGGGAUUUAGUACCUAAAUAUUAAUUUAGUCAUUUUCAAUCUCUAUACUUUUAAAGUUUUAAUCUUGACCAAAUGAAAACUAUCACAUUAAUUAAGUUCUGUUAUUUUUAAAAUUUAACAUGUUAAAUAUAUUAUCGCAUAUGUAAUGUCAUGUCAACUUGCCAUCUCCAUAUAUUACUCAGAGAAAAUCAAUUAAUAGAUUUAACAGUUGCCGUUUACAUUAAGAUUAAAAUUUCGAAAUUCAGAAAAUAUAAGACUAAGAACGAUCCAAUUCGAGAACAUGAACUAAAUCUCUAACUUUACACAUAAUAUGCAGGACGAAUAAUAGAAUUUAACCAAAUAGAUUUAAUUACUAUUGUUUGGUCAGGAUUAAUUUUUUUAAAAAUUUAAAAAAUAAAUAGACUAAAAUUAAUCAAAUACAAAUACAUGUAUUAAAUAUACAAUUGAUGUAAAAUACAUGUUCUAAUGGCAGAAUUUGAGCGGAGAAAAUAUGAUAAAUCAGUUGGAUUUUAGCUUGUAUGUGGUAGGAUGACAUUAUUUGGUUUUAUUUGGUGGCGUGUAUGGGAAGCAACCAAAAAAAGGGGUAAACCUCAUUCCAUUAUUAACAUAUUUUUACUUGUCGGUCUGUAUGGGGACGCAAGAAAAAUAUUACAAAAAGGCAUAAUGUCAAUUUUAGAUUUUCAUCUUCUUAACUUUUAUCAAUUUGGUUAAAGUUGACAUUAAAACGCCUUUUGAGUACUAAUUCUUAAUUAAUAAGCAACAAAUAAAAUUAAAAUCUACGUUUUCAAAGGUUAAUAUGUUAAGGGUAGACUACAUUAGUCACUAAAUUAUAGAUAAGUUUUCGUUUUGGCCACUUAACUAAAAAAGUUACAAUUUGGUCACUGAACUAUUCGAAAGUUUUCAUUUAAGUUGUUCGACUCUUAAAAUCGGUGUUAUAUGGUUUUCUCUAUUCGUACUGCCUGCACCAAUCAAAAGUUCUCUUUCCCAUUCUCUUUUGCAGUUUAUUUUUUUUUCAUAAAACAAUUUUGGACGUCAUGGAUCUGCAAACCAAAAUUCAAAUAGCUUUUUUUUUAUCUUCGAUACUGACCGUCAGAUUGACUUGGACUUCAGGUAUAUCCUUCUACUCAUAGAUGGAUACUAAUCCAUCAUAUCGAUCAUCAUUUGGAGCUUGUUGGUGGAACUUUUAAAAAAAAAGACCUAAUAGCUUAGUAACUUAAAUAAAAACUUUUGAACAGUUCAGUGACUUAAAUGAAAACUUUUGAAUAAUUUAAUAACCAAAUUGUAUCUUUUUUAAAUUAGUGGCCAAAACUAACAUUACCCAUUAUUUAGUGAUUAAUAGUAUAGUUUACCCAUAUAUUAAAUAAGACCUUGAAUUUUGUCAUCACUUUAUUUAGAUAAAGCGCUUAUACUUUUACUAUACUUAAAUAAAUCAUUAAACUUUUAUGGGUAAACUAAAUUAGUAGUCAUCCAACUAUUAGUAAAAAAUUUUUAGUCACUCAAUUAUGAAAAAUUACAAACUGGUCACUCAACUAUUCAAUUUUCCAUUCAAUUUUGUCUUUUUUGGUCACUAACUAGCUAAUGGUGAUAGCUUUUAAAAUUGACAUAAUAGCAACUUUAACACUAAAUAUUUAUAAAUCAUGUCAAUUUAGUAUUGAUUCUAAAAAAAUUAACUCUCAACAUUUACACAAUGUGUAAUUUGGUUUUUUUUUUUUUUUGCAAUUUUACUUUUCUUUGUUACACUGAAGGUUAAUUUUAAAAGAAUGAGAAAAGAUUAAAAUUAUUAUCUUAGAAUUUUUUGGUAUUUCCAUUUUUUGUAUAUCAAUCAAAUUCAACCAAUAAAAUUAUUUUUCUUUUUAGCUUUUUAGGUGAAAGGGUCACAAAAAAAAAACUUCAAAUUACUCAAUAUGUAAACAUUGAGGGUUAGAUUUUUUGGAAUCAAGACUAAAUUGAUACAAUGUAUAAAUGUCAAGGGUUAAAGUUACUAUUAUGCCAAUUUUAAAAGAUGUCACCGUUAACCUAGACAAAAAAAAGACAAAAUUGAAUAGUUUGAUGAACAUUUUGUAACUUUCCAUAGUUGAGUGACCAAAAAAAAUUAAAUAAUUAAGUGACCAUGUUGUAACUUUUGAUAGUUAGGUGAUCAAAAAAGAAAUUUACUAUUAGUUGAGUGACUACAAUUGUAGUUUAUGCAACUUUUAUUGAUACCAUAUAAGACUUAACCUCUAACCUGUAUACAAAUAAACCCAUAAAAUUUAAUUAUAUCUAAAUAAAACUCUUAAUAUAAAUCAUUAUUUCAUUUACAAUAAGAGCUAAUUCAAAUACAAAUAAAAGAAUAACAACUUAUUUGGGUACAACAAAAAAUAUAGGGACUUAUUUAAUGAAUGUAAUCUAGUUCAAGGGCACUUUUGGUAGUUUAGCCUUUUCAAAUUUCAGGUUUUCACAGCUAUGAUAUUGAAGCAAACACAACUAUUGGACUCCUCGCUUUAUGCACACCAUCAUCCCACACAAAAGAACCAGAAACCAUAGAUGCAUCCAUUGUUCCUUCAAUUAUUACUUGAAAAGACAGCUUUUGUCCCACAGAUGUAAACGACAAAACAUUAGGGUUAACUCGGACUCUAGCUGUUCUUGUCGGAAAACUCACUCUUGCUCUAUACGUCGCCAUCGGAGAUCCCACAUUCGUAACAGUUCUAUUGAAAACACGACGAACAAUUGUUGAAGAAGAAGUGAAAACAGAAAAUGAAGGAUAGUUUAGAUCCGAAAGUACUGUUCCAUUUGUUGCUGCAGAACAUGUUGCGUUAUCCCCAGUAACUUGUCGAAGAAACCGAGUGUCAUAUCCUUGUCCGCAUAAAAAAUUUAUGUAAUCAACUUCAUUGGAAUCGUAGAUUAAGCCUGGAUUUAUAGCUUUGAUUGGGUUCAAAUGGCCUGAUCCGUAUGCAAACUCAGCGUCCGAGUUCAUGCCUGAACUCAUAGGGGAAGCUGUAGUGAUAAGGGAAGAUUUGAUAGCAGAAGGAGACCAAGUGGGAUGAAAAGAUUUAAUGUACGCAGCUGCGGCAGAAACAUGGGGACAAGACAUUGAUGUGCCUGAGAUUAUGUUAAAUGGAACCCAUCUAUUAUCGCCUCUAUUUUGGGAAACUGGUGAAGCUAAAGACCAUGCAGCUACAAUAUCAACCCCUGGUGCUGACAAAUCUGGCUGUAAUUAUUACCCACAAAAAUUUAGAAGACUUAGGAUUAGAUUACGCUUAAGCUUACUAUGAACAUAUUUUAUAAGUUGUUCCGAAAUAUAGACUUAAAAUUUUAUUUAAAUUAGUUCAUAUUUGUAAAUAAUUAAUUUAAAUUUCUUUUGGAUAUAUUUAUAUUAUUUUUUAAAAAUAAAAUAUAUAUUUAUCUUAUUUUAAUUUAAUAUUUAAUAAUUUUAUAUAUUUUUUAUUUAUUAAAAUUUUAUAUAUAGUUACCUAAUAUUUUUUAAUAUUUAGAUUAUAGUAGUAUUAUAUAGUACUAUAGAUUUAAUUUUUAUAAAUGGCAUAAUAUAUAGAAAUAACAUAAUAUAAAAUAUUAAAAAGUCAGAUUUGGGUCUUAAAUGUUCAAGCAGAACAAGCCUAAUUUCCUUACCCAAUUCAUUUUCCAGGCUUAACAAUUUUGUCUAAGUCCUUUCAAAUUUCAAGUAGGCCUCCGAGCUUUGGACAAAUAGUUCAGUUCAUGAACAGAUUUAGUUUAAAUUAAGUCAAAUCAUGUAAUAUUUAACUCGAUUUUUGAAAAAAAAUCAAAAUACAAAAUGAAUUAAAUUGAAUUAUUAUGAAAAGGUUAUAUGAAUAGAGAUUAUUAAGUCAUAAAAUUUACCUUGAGUAUUUCGGGUGUAAUCGGAUUCGGACCCCUCGAGGAAAAAGAGGCUACAUAAGGAGCCCUAGUGUCAUUAACCUCAUUACUCUUAAAUAUAGUUGCAGUUGCAUUGCUGUAAUGGAUAUGUGCAGAUGAUUUUCAGUUCGUUUACGAUAUUAAAAGAAAAGGUACGAAAUAGAAAGACGAAACCCGAACUACAAAUUACCUCGUUGAGUUUAUAUAUACGAAAAUCUUGCUGCCGUCGACCAGAUCGAGAAGAGAAGCAGGCAAAACAAAAGAGAAUGCAACAUCUUUUGGUGAAUUGUCUCGCAACAACGCACCAACUGCACCAGCUAUUAAUGGUCCUUCCCCGGAGACUAACCUAUCACAAAGUACAAUUUUGCCUUUCACCAAAUUAGGGUCCAAUGAGUUCUCCAAGCAAAUCCUGUAAAAAAAAAUCGAUUAGUUUCAGUAUCCGACUGUUAUUGAUAUUCUAUUUUAGUCGGGCUCAAAGAUAAUGGUCAAACAUGGGUAUGUCACAUUGACUUUUUUCAUAUAUGAGGGAUUAUAUCUUUGUACCUAUGUUUGAAUGUGUCAAAUAUAUUUCAAAGAUCGUGUCUCAUAAUAUGUGAUAAAUAUGAAUUAUUUGGGAAAAAUAGGGAGUAAAAAUACAUGGUUGAUAUUACCUUGAUGAAGAUGAUGUAUAAUUCCCUAUAGGGUUUGGUGCAUCGCCACCAUAAAUCAUAGGGUAUGUUUCAUUCUUGAGAUCAAAUGUAUUUAUUGAUACACCCUGAACACAUUUAAGAGAAAAAUGAAAAACAUUAUAAGAUUUCACAAUAAUAUAAGUAUUGGGUGUAGUGAUAAGAUGAAUUUAAAUUCAAAUUUUGAAGACACAUUGUUAGGAGGGAUAAUCAUGAACUUCGAAAUAUUAAAUCUUUAUAAAUUAUAAAAUAGAACAUAAUUUAUAACCGAUAGUCAUAAUUUGUAUAAAAAAAUCUAUCAUUUAAAUUCAAAAUCUCUUAUUGAUUCAAUCAUUAAGAGGUCACAUUCUUGAGAUAUUUUAAGAUUAUCUCUAAACAUAUUAUAAGACAAAUUUCAAAACCCUUAAAAGAUUUUUACUUUCCAUUGUAUACAGUAGGGACAAUCAUUGGCAUUACCUCAUAAACCACAUCGUUUCCAAGCUUAACUCCGGUGAAAAACUUCCGAUCAAUUGUGCUAGCAGCCACUGAAAGGGUCCAUGGCGAAAAAUUCGUGAUGGUUGCUCGUCGGGGACCUUGAUUACCGGCAGAGGUCACUGUCAAAAUGCCAUUUCUCAUUGCAUGGAAAGCUCCAAUCGCAAUCGAAUCACGGAAAUAAUCUGUAGGAGUUGUUGAUCCGACUGAUAGAGAUAUAAUGUCGACCCCAUCGGCAAUCGCAUCGUCAAACGCCGCAAGAAUAUCGGCAUCAGAACAACCGUCGGACCAACAAAUUUUGUACACCGCAAUGCGUGCUGACGGAACUCCUCCGCGAGCUGUUCCGGCACCAAGGCCAAACAAGUUUGCCUGGUUAACUAACCUUCCAGCAGCCGUAGAUGCGGUGUGAGUUCCAUGGCCUUCUGAGUCUCUUGGAGAAAUGAUAUCGUUUGAGCCAAAUAAUCCAUCGCUUUUGUAAUAUCGUGCUCCUAUGAUUUUACUGUAUUCAAAGAGUAAUAUUGGUUAAAAUCUAAGUCGGGAUGGCAAUAGAGCGGAGCAGAAGCGAGACUAUUUUAUUUACAUUCGUCUAGCUUACAUAGAGCAAACAAUUACGAAAUCUAUAUUUAAAAUUAUAAACACAUAUAUUUACGUUGUUUUAAGGUGCAUACUUGUUGCAAGUGAUAUUAUUUGCAUCUUGGCAAAUGCCUUUCCAUUUGUCCGGAGGUGGAGAAAGUCCUUCGUCAUUAAAACUUUGGGAUUCGGGCCAAAUUCCGGUGUCUAAAACUCCGAUGAUGACAUCACUUUCCGAAGUUGCUCUUCGUACUUGUUGUGAGAAGCCCAUGAAGUCCCAUGAUCUUGUUGUAUGUAAGAUUUUCUUUUCAUUUGGAAACACUGAUACUACACCAUUCAUUCCUAAAUGUUCACAGAUAAGUACAUUAACAAUUACUUGAAAGUUUCACGCUUUUGUCUCGUAAAAGAUAUGGAGUUGAAGGUGUUAUAGAAAUCAUGUUCACUCACCGGCCAUUUUCCGUGCUUCUUCCUCCGUUAGCUCUGCCACAAACCCGUUAAAACUCCUCUUGUAACUACAAAGCACCGACUUCGUGGCGGAUUCGCUGUCGAUGUAAUUUAUGAAGUUAUAUUUAAAUGAUAACAGUAAUCUUAUAUUAUCGGAAACUCCAAGAUAUGAGUUAUAGAUAGGAGUGUUCAAAUUUCGAUUAAAAUUAAAUUAAUCGAUCGAAUUAAUCUAAUUUGGUUAAUAGAUUAGUGGCUGAACUUAAUUCGGUCGGAGUUCGGUUAAUGAUUUUUUAAAAUUUCGGUUCAAAAUCAGAUAAUUAACCGAAUUAACUAAAUUAACCGAACUCAAUAAUUAAUAUAAUGUGUUAAUUUCAAGACAUUAUUUUUUGGUUAAUUCAGUUAACUUUCAAGAAAAAAACAUAUAUUUCUGUUAAUUUCAAUGUAAUUUUUUUAUAUAUAUUUUAUACUUGUUUUAACCAAAAGAUAAAAACAUAUAAAUUUUGAUUAAUUAGGUUAACUGACUGAAUUAACCGAAAGAUUUUGAUUCGAUUAACAAUUAAAAGAUUAUACAGUUCGAUUAAUUCAUUUAAUGUUAAUUUGGUUCAGAUAAUAACCGAACCGACCGUUUGAACACUCCUAAUUAAUUAUAAAGAUAUAUAUAGUUGAUAUAAAUAUAUUUAAUUUUAAAAAAAAAUUCAAAUGAUCAUGCUCAUACUCAUAUUUAAUAUAUAUCGAAAACGAAUAUUUAAGAAAAUAAUAAUAAAUUAUAUAUAAAUCGAAUCAAUAACAAUUACAUCCAAGUAAUUAGUAUUGAUUUAUAUACCUGCCUAAGACAUCUUGUAGCGUACUGUUAUGAAGUGAGGCUGUUGCAGUUCCAACUUUAGGUGGAUUUCCCAUGUAUAUAACAUAGCUCUGCAAAUUCCAUGGUUUUAAUAUAUAUAUAUAUAUAAGUUUCUUAGCAAUGAUCAAUUUGUCCAAAAACUAGAAAUAAAUUAAAUUAUGUUCAUAUCACGCUGAGAUUAAAUAAUAAAACAAUUAAAGUUACCAUCUUACAAAAAUUCUUUACAUGCAUGAAAAAAAAAUGAAUAUGUACAUAUCACGUGCGUAUCUAUAUCUGAUACUAACCCUUGAAUUAUUAAAAAUAAGAUUAAAAAAGUUACCCUUUUAUCUGAUUGAGACACUCCGAUGGUAAGGAGAAGGGCCGAGAGAAAUCCAUGAAUGAGAAGACAAUGAAGAAGAGAAAAUCUUUGGCCAUCCAUUUGACACAAAAGAAAAUUUGCCAACAAAUGUAUUAGCUAUGGAUUUUUAUAGAUUAACUCAACAGACUCGUUCCUUAAAGAGCAACAUAAAUUAAUUUGUUUCAGCAUUGAAUUAUUCAAGAAAUUUAUAUCUUAUUUUAUUAUUCUAAUAUGUUAAGUUAGAUGUAUAACGUGCAUGUAGAAGCCAAGUAAAAUUUAGGGUAAAGUAUACCAACAAUGAUUCAAUUUUAAUUAAAAUAAUAUUUCAGUCACUAAACUUUAAAAUGUUACAACUCAAUUACUAAACUUUACGAAAAUAAUAAAAUAGCCACUAAUUAGGACAUUUUCCAUUACAGACAUAAUGGAGAGUUGAGCUGGCCCAUUAACUAGCAAGUUGUAUGUUAACUAGCUAUGGUGGAAACUCAAUUUAAGAACCCUAGUUGUUGGAAGUAAAAGCAAAAGAGAAGAAAUGAAGAUACCUACUUUGAUUCCGGUUUGUUAUUGUGGAAAUUCAACUCAUACAGAGACGAAACUCAACUCAAAGAUUGUAAUUAGAGCAAGAAGCUUCCUCAAAGAUUUGUUGACUAGUUUUUUGAUGUUUUCGGUUGAUGUUGUUGAAAUCCAACGUCGUUAAAGUUGAGGUUUUAGUGAUUAAAAUGUUAUUUUAAUCAAAAUUGAGUGAUUGUCGAUGUAUUUUUCUCUAAAAUUAUGUAGAAACAGACAUUAAUGAGAACAAUCGUUUGGUUGCAGAUAUCAUAACUAUUUUUUAUUUUUUUAUAUUUAAAUAAUAAUCAUAUUUUUAUAUUUAUAUUAAAGUGCCAAAGGUAUCUUUCGAGCAUAUAUUUAAGAAAAUGAAAAAAAUAUAUUUGUAUAUAAACACAUUCAAGUAUUAAAUAUAAAUAUAUUAUUAUAAAUUUAAAAGUACAUGGGGAUAUAUAUAAAUGUAGAAAAGCUAAUUCAUACAAGAAAUCAAAAGAUUAGGUAAAAUAUAUAUAAUUUUUAAGAGAAAAAAAAUAUAAAGAACAAUUCAAAAAUUAUCCAUGGUUGGUCAUGUUCUAUAAAGAUGGAAAGUGAUAUUUUCUGAGUUUGGGAAUAAAAAAAUUAUUUAGAAUUAACAAGUCAAAUCAUAAAUCAAGAAGCCAAUUCAAAUAAUUAAGAAUAACAAUGACAUCUUAACUGGCAAAAAUAAUAGUCAAAUUGUGGUGGCAGUCUUAACUUUUGCACCCAUACCCCUACCUUUUUUAUAGUCUAAUAUUUUGAAUUAGAGGUGAAUAUUUAUAUGAUUUUUAAUUUAUUUACAGUAUAAUUUUAAGGUUAUAUUUUUAUGUGUUUUAACAUGGUUGGUUAUAUUUUUUUUUUUUAACAUACAUUAAUAGUUAUCCAACUAUUAGUAAAUUUAUUUUUUGAUUAUCUAACUAUAAAAAGUUACAAAAUCUGCUCGACUGGUCUAAAAAACCCGUUUUACUAUUAAAAAUUAGUCAAAUAUAUUAAAAUAUAUUUUUACUUGCUAUUUUAUAAUUAAAUUUUAAUUUAAAAGCACUUUUUUGUUAUUUAAAUUGAAUUAAGGUCAGGUCGGCCCAAAGUGCAAAAAAUCAUUGUCUAAGCUCAACCCUAGUCGGGUCGGGCCAAAUGGGCCACCCGAUCCUUGGACAGACCUACAAAAUGGCCAUGUGACUAUUAGUACAUUUUUUUAAUCACCCAACUAUAAAAAGUUGUAAAGAUGAUCACCCAAUUAUUCAAUUUUGUUUUUUUUUAUCAUUAGCUAGGUGAAGGUAGUAGCUUUUAAAUUAGCAUAAUAGCAACUUUAAUUCUCAACCUUUAUAAAUUAUGUCAAUUUAGUCUUGAUUUUAAAAUAAAAAAAUUAACCCUCAACAUUUACACAUUGUGCAUUGUGGACUCUCUUUUUUUCAAUUUUUCUUUUCUUUGUGACAUAGAGGGUUAAUUUUAAAAGAAUGAGAAAAGAUGAAAAUUAUUAUCUUGGAUUUAUAAAUUUAUUUUUUUAUUAUCUUUUUAGGUGAAAGGGUCACAAUGAAAAGAAAAGCUACGAAAAAUACUAAAUUACACGAUGUGCAAAUGUUGAUGGUUAGAUUUUUUUAGAAUUAAGACUAAAUUGUCACAAUAUGUAAAUGUUGAGGGUUAAAGUUUCUAUUACGCCAAUUUUAAAAGUUAUUACUGACCAAAAAAGACAAAAUUGAAUAGUCAAGUGACCAUUUUGUAACUUUUCAUAGUUGGGAGAACAAUUUUUUUUUUUUUACUAAUAGUUAGGUAAAUAUUUUAUAACUCUUCAUAGCUAAAUGACCAAAAAAGAAAUUUACUAAUAGUAGGGUGACUAAUAAUGAGUUUACCCAAAACGAUGGCCAAACAGAGAAACAGGUUUAUUAUAACAGUACAUGGAACGAGCAACAGAAGCUUCCCCAACAAUCUCCCACUUGACAUUUUGACAAAACUAAGUGGUAAAAACUUCCUCUGCACAUAUGCAUCGUAUCCAAAAGAAUGUAGCGUGGUAUGAAUAAAGCAAUAACAAAGCUUUUUCAUAUCUCCCUCUACGAAAUAUGCACAAUAGAGUUUCAACACAACAAUUCCGAGUAUUAAAACAAAUUCAAAAGUAGCAAAAUCCAACAAUUGCCAUACGCUAUAAAGUUCAAAUAAAAAACAUCCAAUCUUUAUCCACAGCAGCAGCAUUCAAACACACCAGCAACCAAUAGCCAUCAUAAAGAACCAGACUCUCUUCCCCUUUCACCAUGUCGAAUGCUCCAAGUCUUGAAGUAGGUUAGUGAGGUGAGCUUUUCAUGUGUUGAGUUGAUGAUCCUCCAAGUUAAUGCUGUCAAUUUUGGUUCUGAGCAUGACCAUUACCUUGCCUUUUGAGUCGCGAUAACACUUUGAGUUCCACUAGCUGCUCCUAUUACAGCAGAGGGUGGAAUAAGCUCUCUUAGUACCAAGUCAUUCAGUCGACUUAGUUUAAAUAGUUUGCUGGAGAUUUUGCGCUCCAAAACCAUGUCUAAUAGAACACCAUUUUCACUUUUAUAUUCUUUUGAAGAAUAAACAGAAGAGGGAAACGGAAGGAACUCAUGGUUCAACACGGACUCAACAUGUUUUACCAUUUGCUCAAAGAUAAAGUCUCCAAGGUUGAAACGCACCCCUUGGCCCACUAUAUAGAGAAGUCGAGCUAGUGGCUUAUUAACAGAGGAUUUAUAGAUUGUUGGCAGCCAAUUGUGGAUGGCUAUCUUGUGCAACAUGCAAAACUUGAUUGUUAACCUCGUGGUCGAUAAAGGUAAACUCUUGAGCCAAACUCACACAACUCCUCUAGUGAUAACAUCAAUAAUGUGAUUGAAAUCUUGAGUGAUGAGUUGGUCGUGCCCGACGUGCAUGCACUGGGGCUAAGAAUCAACACACAAUUUAAGAAUUUAAAAGUGGCUUUGUAACACCCCUAUACCAGAUCCGACCUUCAGGACCUGAUAUAAAACUAUUACAUUUGGUGCCAAAACGCUCUUGGCUAAACACUAGCACUUGAACAUUUUAUGACUAAAUUUUAGCCUUUACAACUUAUUAAUAUCACUAUGGAUGUUUGGAAACUUUGUCGGUUAACCAAUUUCGCUUGGAAGUAAAUAGAAUAAAUUUUUUAUUCAAAACAAGGGGCAAGUAUCGGUACCAAAAUCUAAGGGAUUGAUACUAGAGGUGCUCAUGGGCCGAGACGGGCCCAAAAAAAUUUUCGGCCCGUGUCCUAGGCCCGGGCCCGGCCUGGCCCAAAAUAUUGGCCUGAAAUUUUGUCCAGGCGCGGCCCGGGAAAAAUUCCUAAGCCCAAGCCCAACCCGGCCCAUAUUUUAAUAAACACCAAAAUUUUAUUAAUACCUAUGGCCAAUGUAUUGAUUUCUUGGCUUGGGUACCGAUACCAAAUUGGCAUUCUGUUUUCGAAAAACUCAAUUCCAAACACCAAGUAUCAAUACCUGAUCCUUGGUAUUGAUACCUUAGGUCAAUUUGCUUAAAAACAUUUGGAAAAUUUGUUUAAAACCCCCUGCAAAGAGUUUGUACCAUUUCAACACUUAAAAACCAAUUCCAAAGAAGUUUAAAUCGAUUUAAAACAAUUCUAAUUCAACCACAUAUGCAUGCAUACAUUUAAACUCUUAACAAUUCAUUUCAACUAAUACAAAAGUAGUUCAUUAAAAUACCAAAAUAAGUUAAGUUCCUAAAAGUUUGCAAUUUAGUCCCACCACUUGGAACACAUUCAGUUUACCUAUGUACAUAUAAUUCUAACUCAAAAUAUAAUACAUACUCUCUUAGAACUAAAGGAUGUGAUGAGAUAAGAAGCCCACGACCUCAACUAUGACUCAUCGGAUGCCACUAUACCUACGUGUUGAAAAUAAAUUCGUUAUGUCUGUGAAAACUUAGUACUAUAAGAAAUCUUUAAACGAUAAAAUUUCCAAAUUUGAACAACAGACCUGUAUUCAACUUCUAUACAAUAAUUUAUACUUAUAAUUAACAAUAAUCACCCAUUUUUAAUUUCAAUACUUACCUUAUUACGCAAAGCUACUCUUGUAGACCACAUUUCUUAUCCUUGCCCAAUGUAAGGUUAACAGAACAAAUUAGGACAUACAAAAUAAAUAUAAAAUUGCACUGAAGAACAUAAUUAGGUCAGUGGUGCACUGAAGUGCGAUAACAGAACAGUGGGUACCAUAAUGCUAAUUUGAAAAGUGGGCACUGUAGUGUGUAUUAGAACAUUGGGUGCACUAAUUAUCCUUAAUGGUAUGUCAUUUAUAUCCUAAUGGUUCUUAUUUCGUCUACAUGGGCUGACCUUUUAAAUAUUCGAAACUAACAUUUAAUUGAUGGAUAUAACAUCGCUUUCCAUAUUCACAAUUCAGUCCUUAUUAUCGCAAACAUUAUACAAUCUUGUAAAUUCAAUUACACAUUUAAUACUAGUAAUUUUAGUAUAUAAAUUAGUACUUGAACUCUUCUCAUAAACUCUACAUUGGUUUUUACUACACAUAAUAUUAAUAUUUUUAAAUUCAAUCUAACUAUUAACAUAAUUUAUAAUUAAACCCUAACUAAACAUAAAUAAAUUCUUGAAGUACUUACAACAAAAGCCUGGAUGGUGGAUUUUACUUUUCCUUAACCUUCUCAUUUCCUUUUCCUUCAAUUUGAUCUUCUCCUUUCUUUUCUUUUUCUUCAAUUUCAAAACAAACAUAUAACAUUUAUAUGUUAAACAACAUAAUCAAGUAAUUUUUCUAUGUUAUUUAAUAGAAAUAAACACGUAUGGCAUGAAAGUUUCAUUAUCUCUUACAUUAACCCCUUGAAAUUGAAAACCCAAUUCUUACUUUUUCUCUCAUUUAUCACUUCUAUGGAGACUCCUUUCUUAAAACUAAGGUACCCACUAGUCUUCUCUAUUGUUUUUACUAAAGAAACACCAAAGGAAAGGAAGGUUUUGAGCUUAGAUUUGAUCAACAAUGGUGGAAGGACUUAAAUAGAAUAAAAAAGAAAGUUUGGUAACCAUGAAAUGGAGGUGACAUUUGAAUUCUAAAAAGAUGAAGAGUCUUUCAUCUUUUCUUCACUUUUCUACACAGUUCUACAAAAAUAUCACAUGAUUUUUACUUAAAUUUGUCGAAUUGAUAAUAAGUCCUCUAGUCAUCCAUCUUUACACUUUAACCCCUUAUCAUUAUGCCUAUAAAUAUCUACUUAACCAAUUACCAUUUUACCCUUAAUCAUCUUUAAAAUUCCAUGUAUGAAUCAUAUUUUUGCUUGGUAAAAUUUCCUAUUAGUCCUUCCUUGUUUUUCCACAUUUUCCAUGUUUUCUCAUAACUUUCUAAUUUCAUACUUUCACUACAAUAAUUUCUAUACUCUUUCAAUUUAUUCAAUGCUUCUAUUCAAAAUUUUCCUAUCUAAGGAGUAUUACCUAAUUUCCUAUCGGGUCUAAAUACUUUCUAAUUUCACACUCAAGUUUCCUAUUUGUUCUAUUUAAAAAAAUUCUCCACUAAUUCUUGACUCAAUCCAUCAUUGUACCUAGCUUCGAGCCAAAACAUGACCUUUACAAGCUUACUGCAAGUGUGACAGACUAGUUGUAAUAUUUAUAAGUGUUACAAUGGAACACUUUGAGUAUUCCAAAGAUCGAACCCAAGGGAUUGUCAAAUUGAUAAAUGUGUUUAUCAAGUUAAUUGCAAGUUAAGCAAUUACUAAUCUAAUCAAGUCAAAAUUGUUUGUGCGAAUUCCAAAAAAAAAUGUUUAUAAACUAAAUUUAAAUUAUCAAUUAAAAAAACUAAUCUAAUUUUCUUCCUUAAUGCUUUAGAUAAUGAAAAUGAUAAAAUGAUGGUCAAUUGAUCCAUUACUCACUAACUUGUAAUGAUGACAAGUUUCAACAAAUUUGUGGAUUCAAACACCACCAUAAGAGAAUACUUCUCAAAAUGUGAAAACAUAAUGUUUCGUUCUUUGAUGACUUUGUUACUGGUUACAUUCUCCCAUCUUUUUUGAGCAAGAAUAUUGAAAAAUUCUAGCGGCUUUACCUUAUUGAACUCUUCAUCGUUCUUGGAAUGAACCUCUCAAAAUCGCUUGGAGUGAAUGUACGUGUAACGACCUGAUUUUCAGUGGUACCAAAAAAUGUGAUUUUGAAACACCACUUUCAUAAAUCGAGCCUGUAAAUAUAAAAUAGGAAUAUUUACGAAGUUAAUAUGUGAAUAUAAUAAAGAAUGAUCAGGUCAGGUAAAGGGUGCUACAGUAUAGGCCUAUUACUGUUUCAUCAUUCUUUUACUUUUCUUUUGCCUUUACCCAUGCAUGUAAUUGGGCAAGUGUCUCACUUGCUUCUUCAAUUUUAAAAAUUGAUUCUCGGUCUGAAGAGUCAUAAUCUUCUUCUUCGAAUUUUUUAGUUGGUUCUUUCGACAAUUAUUGUUCUUCCUCUUCUUGUGAUAAGUCAGAAUCUUAGUCGAAGGUGGAGGAGUUGUUUUCGAUUUCAACAGUAGUUUCCAUAUAUUUUGCUACAUUAUAGGUUUGCUCAAUUUGGGCAAGAAUAGCAUCAAUUUCUUUAAUGGCAGUAGUAGACGAGAGAAGUAUAUAAAGAGUCUCAGCCCCUAUUUUGGCAACGAAACAUUUCGACGACGAGGGGUGGGCUAAGCUUUGACCUCCUGUGGUAUAUCGUCAACAACUUUGAUGGGUGAUCUUAGGGACUUUCUGGGUUUCCUUUGUGCUGAACAUUUCACCCUUGCCAUGUUUUCACCAAGAAAACAAAGCAAAAAUAGAGAAGCAGUAGAGAUGAAGAACAAUAAUGGUGAGGAUUAAAGACCAAAAAGGAGUCUUUUCUUUUUCUUUUUAGAAGGAUGACAAGAAUUUUGAGGAGUCUUGAAAAGUUUAAUGCCUAACAUACUUUCUUCCAAAACAGAGACAUGAGAUGGGACAAAUUAACAAUGAAGGAAAAAAUUACAAAAAUACCUCAAAUAUGGCACAGCCCAAAAGACCCUCUUAUGCUUUCUAAUUGACUUGCAUUCAAGCUUUUUGUAAAGAUAUCCUCCAAUUGUGAGAUAUAUUUUAACUAUAUCAUCUUGUUUUCAAUGAGUUCCAAAAUUGAAGUGAUGUUGAAUCUCAAUAUUCUUUGUGAUGCCCCUAACUCAAUUCGAUUCGCCGGAUCCGAAUCUCAGGUGUUACUGUACAAAACUUUUAUCUUUAACGAAACACUUGACAAACUUUCUUACUUAACAUAUUUUUCUCAUUAAUUUUAAAACUAAUAGUCUUAUUAUUUAAGAACACAUAAUAUAUUAUUACAAAUUAUUACUUCAGAUUUAAUACAAUACUUAAUAAUAUUGAUGUUAUUGAAAGAUAGACUAAAAGGGCGCAAUCCUAACUACUACACGCUCCUAUUGUAUGCAUAAUAGCCCACUUCGCCACUUUCUUGGCACAGUCUUUUAGCAUUCAAACCUGAAACAUAAUUACACACAAAUAAGUUCUUAGGAACUUAAUGAGGGUAAACUCAUAUUUACCUUAUAAAAGGAUAAUAUACAGAAUCUGAUAGCCCAUUUUUGCCAUCUACUCUUUCUUUAUCACAAGUUUACACUUUGAAGAGUACCAUACCCUUCUCAUACUUAUCCAUAAACCCAACUACUACACUCUUAAUCAUACACAUUUUUUUUAUCUACCGGCCUCAAACUUUCUAGGACAUUCUCUAAUCUCUUCUUGAUCAUGAUUCCAUACAAAUACAUUUGAAGAGCAAUAUGUAUAAGCUCUCUCUUCAAACUCAACUAUUGGUUAUUAGCGAAUACAUACAAUCAGCGAAUUUCCAUUUAAACUCAACUAUCAACAGAUUACCGAAGCAAUCCCUAUCCAGUUUAUUCUCAAUACCAAAUCAUAUUGCCAGAACUUUACCUAGGAUAGUUUGAUGGUAUUCUUUUGUAUUCAAUAAUUCAGAGUCAUUCACAUUCCAUAAUAUUUCAGAGUAAAUCAGAACACAACAAAAUGGUGCAUAACCUUUCAUGCACACAAAUUCAUACAUUUUAUUCAAUAGCAUCUCUUUUAGUCUCAUUCAACUACAGAUCAAUUCUAUUUCACUCAUUUUCAUUUUCACUAUAUAUAUGUUAAACUUAUCAUUUCCUAAUCACAACUUAUAUUGUACUUACUACACGGCGGACGAUCACUUUGCGCCAUGUUGUUUUAGUUGAGCACGCUAGAAAGCCAAUCAGAAUACGCCACAAGACUUCUUAUAGAAUACGUUAGAAAAUAUCGUACUGAAUGUGCCAUAAUGGUUUCAUACAAAUUAUGCCAUAAUGAUAUCAUACAGAAUCCUGUGUUUACGAUCCAUUUAUAAAACCAUUUCAUAUCUUGCCAAGGGUCAUAACCUUAUGGUUUACGUAUACAUUCAUGUAUUGCAAUCUACCAUUUCGAUUCAAAUAUAUCGAAGGGUACACCAUGAACAUACAUGUCAUUUCAUAGCCUUGUAUCUCACGGACUCAGCCACAUAGACUUACACACAUUAUGUAUCACGACCUACCAGUUCGGUCAUUAAUAUACUUAAGACAACACCAUGAGUGUUUUCAUACCUUAAGGUGUCAUAGGUCAUAACCACAUGGUCUUUCAUUUCACUCAUACCGUGACUUGCCAAUUUGGUUAGCAGUAACUGCCCUACUAGAGGCAUCACAAAGAGACUUAGGCAUAACAAUCACUUACCAAAACUCAUACAUAUAUCAGAUAAUUCCUUAUCUUCCAAUCUCGAGCUGUACUUAAACUAAUAAAUAUAUACAUCAAUAUCAAUCUAUUUUGACAUAAUUGCAUUCAUAUAGUCGUGUACAUAUUACAUUCUUACCAUAAUUUUCAUGAAUACCGAUUUGUAAUUUGGUCACUUUCAUUUAGGUAGGGGUGUGCAAAAUUCGGGUAAAACCGAAAAAAUUCGGUUAACCGACCGAAUUCAGUUAAUCGGUCGGUUAACUGAAUUUUUUCGGUCGGGGGUCGGUUAAUUAUUUUUUAAUUUUUCGGUUAACGUUUAAUUCGGUUCGAAACCGGUCGGUUAACCGAAUUUUUUUGGUUAACCGAAAAAAUUAAUAAAUAAAAUUAAUAUAUAAAUAGGCCCACUAUUCAUCUAAACCCAAUCUAAACCCAAGUAUUUAAUCCAACCCAAUUACCCAACCCAACCCAAUCAUAAAAUUAAAUUACAAAUAAUUUAAUAAAUAAAAAUAAAAUUUUAAAACUAAGACUAAAACUAAAGUCUAAAAGUCUAAAAAUAAUUUAAUUAUGUAGUGAUUCAAUUUGGUUAAUUCGGUUAAUUCGGGUAAUUCGGUUAAUUUGGUUAAUUUUUAACCAAAAAUAAAAAAACAUAUAAUUUUCGGUUAAUUCGGUUAACCGACAGAAUUAACCGAAAAAAUUUCAAUUCGAUUAAUUUUUUUGAAAAAAUUUCGGUUCGGUUAACGGUUAAAGAUUUUGAAAGGUUGGUUAAUUCGGUUAAUGUUAUUUUGGGUCGGUUAACCGGUCGGUUAACCGAAUGAACACCCCUACAUUUAGGUAUACUUCUUAUUUGAACAUGUUGUUAUAAAGAGUCAGUAUAGAGACUCACCUGACACUCACAUACAACAACUUGAACUCCUGACUCACACAUUCAUCAAGAAACAACAACAACCACUGCUAACAGAACAUAUGAACACUAUUAGAACUCAUUUGUAUACAAUUUACCAUCAUCUCAAGCACAGACAACGCCCAUGCAAAGCCUUAUUUCUUCAUCUUAUUGUUCAUGUGCCCAUACAAACUUAAUCUUUCAGAACUUAACAUGCAGAGUUGUAAUACUUACCAGAAGAUAAAAUAAUCACCGAUUACACCAAGAAUAUUAUUCUUUAGCUUAAUGAGAGAACUACAGAGUUCCAAAAAGAAUCAGAUAACAGCAUUUUAGAAAAAGAAAGAAGAAAACUCUCUUUCUCUAAUCUCAUUCACAUAUAUAUAACCCAAUUUCACUUACAAGAGUUCAACAUGUGUCACUUAAAUUCAGAGUUUGUCUUUUAUAAUGACUUACAGAAUCUGAGAAUGUUAUAAAUGAAAAUCUAAUAUUUUAAAUACCUUGUUAGUCUAUCCAGUUAGUUCCUAACUAGAUUACAUUGCAACUUAACUUGUACAGUGCUUCAGACAAGCUGGGCACAGUAUACCUUUGGCGUGAACUCAUAUAUUAAAUACAUUUUUACUUGGUCAUUAUUAUACUCUAACUAACAUAGAAAUCUAGCAUAGGGCCAUCACUAAAUUACAUAUUGAUUGGAAUAUGCCAAAAGAAAUAAUUAGGUGGGUAGCACUUCGCCAAAAGAGUUUAUUCCACUAAAACCCACCCAAAUCUCAGGCCUGCUAGAUUCAGGGUGUGACAUGCUUUGUGUGAGAGUGUAGCAUCGGGUUCAAAAAAUAUUGAUUGUGCUUAUAUUGUCACAAUACACCAUUAGAACGUGGGUUGGAACGUGAUAGUCCUGAAGAAUUUGUUUCACCCAAAUGAGUUGGGUGCAGCAACUUCUGGCUGCUAUAUAUUCGGCUGCAGCUGUUGAGAGGGAGAUGAAAUUUUAUUUCUUGCUAUGCCACGACACUAGGUUAUUUCCCAAAAAGAAACAUCCUUCGAAGGUACUCUUUCGGUCAUCAACACUACCGAACCAAUCCACAUCGUUAUACCUAACGAGAGCCAUGUUUGUAUCCUUAGUGAACCAAAGCCCAUAAUCGAUAGUGCCCUUCACAUAUUCAAUAAUUCAUUUCACUACUUUAAGAUGUAAUUCUUUCAAGUUAACUUGGAAGUGAGCACAUACACCAACACUGACAAAUAUCUAGCCUGCUAGCCGUCAAAUAGAGUAAGCUUCCAAUUGUACUAUCAAUUGAGACACCCUCCUUGUUUAUACCAAGCUUUUCACUUGAUCCAUUGGGAGCCCGAGCAUUCUUGGCUUACUUUAAUUUAAUUUUUUUCACCAUGUUAGCUGCAUAUUUUUCUUAAUUUCAAAAUAUAACCCAAUUUAGCUAUUUAACUUGUAGACCAAGAAAGUAUGUGAGUUCUCCAACCAAGCUCAUCUUGAACUCAAAUUUCAUGAGUUGAACAAACUCAUUCCUUGCCUUUUCUGAAUUUGAAUCGAAAAUAAUGUUGUCAACAUAAAUCUGAACAAAAAUCAUAUCCUUCACGCUUUUCUUUAUGAAUAGAGUUUUAUCCAUGCUUCCUCGAACAUAACCUUGUUGUAACAAGUAUUGGCAUUUAUACCAAGUUCUUGGAGCUUGUUUUAGCCCGUAUAAUGCCUUUGACAGUUUGUACACAUAGUCCAGAUAAUGUAGGUCAAUAAACCCUUUAGGCUCAUUGAGCCAUCCAUUCAGAAAUGCACUUUUAACAUCCAUCUGAAACAAUUUUAUGUUAAGGUAGCAAGCAAUAGAUAAAAAAAGACAGAUUGAUUCUAACCUUGCUACUGGAGCAAAUAUUUCAUCAAAAUCCACUCCUUCAACUUACAUGUACCCUCGAUCUACAAGAUAAGAUUUAUUCCUUGUGAUCACUCCAUUCUCAUCAAUCUUGUUCUUGAAGAUCCAUUUGGUACAUAUUAUAUUGUACUCUGUUAGUCGUGGUUCAAGUGUCCACACUUCAUUUCUAACAAACUGUUGUAACUCUUCCUGCAUGGCAGCUAUCCUGUGCUCAUCUUGUAAAACCUCCUCUACUCUUUUAGGUUCCAAUGUUAACACAUAGCACCCCAUGUUGAUCAUCUCUCGAAAUUUAUUUUCUUUCCUCGAGUUCUUCUACUGUCAGCAAUAUCACCAAUAAUAUAUUCGGGAGGAUGAUUCUUUAAUAUAUUGGUUGGAGGGUUCAACUUGUGCCCCCCAUUUACUUCAACCUUAAGACACUUUGUUUCUGUUCCAUCUUCUGUUACAACAGACUUUGUUUUAGCAGUUGUUGCUUCAUCUUCAGGCAAUUCUACUAGAGACUUUGAGGAGUCAUCAAUAAUUACAUUUAUAGACUCUAUCACAAUCCUAGUUCGUUUAUUAUAGACCUAGUAUGCUUGACUGUUUGGUGAGUAUCCUACAAAUACACCAUUAUCGCUUCGAGGGUCAAACUUUCAUUUGGCUUCUCGAUCUCUUAGAAUAUAACAUGGACUACAAAAAUUUUGAAAAUAAGCACCAUCAGCUUCCUUUGUUUCCUGAUCUUAUAGGGACUCAUUCUUUUUAGUGGUCUUAAGAGUACCCAAUUACUAACAUAACAUGCAGUAUUAACGACCUUGGCCCAUAACUUAUGUAAAAUAUUUUUUACAUUAAGCGUCACCCUUGUCAUCUCUUAUAAUGUUCAGCUCGACAAUCCUAUUUUUCUGAGGCGUCUUAGGGGCUGAAAAUUCAUGCAAGAUCCCUUCUUGAUCACAGAAGUCUCAAACUCAUAAUUCUCGAACUAUUUUUCCUGGUCACUUCAAAUUCGAAUGAUCUUCCCAAUAUUCUCACCUUUUUUCAUUUAUGAGCUUUAUACACGGACUCUUAAACACCUUGAAAGUUUUAUACUUUUCUUUUAGAAAGUUAGCCUAAGUGAAACAAGAAAUGUAAUCAACACAAACAAAAACAUACAUCUUUCCUCCUAGGAUCUCUAGUUGCAUAGAACCAAUAAGAUCUAUUUGGAGCAACUCUAAUAAUCUUGUGGUAGUGAUCCAUCGUAAUGAAGGAUAGGACGAGCAAUGAUUUUUUUUCCAUUUAAGCAAUUCCACAAGGUUUCGUAAUAACUCCUACAAGUUUUGGUAAUCCUUGGAUAGCUCCAUGUUGCACAACCCUUUGAAGACUUUUGUAGCUUGCAUGCCCUAGCCGUUGAUGCCAUAGAUCAAGCUCAUUCAUUGAUUUCACAAAAUAUUUUUCUUCCUUUAUGAGAAGAUAAAAAUUAUCAAAUGACCAAGCUCCUUUUAUUAUGCAUUGACCGCUUGUGUCUAGGCCUCGCAACAAUUCUUGUUAAAACCUACUAGAAUUCUCUCAUCACACAGUUGACUUAUGCUGAUUAGAUUUGCAAAAAGUCCUUCCACAAGAUGAACAUUAUUGGGCUUUGGUAAUCCUUCAACAUCUAAGACCCAUUUUCUAGUUACUCUCCCCUUUUGACCAUCUCCAAAGGUUACUCUCCCUAUAUCACAUUUUUUAACUUCUUUCAAGAAUUUUUAGUUUCCUUACAUGUGUCUCGAGUACCCUCUGUCAAAGUACCAAAUCUCCUCAAUUGUGGAUUUUAAAGAAGUAUGAGCAAUCAAAAGGCUUCUUUCCUUGAAAACCCAGACUUACUUCACUUGUUGUACCUUCCUGUUUCUUGGACAAACAUUGCUGCCACCAUGUUUGUACUUCUUGAAGUCCUCUAGCAACUUGUAACAGAAAGGUAUUAUAUGAUCCUCCUUACCGCGACAAUGGUAAAAAAAAAAAAUUCUCUUCUUUUUAUGUUCUUCCUUUGUUCCUGAGGCAUCGCAUUCAUUAACUUUUAACAAAUAUAUAAGAUGGUUUAGUGUUCAUACCCUUGUUUGGAUAACCAAGGCCACAUCUCCCUAUUUCAAACCUGUGUAGAUAAAAUUUUGUCAAGCUUUGUGCUUUAGAAUCUCUUCAAGGUCAGUUUUGUAUCUUCAAGUUCUUUAUUGGCCUUUUCAAUAACUUGAUUCCUGAUGAGAACUUCCUUUACAAGGGCUUUCUUUUGACUUCUUAAGAUGCACACUUCUUGAAUAUCUUUAUUUAUUUCACAUAGCAUUUCCAUCCUUUUUUAACAAGUGAAAAUAAGCAUUUUCAAUAGAACCCUUUUUACUUUGUUCCUCUGUCUCUUCUUCCAGUUCGGUAGUGAAUGUCGCUUCUUUAUCGGACUCAGACAUAUCAUCUUCUGAUUCUUCAUCACUCCAAGUAGUGAUAAGCAACUUUAGCUUCUUCUUUUUUUUUCUUUUUUUCUUUUUUGUAUUUGCACAUUCAAUCUGAAUAUGUCUGUAUCCUUCGCAUUCAUAGCAUUGCAUAGUCUUCUUCUUCAUGAAUUACCCUCUAUUCUAACUCUUUUUGGGCAUUUCUUCUCCUUGUUUAUCUAUUACCAAUUUUUCUUGGCAAAAUGUUUUAGAGUCUUGAUGAAAUUUUUUUUUAAAUACUUUGUUUUGAAUAGGAGGAUCAUAUUAUACUAAUAAGUAAAAUGAAAUUAUUUUGUACGUAAUUUUUUUUAUGAUUAACAUUUUAACUAUACAUAUUAAUAUCAUAACUGAAGUCAUUUGGUCAUACAGAUAUAAUUGGUUUUUGCUUCAUAAGAAGCACGGAUGAAGAUUGAAAUAAAGAAUUAAAUGGUUUAAUUUGGAAACAAUUAGGGUUUCAUGAGAAUUUAUCAAUUAUUUCUUGCUUUUCAAUAUAAACAUGUCCAAAUAUUAAGUUACUCAGAUCCGAAAGUCCAUCUAUUAUUUCAAAAUGUACAGACAAAAUUAGAGCCUAAAAAUGAGCUUCACGUAAAAAUUCAGCCCUUUAAACAUGAUGUUGGACUUGAAUUCUAAAGGCUUGAAUCUAGCUUAGUUGGACACAUUUUUAGAUUUAUAAUAUAUUAAUUUUUUAUUUUUAUAUAUUACGUAAUUUAUAUCAAUUAAAAAUUAAAUAUAUAAUUUUACAAUGCAAAUAUUAAAAAAAUUAUUAAAUUAUCGAUGUUUAAAAUUUUAAUAAAAGAAAAAAUUACUAAAUACAAAAUAAAAAUAAAAAAUGAGAAAAAGAAAAUUUAUAUGUACGAAUUUAGAUAAAAUUGAAUUAAUUAUUUAUAGAAACGAAUAACUUUAACAAAAUUUAAGACUCAUGUCUUUGAUCAGGCCAAGGUUAAGCAAAUAUAUGAGACAUUGAUAUCAACCCUUUCUUAAUUCUAUAAUAUAUUAGGGUUUUUUUAAUAUGUUACAAAAUUUAUAUCAUUUGAAAAUAAAAUAUACAAGUCAUAAUGAUAAAUUUAACUCUUAAUGUAUUUUUUUUAGUUAAUUUAUCUAUUAUAAACAAUCAAAUCAGAUUUUAACAUGUAACAACACUCAUGGUAAUUCACGUAGAACACAUACAACACUAUUUGUAGAACACAUACAACACUAUUUGUCUUAUACGUACAUCAACAAAUAAUUUAAAAAUUAUAAAAGUAUUAAAAUAAAAAUAAAUUCAAAUUAAAAAAAACAUAAAAUACAUUUGGAGUCUACCAUGUUUAUUUAGUCAAUAUUUCCAUCAAAAAAACAAUUCAAUUUUUUUUGAAAGGUUAAAAGUCAAAUUGAACUUUUUUUUAAAAGCCUGAUACCCAAAUUUAAUUUUAAAAAAUUAAAAGUCAAAUUAACAAAAAAUGUAAACAUGAAUACCUGAUUUAAUUACUAGUAUAAUAAUACAAGGAAAAACUUAUUUAUCACAUAGGUAUACAAUAGUUAGACCUAAAAUAAAAAAUAUUUAGCACAAAUUUAAGCUUGAAAUUGAAAAAAAUGACUAAAAAAUCUUGUAAAAUAUAAAAUGACUAAAUAUUACUAAUUGAAUUAAUUUAUUGUUAAUCCAUAAACUAAAACGUGUAAACCAAACUAAUAUAAAAGCUUAAUUUAUCAUUAUGUCAAUAUAUAACACUACAACGCAAAUAUUAAAAAAUGUAUGAAGUAUAACAUGUGCAUUUUGAAAGAAGAAAAAAAAAAUCAUAUGUACCAACCUAACCUAAAUGAAAUUGGAUUAACUAUUUAUAAAUAUUAACGGGUAUAAAAAAAAUUAAAACUCAAUCAUCCUACAAACAUCUCUAGACAGGCAGAAGGGUUGUAAGGCCUAAAAGUAGUGAACAUAAAAUUGUCAGUUGUCAUCCAAAAUGAAUUGCAAUGUUUUGUUGGAUUUAUCUCAACAUGUUUCAAAAACAAUAAUUCAAUUGUUGCUCAUGUAAGCUAUGCCAACCCCAAAAUUCAUAAAAGGUGUUUUUACCUAAACCAGCAACCCCCCGAAAAUCCGACAGCUCGGAAGCCAUUAGCAGGCUGUUGGGAGACAGUGGAGACGUUGCCUCACUUGUAAAGAAAAUGAACCGAUGUCUGUUAGACCAACGAUGUAGGAAGAACUACGAGCGCAUAUGGAGAUUUGGCCUCAUUUCUUGAUUAAUCUCAAGACAUCACCAACGAGAUGCAAGGAACCAGUUACAAGGACCUAAUCAAUCAAGAUAAGGGAAUUAUAAAACCCAAGAGAAACACAAACGAAGUGAGAGUUGUAAGCAUUAAAGAAAAGAAAAAGCUACAACUGAACCACAACCUCGAUGCUUUUUCACUAAGACCAAGGAGUAUAGGGAUAUGCCUAUAGGCUAUGGUUAAGUUUUUGCCGAGUUCUCCCUACUUAGGUUGACACUCAUAUUCAACACAUAUUCGGACAUGGGUGUUGGAUAUAAUGCUCUAAAUAUAUGAAGAACUUUUGAAAAUUGAGUAUAUCUGACAUUCCCCGAUCAGGUACUUUUCUGACAAAUUAUUCACUAAGCCUAACCAAUUAUUCCCAAGACAGUAGGCUACAUGUAUUAUAUUAAAGACCCAGCAAUUUAAUCGACACAAAUAUCAACCACCAUAAAAGACAGCUCACAGGAGAUCAUCCAUACUUUACUCUCAAUUCAAUAAUAAAAUAAUGUUUCAGAGGAACAGAACAAGAGCCACUCAAUGGCUCGAUUCAUGCAUAAUCCUACAUGUUCCAAUAUCCUCCAAGGUUUUACAAGCUACACUUUCAACAACCACCACAUCAAAACAAAGUUAGAAUGCUAAGUUCUGAGACUAUAUCCAGGAACUCGAUGUAAAGUACUCUAACCUUGUUAUAUAUAGGAGGCAGGCAAAUAUUUGCAACAGCAAGCUUAUAAUCUCAAGCAAAUAUAAUCCACAAAACACAAUCAUUACCUGAAAAUGAACAAAUCGAUCCUUCUGGGCAGUAUCCCUGAGCCAUUUGAUAGCCGAUGGUAGAGAAGAAAAGACAAAACUGUUUUUACAAAUCGUAACGCUCAUUCCUGUAUCAUCUUUCACUUCUUCACAAGCUUGGUCCGUGUUACUGGGCUCCCCUCCUAGUAUAUGAAAGAUCCAAUCAUUAUAAACUAAACCGAACUAAAGCACCCUUAGUUAUGCUCCAUGUCCACAAUAAAUUUGCACAUUUUGUGAUGAUCAUAAUUAAAAUCAGUUCACUUAUAUCAUCAAGCAGAAAAAGGGAUUUGAAUCCCAAGGAAGUAAAUCCCAUUGGAAAUCAAAAUAUGGGGGGGGGGGGAACUUGAAACAUUAUGCGAUGAAAAGGCUGCAGACUUAAUUAUUUUAAAAUUACAAAUUCAACAUAACUCACAAACUAUGAAUUUUAGAAAAUAAGAAGAAUGUGAUGCCAUGCAUUAGACUGGUACCUUUAUCACUCUGCAUAAGGGUUUCCCAUGCGCUUUGAAGAGCAAAUUGCCAUGACAAAUCAACUUGAGGAUCAACUGUGGGUAAAGCCCGGGAUCCAACCUUGUGAUACACGGAUAUGUUUGGCACAAACAGAGCCUUCAGGAAGCAGACACCUGAAGUAUCAAUUACAAGAUUUUAGACUAAAACAGUGCAAUAAAGAAUUAAAGCACCUGAACGUAACCAUUCCCCUAAAACACCAGAUCUUUCAUGAACUUCAAAAGCAUUUACAAUGCUUUCCAUCAUAUGGAUGUAAAAUUCUAUCCAUGAGAACAUAUCUAAACAUGCCUCUAACUCAAGUAAUCACCAUGGCUGGCACAUGUCCUCAUCAAGCGAGGCAGAAGCAACUGAGGAUCUCGCACUGACAUACAAUUGAAUAGCAGAACCUGCAAGUAAUUCUCAAAAGCUUAAGUCCAGUAUCAUCAAGAUGCAGCCCAAAUCUAUUGUACAGCUUAAAGUUUAGAAAAGCACGGAAAUAUAAAUAAGGUGUGCAUGAAUGUAUAUUUGAAAAAAGUAGCAACAGUUUUCAGCCAGAUGCUCAAGGAAUUAUCAAAAUAUACAUUUACUUUUGCCUCAAGUUAUGUUUGAGCUUUAUAAACUCAAUCAUCAAAUUUCUGAAGCUUUCUGAAAAACCAAAUAGCCUCCUAGGUUUAGAUUAUCCUUCAUACUAUUACUCAUAAGCAAAAUACAAGUCAGCACCAAACUCCACGUGUUUGAUUGCUUCUUUUGACUUGCUAAAAUAGAAAAGAUUGAACAGUGGAUAUAAUAAGAUCAAAACAAAACUGAUGUUUGUAAGGACAGAGUACUCUCAAUCACGUCUAAGUUUUUAAAACUGUGGAAAAGAGCAGGGCACUCUACCUGGGCAGUAUCCUUCUUAGAUCCUUCAUCCAUAUGCUGCUGUGGCUGAUAAUUCAGGUUAGAUAGGUGAUUAUCAUCCCUCGUGCAAAGAGAAAACCACCUUGCACAAGCUUCCAUGCUUUCAGGACUGUGGGCUCCAUCCAAAUAAAAAACCAGAUUUCCAGGGCUUUCAAUGUCAGGGACAAUCUGAGCCCGCCCUUGCAAACUUGCUGUGGUUAGGCCCAUAAUAAAUGGUUCAGGUAAUGGACCCUAUUCCCAGGAAAUAAACAACUUUUAAGCAAAUGGAAAUUGGAAUGCAGAGAAAGUCUUCAAUAAAUAGAACCUACUGUUUGAUUGAAAUUGAUGAUAGGAUGACCAGUCCUCCGAAGCCAAGUAGAACACAGUGCAACAGCAAGACCAGCAUUCAAAUAUUGAUGUUCAACUUCAAGUGCAAGUUUUAGACCAUUCAGCAAAUUCGCAUCUAGUGGAUGUGCUACUUGAAGGUUUACCUGUUAAGGACAUAAUUAUAUUCAUGUCCUUUAGAACAAGGCAAUAUCCAGAAUUUGAAUACAAGUUGAGUCAUGCAUUCAAGUUCUUUGCAUCAGGAAACUCAGAAAUGGAAGUGUUAUGCAUACAUUCAACUUUGAAGCUUUCUCUUCAAGCACAUGCAUAGCCUCAUCAGCCUGAGGUACAGUAAAGGCCGGGAUUUCGUGCUGCAUCAGAAAAAGUACUAACAUAAAGGUUUUGCUCGAUAAGAUGGAAAGAAAAUUAGAAAGAUGAAAAAUUGGAGAAAAGCAGAAAAAUAGAAAAAACAUUAUUGCUUUCCAUUGGUAUGCUUGGUAGGAAAGACAGAAAAAUGAAAUGAAAAAUAAUUUUAUCUUCAUCCAUGGCUUGGUAGCGUUGGAAAAUGAAAAUUUAAAAAAAAAAAAAAAGUACUUAAUCUUGUAAAUAUGCACACUUAACUCGCAUCUCCUUGCUCUCUCUCCUCUUAUCAUUAUAAUUUGGAAUGAUAAGCUUUUAUGUAUUAGAAUAGAAAAUAAUCAUCUUUCCUAUUUUCUUUUCUUUCACUUUUAUUUCCUACCAAGCAAACACAAUUUACUUUCUUUUCACUUUCCCACUCUUCAUCCUCUACUUUUCCAUUCAACCAAGCACACCCAAGAAAAAGGAAAUAGAUUUAAAUUAUGUUGCAAAACUGGAACAGAGUCUUAUCAUAUGCUUUAAUCGACGUGGUUCUAAAAGUAAAAGCACCUUAAAAAUACCAGCCUUCGCCCCAGCAAUUUCUCCCAGAGUAUUUCCUGUUUAUGGCGUCCAAAAGAGGAAAGAAAGUAAUCUUUAGCAUUAGCUUUAAUUAUUCUGAAAGAAGCAAGUUAUUUUGAAAUACAUGGAUACACCAAAUGACAAAAUUCACAAGUAAUUACUCACGUAGCUCAGAAAGUUGGUAUAUAGGGGUAUUUUUUCAUUUAGUUCCGCAUAAUUUAGUUGUUCUCCGGUUAAUGAAAUCUCACAGAUAUGCUGGAAAUAUAGCUUUCAACAUGAUGCUCAAAAAACCUUUGAUGUCACAAAUUUACUGCACAAUGUUAAAAAUAAUGGAACACAAAAUGAAAUCUUUGUUACUCAGAGAUCUUGAUCAAUAACUUUACAAAGAUAUUCAGAGAUCUUUCACUUAUAUUAAUUAUGAACGUUCAUGAGAAGUUAACUAAAGUUAUAUAAUACUAACCAAGAAUCUCCAUGUGAUCAUACCCAAGGGAAGAUAUACCACAUACAAUAGGGUUUUUAACCUGAAAAAAAGACACAUUGAAAAAAAAUUAGAACAAGAUAGGCAUUAGCUUUAUAUUCUAGCACCACAAUGGCCAGAAAUGAUAAGCUUAGCUUGGCAGAUAUGUAGAGUAUUUGUGAACAAAAUUAGAAAAAUACCACAUUGGUUGCAUCAAACCUUCCACCCAAACCAACCUCCAGAAUUGCAACAUCAACCUGCAUGGACAAUUUAAAGACAAUCAAUAUUUUCACUUCAUGGCAGAGGAUGAUCAUGAAAUGGUAGAAGCGACAUGGGAACAGCUUCAUAUAGAAGGAUCAUAACACACAUCAAACCUGCUCUGCUGCAAAUAUCUUAAAGGCAAGCAAGGCCAGGAAGCGAAAGUAUGUAGGCAUUGGUACAUCAUCAUUGGUUUUUUCCUAUGAAUCAACGAAAAAAGUUAAGUAGGAUUAAACUCAUUGUUCGAAGGAAAAGCCCAAAAUAAAAGACAAUACUGUUUAUUCGAUGAUAAAUAUGGAACUGGACUCUGAGAGAAAUGAUACUGCAGAUGAUGCUGUUUCAAGCUGUCAAAAAGGCAGAGAGUCCAGGCAAGUCCAUGCGGACUAUUCAGGUUUGUUUGAAAUGCUAUACAACUCAAUUCUUAUUCCUUCUACUAGACUGAUUGGCUAGAGAAGCCCUAACUUCCUAUUGACAAUGCCAAAUUCUAAAAAAAGUAUCCCCGACCCCCCCCCCCCAAAAAAAAAAAUAAAAAAUAAAAAAGGGUCAUCAUAUGCACCAUGCAUGACUAUUAGCUUUUAGUCUGAUGAUGCUUUGUUGAAGACAAAUACUAGGAGAAAUAAGUUAGCAAAUUCUAAUAAACAAUUUACAACUAAUUCUUGUACAAUACUAGUUGACGACAUAGGAAGUCCUUAUUGUAGAGCCAAAUACUUACUACUUAGGACAGACAAUAAUUGAUGUUAAAAAAAUUAAAAAACCAACUUAAUAACAUAGAGAAAGGCAAAUAAAAUUGUAGAAGACCCCAGCAGGACGGAACCCUAGUGUGGAUGUACCUUCAGCCUAUCAUAGCACCACCAGAAAUAUUCCAAGAAUUUCUCCUCACUUAUUUCCAAACUGAAACAGCCAAGAAAGACAAGAAAUUAACAAUACUAUCAACACCUAAAAUUUUAAAUACUCAUAGAUAGCAGUAGUUAGCCAACAUUAACUAUAGAAAGCUUUAAAAAAUUAGACAAUAACUUAACUUACUAGAUAAGACCAAUUAAAUAGACAAACCACCCAUUUGAAACGCUUACCCAUCCAGUCGAAACCUUUCACGAACAUCAAUAAGAUGAGGAGAUGUGAAAAGUCCAGUUCGAAACCCACAAUUACGUAAUAUAGAUUCAGCAAACGUGCAUGUUGAUCCCUUUUCAAAUUUCCAAAUGAAGAGAGAAUCAGUAUAUCAAUUCAUAUGCUAUAUACAAACAGGAUAGAAGAUUUAAGUUACAUUGAAGCCAACUAGACCAAAAUAGCACCAAUGCCUAUAAGGCCGAGUGCUAAGGAGCUCGGUACCGGCAUCCGUUCAAGUCUUGCGGAAGGAGAAAAUAUGUAUUGGGGGAGUUUUCCGACCUCAGGGUUAACCCGACUUAACUCAGAAUAGUCGGGGCCAAUGUGACUACUGAUACCAGGUCUUAGACAAAAAAAAAAAAAAACCAGUAGAAAAUAGUGGCAAAUGCGAGGACGAAGCUACAGAUAAAUGCAGCAUACAAAAGCAAAAAAAAAAGAAACGGGAAAAGAUUCUUAAAGUUAAUUAGCUAAAAUUAAUGAGUUUCAGAGAAAGAAAAUUUUCAAUACCUUUCCUUUAGUGCCAGCAACAUGGAUGAUUUUCAACUGUGGAAUUGCCUCAUCCAGUUCCAAAAUCUAUAAUCCAUUCAACAAUCGGCUUAACUUUAAACUCUAAAAAAAUCAAUUUCUGAAAAUAACUCAAUCAAAGCAAAACCAAAUUACUUUCAAAUAAUCAAAGAGCAAGUCGUAGCCGCCCCCUUUAUUACUCUUGUCAGCACGGCUCUUUUUCGUUAUCAACGACGACAAGGCAUCCAACGUCGAUUGGUAUCGAUCCGCCGCAGACUCCAUCGAUCCUCCUACAAUAAAACAAAACAGAAAAUCAUAAAAACUGGGAAAAAAAACAGUUUUUCAAUCCUUUUUUUUUUUUUACCUUCGGCCAUUGGGAUAUUUUUUAUUUGGAUGGAUGAAAGGAUUGGGGAAAUGAGAGGAGGCGUUGAGAAGUGAAGACCAAGAGAUGAUGAGAUUGGGAUUGGGAUUGGCAUUGGGAUUGGAUUGGAGGGUUGAGCAAUUUUAAGCCAAGGAGCCACAUUCACCAAUAGCGACAUCGUUUUGUUUUUGUUUGUGGGUUGGUCGCAGACAAAGAUUCCCCACUUAUAAGCAAUCAACCUCUUUGUGCUAGAUAACGAUUAUAUAGGAUUUUUCCUCCUAAAUUUUGCUUAUAGUAUUAGUAUGUUCCAUGAGUCAAGCCACUUAAGCAUAUCUAAUGAAUCUCAUUUGAUUAGUUGACUUCUAUUGGACGUUUUGUGCACAAUGAUAAUUUAAUCCAUGACCCGUGACAUUAGAUCAUAUUUAUAAGUAAGAUGAUCUUAGAUAGAAAAUUUAAGUGCAAAUACUACAAAGGAGAAGUUGUAGGAACCUCAACUCUAGAUAUCAUCCCUAUACUCUAAACCUUGGAUCAUCUGAACCACCGCAUCUGAUCGAUUACUAGCCUAACAAGCGAAUAGGUCUAAACAAAAUUUUGUUGAUUGUGUUGAUAUUGUUGUGAGAUUGACGAUACCCCAAUGGCCUCAUCAUAAACUUUCCUAUGUUUGAUAUUCAAUGAUAGCUUUAAAAGAAUAAGUUAAACGACAACAUUCAAAAUUUAAAAGAACAAGUUGAUUAUCCAGACAAUAACCACAAGCCACUGCUAAGCAAUUUCAACUUGUCUUUUUCAUAUUUAAAACACAGAUUAAUAAACAAAUAAAUAAAAAGUUCAUUUCCAUAUUUAAAUUGAGCUAUUUCGAGAAGUUAAAUUGAGAGGUUUUUCAUAAUGAGCAGUGUAAUUCAUUAAUUAGAUAAUAUUUUUUAAUUUUUUUUGAAAGGGAAAUUUAUUAAUUCAUUCAAUGAAUGAGACCAUAUAAUUCGGGAGAAUAACAAACACUCAUUGUAGGCGGUAAAGGACAAGCUCCAUCAACACAACAAAGGUUUUAGCCUCAAAAUUAAUAAAACAUUAUGGCACUUUGACAAUUGGCUCUGUCACAACAUAUUUGGAAUGAUUGCAAGCACUUUAAUAUAAUAAGAAAAUUAGUCAUGGAUGCUCCAAAUCGACAGGCAUAAAUCGGCAAAAGAACUAAGCACCCACCAAAUUAGAGAGGACGACGACAAAACUAACCUUAAAAUCACUCGCAAAAGCAAGAAUAAAAGGCGUACUCUAAGUGUAGACAAAAACUUCUAAAAGUGAAGACUUAUUAAAUAAUGGAAAAAUAAACAAAAAAAAUAUAAAACUUAAGACAUCACAGGUCUAAACCGACUCAUGAAAUCAUUUAUUAUUCUGAAAUACUCUCAAAACAAAAACAAAUUAAGAAGUCAACAAAGAGUCACCCACUUUCUAAAAGAAAUUGUCGGUGAUCGACAGUGUUUUAGCAAUAAUAGGCCUCAUCAUCUGUCCAUUAUAACUUGUGAAGACAACAAAGAUACCCACAAAAUAGAUCUGCAAACUGAAAAGAAAGAAGUCACAUAGAGUGGAUGAGAAGAAAAAAAGAAAAAAAAGGUUAAUGGUCAGGAGAAAAAUAAGCAUUCUUAUGUCAUUUUCAUUCAUUCUUGGUCACUUUCCAAGCUUAAAAUUUCACUAAAGGUCAAUCUAAUUUACACAAGUUCAUUUUAACUUCACUUACAUAUUAGCAAAUUCCAUCUCUUCCUAUAUAUAUAUAUAUAUACACAUACGUGUGUGUGUGGGGUAUUUUCUUCAAAUUCUCCCUUGUUCUGUUGCCAGGCAGAUUAGACCUACUUCCACUAAAAUACAUUUAUCUUUUAGUGCAAAAUUUAUAUAAGAUUUUAUUUGUUUCUCUUAAAAAUAGACUCAUUAAUUAUUUCAUACAUAUAAAAUUUGUCUAUUAAUUAUUUUUUUUAUAAUUCUUAAUGAAUUUUUAAAGUUAGAACAAGAGAGCUCAAAAUCAUUCUGACCUUAUCUCCCUAAAAUUAAUAUAUCUCAUAAUUUACAAUUCCAUUACUUACACAAUUUUUUUAUAUAAUACUAGACUCAAUAGGAUUUAAUUUCAUAUUUGUUUUAACCUCUAACUCAAUUUUUAAAUUUUUUUGUAAAAUUUCAAAUUUAAGCUACUGUUGCUAUCCCAGAAACUAUUUUAGUGAAAAUAUUUACUUUUAUAAUCAUUAUACUUUUGAUUACUAUUCAAUUUAAUCAUUUAGAUUUAUAUGUUGAUAACAUAUUCAUUUACUUACCUUAAUACUUCUCAUAAUACAAAUUAUAUUUCUCUCUCACUUGAAAGCUUAGUGUUUUUACAUAUCAUACUUCAUUAAUACUUUCAAUCUCUACUAUUUCAAUUAAAAUACACAUAUCAUACAUAUCAUUCAUAACAUUAUUUCAAUUAAAACUCAAUUCCAAACACCAAGUAUCAAUACCUGAUCCUUGGUAUUGGUACCUUGGGUCAAUUUUGCUCAAAAACAUUUGGAAAAUUUGUUUAAAACCCCCUGCAAAGAGUUUGUACCAUUUCAACACUUAAAAACCAAUUCCAAAGAAGUUUAAAUCGAUUUAAAACAAUUCUAAUUCAACCAUAUAUACAUGCAUACACUUAAACUCUUAACAAUUCAUUUCAACUAAUACAAAAGUAGUUCAUUAAAAUACCAAAAUAAGUUAAGUUCUUAAAAUUUUGCAAUUUAGUCCCACCACUUGGAACACAUUCAGUUUACCUAUGUACAUAUAAUUCUAACUCAAAAUAUAAUACAUACUCUCCUGGAACUAAAGGAUGUGAUGAGAUGAGAAGCCCACGACCUCAACUACGACUCAUCGGAUGCCACUAUACCUACGUGUUGAAAAUAAAUGUGUUAUGUCUGUGAAGACAUAGUACUAUAAGAAAUCUUUAAACAAUAAAAUUUCCAAAUUUGAAUAACAGACCUGUAUUCAACUUCUAUACAAUAAUUUAUGCUUAUAAUUAACAAUAAUCACCCUUUUUUAAUUUCAAUACUUAACUUAUUACGCAAAGCUACUGUUGUAGACCACAUUUCUUAUCAUUGCCCAAUGUAGGCUUAACAGAACAAUUUAGGACAUACAAAAUAAAUGUAAAAUUGCACUAAAGAACAUAAUUAGAUCAAUGGUGCACCAAAGUGUGAUAACAGAACAGUGGGCACCAUAAUGCUAAUUUGAAAAGUGAGCACUGUAGUGUGUAUUAGAACAUUGGGUGCACUAAUUAUCCUUAAUGGUAUGCCAUUUUUAUCCUAAUGGUUCUUAUUUUGUCUACAUGGGCUGGCCUCUUAAAUAUUCAAAACUGACGUUUAAUCGAUAGAUAUAACAUAGCUUUCCAUAUUCACAAUUCAGUCUUUAUGAUCGCAAACAUUAUACAAUCUUGUAAAUUCAAUUACACAUUUAAUACUAGUAAUUUUAGUAUAUAAAUUAGUACUUGAACUCUUCUCAUAAACUCUACAUUGGUUUUUACUACACAUAAUAUUAAUCUUUUUAAAUUCAAUCUAACUAUUAACAUACUUUAUAAUUAAACCCUAACUAAACAUAAAUAAAUUCUUGAAGUACUUACAACAAAAGCUUGGAUGGUGGAUUUUACUUUUCCUUAACCUUCUCAUUUCCUUUUCCUUUUCCUUCAAUUUGAUCUUUUCAUUUCUUUUUUUUUUCUUCAAUUUCAAAACAAACAUAUAACAUUUAUAUGUUAAACAACAUAAUCAAGUAAUUUUUCUAUGUUAUUUAAUAGAAAUAAACACGUAUGGCAUGAAAGUUUCAUCAUCUCUUACAUUAACCCCUUGAAAUUGAAAACCCAAUUCUUACUUUUUCUCUCAUUUAUCACUUCUAUGGAGACUCAUUUCCUAAAACUAAGGUACCCACUAGUCUUCUCUAUUGUUUUUACUAAAGAAACACCAAAGGAAAGGAAGGCUUUGAGCUUAGAUUUGAUCAACAACGGUGGAAGGACUUAAAUAGAAUAAAAAAUAAAGUUUGGUAACCAUGAAAUGGAGGUGACAUUUGAAUUCUAAAAAGAUGAAGAAUCUUUCAUCUUUUCUUCACUUUUCUACACAGUUCUACAAAAAUAUCACAUCAUUUUUACAUAAAAUUUUCGAAUUGCUAAUAAGUCCUCUAGUCAUCCAUCUUUACACUUUAACCCCUAAUCAUUAUGCCUAUAAAUAUCUACUUAACCAAUUACCAUUUUACCCUUAAUCAUCUUUACAAUUCCAUGUAUGAAUCAUAUUUUUUCUUGGUAAAAUUUCCUAUUAGUCCUUCCUUGUUUUUCCACAUUUUUCAUGUUUUCUCAUAACUUUCUAAUUUCAUACUUUCACUACAAUAAUUUCUAUACUAUUUCAAUUUAUUCAAUGCUUCUAUUCAAAAUUUUCCUAUCUAAGGAGUAUUACCUAAUUCCCUAUCGGGUCUAAAUACUUUCUAAUUUCACACUCAAAUUUCCUAUUUGUUCUAUUUAAAAAAUUCUCCACUAAUUCUUGACUCAAUACAUCAUUGUACCUAGCUUCGAGCUAAAACAUGACCUUUACAAGCUUACUACAAGUGUGACAGACCAGUUGUAAUAUUUAUAAGUGUUACAAUGGAGCACUUCGAGUAUUCUAAAGAUCGAACCUAAGGGAUUGCCAAAUUGAUAAAUGUGUUUAUCAAGUUAAUUGCAAGUUAAGAAAUUACUAAUCUAAUCAAGUCAAAAUUAUUUGUGCGAAUUCCAAAAUAAUUUGUUUAUAAACUAAAUUUAAAUUAUCAAUUAAAAAAAUUAAUCUAAUUUUCUUCCUUAAUGUUUUAGAUAAUGAAAAUGAUAAAACGAUGGUCAAUUGAUUCAUUACUCGCUAACUUUUAAUGAUGACAAGUUUCAACAAAUUUGUGGAUUCAGACACCACCAUAAGAUAAUACUUCUCAAAAUGUAAAAACAUAAUGUUUCGUUCUUUGAUGACUUUGUUACUUGUUACAUUCUCCCAUCUUUUUUGGGUAAGAAUAUUGAAAAAUUCUAGCGGCUUUACCUUACUGAACUCUUCAUCGUUCUUGGAAUGAACCUCUCAAAAUCGCUUGGAGUGAAUAUACGUGUAACGACCUGAUUUUCAGUGGUACCAAAAAAUGUGAUUUCGAAACACCAUUUUCAUAAACCGAGUCUGUAAAUAUAAAAUAGGAAUAUUUACAAAGUUAAUAUGUGAACAUAAUAAAGAAUGAUUAGGUUAGGUAAGGAGUGUUACAGUAUAGGCCUAUUGCUCUUUCAUCGAUCUUUUACUUUUCUUUUGCCUUUACCCAUGCAUGUAAUUGGGCAAGUGUCUCACUUGCUUCUUCAAUUUUAAAAAUUGAUUCUUGGUCCGAAGAGUCAUAAUCUUCUUCUUCAGAUUUAUUUGUUGGUUCCUUCGACAAUUAUUGUUCUUCUUCUACUUGUAAUGAGUCAGAAUCUUAGUCGAAGGUGGAGGAGUUGUUUUCGAUUUCAACAGUAGUUUCCAUAUCUUUUGCUACAUUACAGGUUUGCUUAAUUUGGGCAAGAAUAGCAUCAAUUUUUUUGAAGGGAGUAGUAGAUGAGAGAAGUAUAUGAAGAGUCUUAGCCUCUAUUUUGGCAACGAAACAUUUCGACGAAGAGGGGUGGGCAGAGCUUUGACCUCCUGUGGUAGAUCGUCAACAACUUUGAUGGGUGAUCUUAGGGACUUUCUGGGUUUCCUUUGUGCUGAAAAUUUCACCCUUGCCAUCUUUUCACCAAGAAAACAAAGCAAAAAUAGAGAAGAAAAAAAUAGAGAAGCAGUAGAGAUGAAGAACAAUAAUGGUGAAGAUUAAAGACCAAAAAAUGGGUCUUUUCUUAUGUUUUUUGCAAAGAUAUCAGCCAAUUGUGAGAUAUAUUUUAACUAUAUCAUCUUGUUCUCAAUGAGUUCCCAAAUUAAAGUGAUGUUGAAUCUAGAUAUGCUUUGUAAUGCCCUUAACUCAAUUCGAUUCGCAAGAUCUGGAUCUCAGGUGUUACUGUACAAAACUUUUAUCUUUAACGAAACACUUGAAAAACUUUCUUGUUGAACAUAUUUUUCUCAUUAAUUUAAAAACUAAUAGUCUUAUUAUUUAAGAACACAAAAUAUAUUAUUACAAAUUAUUACUUCAGAUUUAAUACAACACUUAACAAUAUUGAUGUUAUUGAAAGACAGACUAAAAGGGCGUGAUCCUAACUACUACACACUCUCGUUGUAUGCAUAAUAGCUCACUUCGCCACUUUCUUGGCACAGUCUUGGUCUUGUUUCUCCAAUCGUAGUCUUUUAGCAUUCAAACCUGAAACAUAGUUACACACAAAUAAGUUCUUAGGAACUUAAUGAGGGUAAACUCAGAUUUACCUUCUAAAAGGAUGAUAUACAGAAUCUGAUAGCCCAUUUUUGCCAUCUACUCUUUCUUUAUCACAAGUUUACACUUUCGAGAGUACUAUACCCUUCUCAUACUCAUCCAUAAAUUCCAACUAGUACACUCUUAAUCAUGCCAAUUUCUUUUUAUCUACUGGCCUCAAACUUUCUAGAACAUUCUCUAAUCUCUUCUUGAUCACGAUUCCAUACAAAUACCUUUGAAGAGCAGUAUGUAUAAGCUAUCUCUUCAAACUCAACUAUUGGUUAUUAGCGAAUACAUACAAUCGGCAAAUUCCCAUUCAAACUCAACUAUCAACAGAUUACCGAAACAAUCCCUAUCCAGUUUAUUCUCAAUACCAAAUCAGAUUGUCAGAACUUCACCUAGGGUAGUUUGAUAGUUUUCCUUUGUAUUCAAUAAUUCAGAGUCAUUCACAUUCCAUAAUAUUUCAAAGUAAAUCAGAACACAACAAAAUGGUGGAUAACCUUUCAUACACACAAAUUCAUAACUUUUAUUCAAUAGCAUCUCUUUUAGUCUCAUUCAACUACAAAUCAAUUCUAUUUCGCUCAUUUUCAUUUUGAUUAUAUAUAUGUUGAACUUAUCAUUUCAAAAUCACAACUUAUAUUGUACUUAGUACACGGCGGACGAUCGCUUUACGCCAUGUUGUUUUAGUUGAGCACGCUAGAAAGCCAAUCAGAAUACCCCACAAGACUUCUUAUAGAAUACGUUAGAAAAUAUCGUACUGAAUGUGCCAUAACGGUUUCAUACAAAUUAUGCCAUAAUGAUUUCAAAUAGAAUCAUGUGUUUACGAUCCAUUUAUACAAUCAUUUCAUAUACUGCCAAGGGUCAUAACUUAUGGUUUACGUUUACAUUCAUGUAUUACGAUCUACCAUUUCGAUUGAAAUAUAUCGAAGGCUACACCAUGAACAUACAUUUCAUAUCAUAUCAUAUCAUUUCAUAUCCUUGUAUCACACGGACUCAGCCACAUAGACUUACACACAUUAUGUAUCACGGCCUACCAGUUCAGUCAUUAAUAUACUAAAGACAACACCAUGAGUGUUAUCAUACCUUAAGGUGUCAUGGGUCAUAACCACAUGGUUUUUCAUUUCACUCAUACCGUGACUUACCAAUUUGGUUAGCAGGAAUUGCCAUACUAGAGGCAUCACAAAAAGACUUAGGCAUAAUAAUCACUUACCAAAACUCAUACACAUAUCAGAUAAUUCCUUACCUUCCAAUCUCGAGCUGUACUUAAACUAAUAAAUAUAUACAUCAAUAUCAAUCUAUUUUGACAUAAUUGCAUUCAUAUAGUCGUGUACAUAUUACAUUCUUACCAUACUUUUCAUGAAUACCGAAUUGUAAUUUGGUCACUUUCAUAUAGGUACACUUUUUAUUUAAACAUUUCGUUAUAAAGAGCCAGUAUAGAGACUCGCCUGACACUUACAUACAACAGCUUGAACUCCAGACUCACACAUUCAUCAAGAAACCACAACAACCACUGCUAACAGAACAUAUGAACACCAUUAAAACUCAUUUGUAUACAAUUUACCAUCAUCUCAAGCACAGACAACCCCCAUGUAAAGCCUUAUUUCUUCAUCUUACUGUUCAUGCGCCCAUACAAACUUAAUCUUUCAGGGUGUGACAUGUUUUGUGUGAGAGUGUAGCAUCAGGUUCAAAAAAUAUUGAUUGUGCUUAUAUUUUCACAAUACACCAUUAGAACGUGGGUUGGAACGUGAUAGUCCUGAAGAAUUUGUUUCACCCAAAUGAUUUGGGUGCAGCAACUUCUGGCUGCUAUAUAUUCGGCUGCAGCUGUUGAGAGGGAGAUGAAAUUUUAUUUCUUGCUAUGCCACGACACAAGGUUAUUUCCCAAAAGGAAACAUCCUUCGAAGGUACUCUUUCGGUCAUCAACACUACCGAACCAAUCCACAUCGUUAUACCUAACGAGAGCCAUGUUUGUAUCCUUAAUGAACCAAAACCCAUAAUCGAUAGUGCCCUUCACAUAUUCAAUAAUUCAUCUCACUACUUUAAGAUGUGAUUCUUUGACGUUAACUUGGAAGUGAUCACAUAUACCAACACUUCGACAAAUAUCUAGCCUACUAGCCGUCAAAUAGAGUAAGCUUCCGAUAAUGCUUCGAUACAUUGUACUGUCAAUUGAGACACCCUAAUUGUUUGUACCAAGCUUUUCACUUGAUCCAAUGGGAGCCCGAGCAUUCUUGGCUUACUUUAAUUUAAUUUUUUUCACCAUGUUAGCUGCAUAUUUUUCUUAAUUUAAAAAUAUACCCCAAUUUAGCUAUUUAACUUGUAGACCAAGAAAGUAUGUGAGUUCUCUAACCAUGCUCAUCUUGAAAUCAAAUUUCAUGAGCUGAACAAACUCAUUCCUUGCCUUUUCUGAAUUUGAAUCGAAAAUAAUGUUGUCAAUAUAAAUCUGAAAAAAAAUCAUAUCCUUCACGCCUUUCCUUAUGAAUAGAGUUUUAUCCAUGCUUCCUCGAACAUAACCUUGUUAUACUAAGUUCUUGGAGCUUGUUUUAGCCCGUAUAAUACCUUUGACAGUUUGUACACAUAGUCCAGAUAGUGUGGGUCAAUAAACCCUUUAGUCUACUCGACAUAAACCUCCUCAUUGAGCCAUGCAUUCAGAAAUGCACUUUCAACAUCCAUCUGAAAAGAUUUUAUGUCAAGGAAGCAAGCAAUAGAUAAUAAAAGACAGAUUGAUUCUAACCUUGCUACUGGAGCAAAUAUUUCAUCAAAACCCACUCCUUCAACUUACAAGUACCCUUGAUCUACAAGAUAAGAUUUAUUCCUUGUGAUCACUCCAUUCUCAUCAAUCUUGUUCUUGAAGAUCCAUUUGGUACAUAUUAUAUUGUACUCUGUUAGUCGUGGUUCAAGUGUCCACACUUCAUUUCUAACAAACCAUUGUAACUCUUCCUGCAUGGCAGCUAUCCUGUGUUCAUCUUGUAAAACCUUCUCUACUCUUUUAGGUUCCAAUGUUAACACAUAGCACCCCAUGCUGAUCAUCUCUCGAAAUUUAUUUUCUUUCCUCGAGUUUUUCUACUGUCAGCAAUAUCACCAAUAAUAUAUUCGGGAGGAUGAUUCUUUAAUACAUUGGUUGGAGGGUUCAACUUGUGCCCCCCAUUUACUUCAACCUUAAGACACUUUGUUUCUGUUCCAUCUGUUCAAAGGUGGCAACAACAGCUGUAGCGAUCUAAAAAUUUGGCGAUAGGCGCUAAUCGAAGUAAUUAUUGAAAAUUUUAAAACUGAAUCUCGAUUUUAUUUGAAAAAGGAGUCGCCACCGAUCUUUUUUUCCUAGGUGUGAUCGGACACCUAAUAAAUUCUCUUUUUAAGAGAAAAUUUAUUUUGAAUUUUUUCCAAAAAAGAGGUAAUUUUAGGUCUACGAGAAAAUCCAGAGAAAAUUAGGGUCCGGGAGUCGGUUACGCGCGAGGAAGGUAUUAGCACCCUCGCGACGCCCAAAAUUGGUAUCUCGUUAAACGCAUGUUGUCUUAAUUUUCAAAAAUACGAGUUCCAUUUAAUAUUUAGUCGUGAUCCGAUUGAAAUACGAGAACCUUUUUUUUUUUAAACACGAGAAUUUUGAAGCGCAAUAUUUCUUUUUUUUUUAAAACGAAUUUUUAUUUAACACGAGAAUUUUUGAAAACACGAGAAUUUUUAAACAGGAAAAUUUUAGAAACAUGAAAAUUUUUAGAAACACGAAAAUUUUUAAAACACGACAUUUUUUUUGAAACACGGGAAUUUUUAAAACAGGGAAAUUUUAGAAACACGAAAAUUUUUAAAACACGACAUUUUUUGAAACACGAUUUAAAAAAAAUUUUGAAAUGCGAGAAUCUUUUUGAAACACGAAAAAUUUUUUACAAACGCGAAAAGUGAAAUUUUUGAAAUACGAGAAAUUUUUGAAAACACGAAAAUUUGAAACACGAGGUUUUUUUUUGAAAACGCGAAAACACGAAAAUUUGUCAAACACGGGAAUUUUUGAAAACACGAAAUUUUUUUAAACACGAGAAUUUUUUGAAAACACGAAAACACGAAAUUUUUUAAAACACAGGAAUUUUUGAAAAUACGAAUUUUUUUAUUCACGAGAAUUUUUGAAACACGAAAUUUUUUUAAAAGAAAGAGACAUGACUAUAUUUUUUGAAACACGGAAAAUUUUAUUAUUAUUAUUUUGAAACACGAGAAAUUUUGAAGACAUGAAAAUUUUUGAAACACGAUUUUUCUUUAAAAAAUACCGUAUUUAACACAAAUCGAUGAUAUUCAUCCCGAUAUGGCGAUGAAACCAUCGAAUUAGUGUUAACUCAAUUCAAUUUAAUAUUUAAUCGGGGUUCUAUUAAAACACGAGAAAUUUUUUUAAAUACGGGGAUUUUUUAAUAUUUUUUUUAUUUUUUUUAAAAGGGCGUCCCGAAUUUAACACGAGCUAUCGAUAUCCACCCAACAUAGCGAUAAAUUCGGUGACUCGAUGCUAAACCGAUUCGUUGCCUUAUUUAUUAAAAUAAUUUUAUUUCAUUUUUUUAUUGCAAAUAAAGCCACACUAAUAUUACUAAAAAAACUAUUUAAAAUAUGCUAAUUAAAUUCAAAUGAAAUAAUAUUUAAAUAAAUAAAACUAAAUUAAAAAAUUUAAGGAAGUUACCAAAAAGCCCCAAAGUUGUGGGCCCCUUUUUUCUUUUUCUUUUUUUUUCCUUUUUUUUCUGCUGGAUGUCGGGCCUGGGCGUUGGGCCGAAGGGAGGCCUGCUCGGCCUGCUGCUGCUGAGCCUGGGGGCUGCUGCUGCUGGACCUGCGCUGGGGCUGCGCAAAAGGGGCCUGCUUCCUUUUUCUUUUCUUCUGCUGGGCUGUUACUGCUAUUGGGCCUGCUGCUUGUUAUUUUUUUUUCUGGUUCUUUUUUUGCUUGGGCCUGGGUGUUUUGCUGCUGGAUCUUGCUGUUUGGAAUGGGCUGUUGGAGCGCGGGUCGGGUCGGGUUGGUUCCGAGGGUCGGGUGGUUGGGUCGGGUUGACCCGACUGACUAUAAAUUUUCUGUUUCUUUUUCUUUUUCUUUUUCUUUUUUCUUUUUCUUCUCCCUUUUUCUUCUUUUUUCUUUCUUCUUUCUUCUUCUUCGGGCCGUACCUUAACCCCACGUGCGCCUUUGAGGGCGCUUCCUCCACCUGGUACGACGGCCGGCGGUGGCACGGUGGUGAUGAAGGGACGACUGGACUUUCCUUUUGGACCUUUCUUUUGCUUUUUUCUCAUUUUUUGCUGCUGCGUUUUUGUUUUGCUUCUCUUUUUGUUUCGAUUUCUCUUGGCUUCUAGGUGGUGGUACGGUGGCUGCGGUGGCCGGUAGUGGCACGACGGUGGCGAGGGCUUUUUGGGCUGCUAUUGUUUGGAUUUUUUUGAAUUUUCUCUGCACUUUUUCUCUCUUUUUUUUAUUGUUCCCCCCCUCAAAAAAAAUCCCUCCCUCUCCUUUUAAUCCCCUCAUGUUGUCCUCUUUCUAAUUGUUUGCAGGUGGCAGAGGAGCCAUGAUGGCCUAGGGGGGCUGCUGGAGUAGCUCGGCUGGGAGGGGUACUCUCGGCUGCUGCUGCGGCGAUUAGACAAGUCCAGAAGGACUAAAUUGCAUAGGAUGCAAAGCUUCUGGGGCAAAAGUGCAAUUUUAGCAAAAAUAUGGGCCAAAUUGUAAUUUCUUGAAAAUUUAGGGGUUAAAGUGAAAUUUUGAGAAAGUUUAAGGGUUGAAAUGUAAUUUUAGAAAAGUUUAGGGUCAAAAUAUAAAUUUUAAAAGGUUUGGGGUCAAAAUAUAAGUUUUAAAAAGUAUAGGGGUCAAAAUGCAAUUUUUUAUUUUUUUAUUAUUUUUUUAACACAAAAUUAUUGCCGGACAAAAUUCAGUGAUUACAACAGCAGCUACAUGCAAGAAACCAUGCAAAGUGCACGUUGCAUGAAGAGAACCAAAAAUCCAGCCAAUGCAUGCUAGUGUCCAUGGUGUAAUUCAACGGCAGCAUUUUUAUUUUGUUGACUUUUGAUAGUUAAUGCUGUAAUCAUUUUAUGCUUUAGUCAGCUAAGAUUAAUUGUGUGCUUAGCUGAUUUUGUAGCCAUUUUAGGUUAUCAUUAAGUUGAUGUAAACCUUUUGACACUUGCACAAGCAAGUUUUGUUUUCUUUCUAUGUAUUUUUGAUCUAUUUAUGUAUGCAACUAUGCUCUUAUUCGGGUAAUGAUAAAAUCACUUGGCUCAUUCAACUUUCUCUUGUUUUUUGCUUCUGUUUUAAUCUUAAAACACCUCAACAAUCGAUUUUAGUUAUUUUUAAACUUUGUUGCUCAGUUAAAAACCAACAAAUGGUAUCGAGAGCCGUUGUCUUUGAGGUCCUCUUGUUGUGUGUUGUGUUUGUUGAAGCUAAGUGCUUGAAAGAAAAGAAACAGGAGCUAUCCUUGUUGCUCGGUGUUUGGAAGCUGCAUGAAGAUGAGCUUUUCACCACCAAUUCCACCUGUGUUCGCUGGUGAAAGCUACAAUAUAUGGGCUGUAAAAAUGAAAACAUACCUACAAGCACAUGACAUGUGGAAUGUUGUUCAAAAUGAUACAGAGCCACCACCUUUGAGAGCUAAUCCAACAAUAGCUCAGAUAAAGCAGUAUAAUGAAGACUGUGCAAAGAAGUACAGGGCCAUGUCAUGCCUUCAAAGUGGAGUUUCAGAUGUUAUCUUCACAAGGAUAAUGGCCUGUGACACACCAAAGGGGGCCUAGGACAAACUCAAGGAGGAGUUUCAAGGUCCAGACAAAACCAGGCAGCAACAACUCAUCAACUUGAGAAGAGAUUUUGAGAAUCUGAGUAUGAAAGACUCAGAAACCAUCAAGCAGUAUGCUGACAGAAUUAUGGCUACUAUCAACAACACAAGACUGUUUGGGGAUGACUUCAGUGAUCAGAGGGUAGUGGAGAAAGUCAUGACAACCCUGCCAGAGAAGUAUGAAUCAAAGAUUUCUUCCUUGGAGGACUCGAGGGACUUAUCAGCCAUUUCCUUGACAGAGCUGAUAAAUGCUCUCUAUGCACAAGAGCAAAGAAGAACAAACAGAAUGGAGGAGUAUUCUGAAUGUGCUUUUCAAGCCAGGAGUAGAGAGAGCUCAAGCUCGAGCUCGAAUCACAAAGGCAAGAAGCCUUGGUCAGAAAAGAAAGAAAGAGGGAAGAAGGAAGCUGCCAAGAAGAAAUUUCCACCUUGUGUUCACUGCAAAAGAACAACUCACCUUGAGAAAUAUUGCUGGUACAAGCCUGAUAUUCAGUGUAGAGGCUACAAACAGCUAGGCCAUAUUGAAAAAGUAUGUAAAAACAAACCAAAAACUCAGUCACAGCAUCAGAACCAAGCUCAAGCUGCUAAAGACAUCGAGGCACAAGAAGAACAUGUCUUCACAGCUUCUUGCUUUGCAAGCUCGAGCAAAGUAAGUAAGAUUUGGCUGAUCGAUAGUGAAUGCACUCAUCAUAUAGCUUCAGAUGAAAGUAUGUUCAAGGAGCUUGACACCUCUUUUGAGUCCAAUGUCAGAAUUGGAAAUGGUGAGCUUCUCAAGGCCAAAGGCAAGGGCAAGGCAGUGAUUUGCACCAAAUCAGGUAUUAAAACUAUUUCCGAAGUUCUUUAUGUACCUGACAUUAACCAAAAUUUGUUGAGUGUUGGUCAGCUACUGGAGAAAGGUUAUUCUCUUCUGUUUGAAGGCAAAAUUUGUACAAUCAAAGAUGCUACUGACCAAGUGCUAGCAGCAGUAGCUAUGCAAGACAAAACUUUCAAUGUAGAUGUGAAUCAGUUGCAAGCAAGAGCAUAUGCAGCUCAAAAUGAUGAGGCAAGCUUGUGGCAUAAAAGAAUGGGGCAUGUGAACUACAACUCACUCGGGCAAUUGCAAAAACUGAAUCUGGUUGAAGAAAUGGCCAAGUUCGAGCCAAAGAAAGAAGCAUGUGAAGUAUGUCAGCUUGGCAAGCAGACCAGACUGUCUUUUCCAGUCAACAAGGCAUGGAGAGCCCAGGAGAAACUUCAGUUGGUUCAUACAGACAUCUGAGGACCAAUGAAGACUAGCUCUCUAAAUGGCUGUAGGUAUUUUACUCUGUUCAUUGAUGACUACACAAGGUUUUGCUGGGUAAGCUUUCUGAAACAAAAGUCAGAUGUUACUGACUUCUUUUGCAAGUUCAAAGCUUUGGCAGAAAAACAAGCCAACUGCAAGCUUAAAAGCCUAAGGUCAGACAAUGGAGCUGAGUAUGUGUCUCAGAGGUUCCAGAAGAUUUGUGAUGAUGCUAGCAUCCUACAUCAACUAACCACUGUCUACACACCACAGCAAAAUGGUGUUUGUGAGAGAAGAAACAGGACUGUUCUCAAUAUGGCUAGAUGCCUGCUGUUUAAGGCAAAAAUGCCAAACAACUUCUGGAUUGAAGCAGUAAACACAUCUAUUUACUUGCUGAAUAGACUGCCGACUAAAGCAGUUAAGGGUAAAACACCCUUUGAGGCCUGGUUUGGGCAGAAACCAAUUGUGUCACACUUGAAAGUGUUUGGAUGCUUGUGUUAUGCACUGGUGCCAGCAGAGAAAAGAACUAAGCUGGAAAAAAAGUAUGUGCCAGGUGUGUUUGUAGGUUACAGCAGUGUAAAGAAGGGUUAUAGGAUCUUCAAUCCAUCAACCAAAAAAGUAAUUGUGAGCAGGGAUGUCAAGUUUAAUGAAGCAAGCUGCUGGAAGUGGAAUGGGACAGAUGCAAGCUUAACUGAAAAAGAUUUGCAGGACCUUGAUCUCCAACAUGCUGAAGUUGAAAGUGAAGCUGUGGAUGACUUUGAUGAUAUGCCUGUCAGAGGCACUAGAACAUUGGCAGACAUCUAUGAAAGAUGUGCUGUGACUAUGGUUGAGCCAUCCUGCUAUGCUAAAGCCUCAAAAGAAAGAUGCUGGCAAGAGGCUAUGGAAGCUGAACUAAGGAUGAUCCAAAAGAAUAACACCUAGGAGCUGGUUGAUAGACCAGAAAAUAGAAAGAUCAUUGGAGUAAAGUGGGUGUUCAGGAUCAAGAACAAUGCAGAUGGAUCACUAAACAAACACAAGGCCGGAUUAGUUGUGAAAGGAUAUAGCCAACAGCAAGGAGUCGAUUUCUUUGAAACUUUUGCUCCUGUUACAAGGCUGGACAUUAUAAGGAUAUUGUUUGCCCUAGCAGCUCAGAAACAAUGGCAGGUGCAUCAACUGGGUGUUAAAUCAGCCUUUUUAAAUGGAUUUCUCAUGGAGGAAACCUUCAUAGAGCAACCUGAAGGCUUUGAAGUUCAAGGAGAGGAACAAAAGGUCUACAAGCUCAAGAAGGCUCUAUAUGGCCUCAAAUAAGCUCCAAGGGCCUGGUAUGAUCGAAUAGAUGCCUACUUGACAAGGCUCGGGUUCACAAAAAUCACUAGUGAGCCUACUCUCUUUGUUAAGAAGGAGGGUGAUGAGACUUUGCUGAUUGUGUCACUGUAUGUUGAUGAUCUGUUGGUCACUGGUUGCAAAAGGGAGAAAAUUGAGACCUUUAAGAAGCAAAUGCAAAGUGUGUUCGAGAUGACUGAUCUUGGCUUGAUGACAUACUUCCUUGGCAUGGAAGUGAACCAAAAUGAGCAAGGCAUCUUCAUAAGCCAGAAGGCUUUUGCAUCAAAGGUUUUGAGCAAGUUUUGCAUGUCAAACUGCAAACCUGCUAGCACUCCUAUGGCUUUAGGAGAAAAACUCACUAGCCUAAGUGAUGAAGAUCGAGUGGAUGAAAAGAAUUACAGAAGCCUGGUUGGUUGCCUACUCUACUUGACUGGAACCAAGCCAGACAUCAUGCAUGCUGUAAGUCUUCUAUUGAGAUUCAUGCAUUGCUGCACAGUUGCACACUUUAAAGCAGCAAAAAGGGUCCUAAGGUAUGUCAAGGGGACUUUAAAUUGUGGAGUGAAGUUUGAAGGAGCUGAGGAAUUGAAACUGGUAGGAUACUCAGACAGUGAUUGGGCUGGCUCAGGAUGACAUGAAGAGCACAUCAGGCUACUUUUUCACCCUUGGUUCAGGUGUUUUUUGCUGGAGCUCGAAGAAGCAACAGACAGUGGCUCAAUUCACUGCUGAGGCUGAGUAUAUUGCUGCUGCCUCUGCAAUAAAUCAAGCCAUUUGGCUUAGAAAAAUGUUGUGCAAUUUGAAUGCUGAUCAAAAGGAGGCCACAGUGAUCAAGGUUGACAAUCAAUCUGCUGUUGCCAUUGCUAAAAAUUUGGUUUUUCAUGGUAAGACCAAGCAUUUUAAAAUCAAAUAUCAUUUUGUGAGGGAUGCUGAAAUGUCUAAAGAGGUAAACUUGGUUCACUGCUGCUCGAGAGAUCAACUUGCUGAUUGUUAACCAAACCAUUACCUGCUUCAAGAUUUGAAUAUUUGAAGGAUAAGAUUAGGGUUUGCUACGUUGUAGCCAAGGAGGAGUGUUCAAAGGUGGCAACAACAGCAGCUACAUGCAAGAAACCAUGCAAAGUGCACGUUGCAUGAAGAGAACCAAAAAUCCAGCCAAUGCAUGCUAGUGUCCAUGGUGUAAUUCGACAGCAGCAUUUUUAUUUUGUUGACUUUUGAUAGUUAAUGCUGUAAUCAUUUUAUGCUUUAGUCAGCUAAGAUUAAUUGUGUGCUUAGCUGAUUUUGUAGCCAUUUUAGGUUAUCAUUAAGUUGAUGUAAACCUUUUGACACUUGCACAAGCAAGUUUUGUUUUCUUUCUAUGUAUUUUUGAUCUAUUUAUGUAUGCAACUAUGCUCUUAUUCGGGUAAUGAUAAAAUCACUUUGGCUCAUUCAACUUUCUCUUGUUUUUUGCUUCUGUUUUAAUAUUAAAACACCUCAACAAUCAAUUUUAGUUAUUUUUAAACUUUGUUGCUCAGUUAAAAACCAACACCAUCUUCUGUUACAACAGACUUUGUUUUAGCAGUUGCUUCAUCUUUAGGCAAUUCUUCUAGAGACUUUGAGGAGUCAUCAAUAAUUACAUUUAUAGACUCUACCAAAAUCCUAGUUCAUUUAUUAUAGACCUAGUAUGCUUGACUGUUUGGUGAGUAUCCUACAAAUACACCAUUAUUGCUUCGAGGGUCAAACUUUCAUUUGGCUUCUCGAUCUCUUAGAAUAUAACAUGGACUACAAAAAUUUUGAAAAUAAGCAACCAUCAACUUCCUUUGUUUCCAGAUCUUAUAGGGACUCAUUCUUGUUAGUGGUCUUAAGAAUACCCGAUUACUAACAUAACAUGCAAUAAUAAAGACCUUGGCCCAUAACUUAUGUAAAAUAUUUUUGACAUUAAGCGUCACGCUUGUCAUCUCUUAUAAUGUUUGGCUCGACAAUCUUAUUUUUCCGAGGCAUCUUAAGGGUUGAAAAUUCAUGCAAGAUCCCUUCUUGAUCACUGAAGUCUUUAAACUCAUAAUUCUUAAACUACUUUUCGUGCUCACUUCAAAUUCGAAUGAUCUUCCCAAUGUUCUCACAUUUUUUCAUUUAUGAGCUUUAUACACAGACUCUUAAACACCUUGAAAUUUUUAUACUUUUCUUUUAGAAAGUUAACCUAAGUGAAACAAGAAAUGUCAUCAACACAAACAAAAACAUACAUCUUUCCUCCUAGGAUCUCUAGUUGCAUAGAACCAAUAAGAUAUAUUUGGAGCAACUCUAAUAAUCUUGUGGUAGUGAUCCAUCAUAAUGAAGGAUGGGACGAGCAAUGCUUUUUUUCCGUUUAAGCAAUUUCACAAGGUUUCGUAAUAACUCCUACAAGUUUUUGUAAUCCUUAAUAGCUUUAUGUUGCACAACCCUUUGAAGACUUUUGUAGCUUGCAUGCCCUAGCCGUUGAUGCCAUAGAUAAAGCUCAUUCAUUGAUUUCACAAUACAUUUUUCUUCCUUUACGAGACGAUAACAAUUAUCAAAUGACCAAGUUCCUUUUAGUAUGCAUUCACCGCUUGUGUUUUAGGCCUUGCAACAAUUCUUGGUAAAACCUACUAGAAUUCCCUCAUCACACAGUUGAAUUAUGUUGAUUAGAUUUGCAAAAAGUCCUUCCACAAGAUGAACAUUAUUGGGCUUUGGUAAUCCUUCAACAUCUAAGACCCAUUUUCCAGUUACUCUCCCCUUUUGACCAUCUCCAAAGGUUACUCUCCCUAUAUCUCACCUUUUUGAACUUCUUUCAAGCAUUUUUAGUUUCCUAACGCGUGUCUUGAGCACCCUCUGUCAAAGUACCAAAUCUCCUCAGUUGUGGCUUUUAAAGAAGUAUGAGCAAUCAAAAGGCUUCUUUCCUUGAAAACCCAGACUUACUUCACUUGUUGUACCUUCCUGUUUCUUGGACGAACAUUGUUGCCACCAAGUUUGUACUUCUUGAAGUCCUUUAGCAACUUGUAACAGAAAGGUCUUAUAUGACCCUCCUUAUCGCGAUAAUGAUAGACAAAAAUCCUCUUCUUUUUAUGUUCUUCCUUUGUUCCUGAGGCAUCACAUUCAUUAACUUUAACAAAUAUAUAAGAUAGUUUAGUGUUCAUACCCUUGUUUAUCUAUGACCAAUUUUCCUUGGCAAAAUGUUUUAGAGUCUUGAUGAAAUUAUUUUUUAAAUACUUUUUUUUGAAUAGGAGGAUCAUAUUAUACUAAUUUAAGUAAAAUGAAAUUAUUUUAUACUAAUUUUUUAUAUGAUUAACAUUUUAACUACACAGAUUAAUAUCAUAGCUAAAGUUAUUUGGUCGGACAGAAAUAAUUAGUUUUUGCUUCACAAGAAGCACAGAUAAAGAUUGAAAUAAGGAAUUAAAUGGUUUAAUUUGAAAACAAUUAGGGUUUCAUGAGAAUUAAUCAAUUAUUUCUUGCUUUUCAAUAUAAACAUGUCCAUAUAUUAAGUUACUCAAAUCCGAAAUUCCAUCUAUUAUUUCAAAAUGUACAGACAAAAUUAGAGCCUAAAAAUAAGCUUUACAUAAA